UCUCCAUCUCGAAGUUCGCCGAGCUGAAGCAAAUCUUCCAUGCUGGGGACGAUUCCAAUAUGGAGAAGAUCAUGGUGCGCACACUCAGCCAGUGCGAGCAAGCGCCAAUCCAAGGUGAGACCAAGCGAUGUGUAAGCUCUGUCGAGGGCAUGAUCGACUUCGCCACCUCAAUACUAGGCCACGACAUCCAGCUUCACUCCACGGAGAGCGUCGAAGGGUCGAAGCGUGAGAUCUUGAUUGGACGAGUGAAAAGGUUGGAAGGGAGUAAAUCGAGUGCGCCCGUGGCAUGCCACGAGACUAUAUUUCCUUACAUGGUCUAUUACUGCCAUACAUUUUUGACCCUUCGAGUUUACGAAGCGGAUAUACUGGAUCCCGUGUCCAAGGCCAAGAUCAACCAUGGCAUCGCCCUCUAUCACAUGGACACGUCGAUUUGGAGUCCAAAUCACGAGGCGUUCCUUGCGCUCAGGUCGAGCCCUGGUCAAAUCGAGACAUGCCACUGGGUCUUUGGGGAUUAUGGUGUUUGGACGAGGACCAAUUAGUAAUGGAAAAAAAUGAAGCGUGGAUCAAAUUGAAUAAUAUAGAUUGGACGUAGAGACCGAGAGAAAUCAUCCGCUAGCUCCAUCCUACGCCAUCGUUCACUUAAAAGUAUUGUCUAAUAUGGUAUUUGCUAUCUCAUAUCCACGACCUUAGUAGUGGUGUGUAUAUGUAAAUGUCGUUGUGGUUUGUAAAUGUCGAGUGUUUGAAUAACUUUGAUCUAAUAUAUGUAAUUAUUGUGGUGCGAAUGUGAAAAAGUUUAUUUGCUAAUAUUCAUCUCUUUCUAAAGCAUAACACAACACCAUGUCUCAAAUUCUUAAACUGUACCUUGCUAGGACAUGAUGGUGAGAUGAUUACAAGGACUAAUUCUUAAACUGUACCCGAAAUGUGUUAUUGCACCAUAAUGGACAUGAUGGUGAGAUGAUUACUAGGACUAAUUUAUCAGGUUUUCUGUUGAAGGAAAUAGCUCAAUAUGUAUUAAAUCAUAUUUCUAUCAAAUAUGUUACAUUAACUUGUUUUGAGUUGUGGACCAAACGUAAGCUUGAUUUGAAUCAUCUUAAGGUUUAGAGUGUCCUGCAAAAGUGAGUUUAUAUAAUCUAACAUUAAGUAAGUUAGAUUGCAGAACCACUCGGUGUUAUUUUGUAUCUUACCCAAGUCAUUUGAAAGGAUAUCGGUUUUAUGAUCCCAAUGGAGAUACAAAAAUUGUAGAAUCACAGACAACAGAGUUUCUGGAAUUCGACACAGCUGUAGAGAAUAGUUGCUCUUAGACUAUUAAAGAUAAUAGGACGGUAGGAACCACUAUGUCUUUGUCUUUACCUAUACAAAUAAUUAUUGAGUCUUUUACACCAUAAACUGCGCAUGUUGAGGUUCAGGAUACUAUUAUUAAUACAAUUCCUGAUAAAGUUUGUCAAGCCUCUCGCGUGCAAGAUGAAGUGGUUGUAGUAGCUCCACUUAGGAGAUCUACUAAGGAAAGACGUUCAGUUAUAUCACUAGACUAUAAAUUCUAUUUAUGAGAGCAUGAUUACAACAUCUACUACGUGGUCAAUCUAAUAACUUAUAUGAAUGUUGUUUCUUGUCCUUGGUCAAAUAUGUGGUUAGAUGUGAUAAAAGACGAGAUGCAAUCUAUGAAACAUGAUAGUGUUUGGAAGCCUGCCGAAUUGCUUGAUGGUUGCAAGCCCAUCCGCUGCAAAUGGGUGUACAAGACUAAAAGAGACUACAAAUGAAAUAUUAAGAAAUUUAAACUCAGACUAAUAAUAAAAGAUCUCACUCAAAGAGAAGCCUAGUCUUUUCUAAAGAUUCUUUCGAAGUGAGCAUGGGAUUAGUAGCCCACUUUUUAUAUGGAAUUAUGCUCUAUGAUGAUUAAAACUACGUUUUUCAAUGGAUAUUUUGAUAAAGAAAUCUAUAUAUUUUAACCCGAAUGUUUCAUAGCAGAUGAUUUAGGUAAGCUUGUGUGUAAACUGAAAAACCUUAUUAAUGGCCUAAGCAAGUUUGUAGACAAUAAUGCUUGAAACUUCAUAGUUUUGUCACUUCAUUCAGUUUUGUUGAAAAUAAAAUGGAUCGGUGAAUAUACUGCAAGGUCAAUAGGAGAAAAUUUAGUUUUCUCACACUCUAUAUAAAUGAUAUCUUGCUUACAAGUAGUGAUAUGGGAUUACUUCAUAAAACAAAAUAGAUAUUGUCAAGGAAUUUUGACUUGAAGGACCUUGAUCAGGUAUUUUUUGUCAUUAGCAUUGAGAUCUAUAGAAAUCGUUCUCAUCGUAUGUUAAAUUUAUCUCAGAUUGUAUAUCUUGAUUGUAGUUUGAAAAUAUUCAACAAGUCGAGAGUUGCUCCUGUCGUUCGGACUAAUAGAUUGAGUUUAUUGCAGUAUCCUCAUUCAAAUUUCAGAAAAACCUAAAUGAAUGAUAUACUUUAUGCUAGUGCACUUAGAAGUGUCAUGUAUGCUCAAGUUUGCACUAGGCUAGAUAUUGCUUUUGCGGCAAGACUUCUAGGUAGAUAUCAAUCAAGUCUAGGACAUGAUCAUUGGAUUGCUGCUGAUAAUGUCUUGAGAUACUUAAAAGGACAAGAAAACUAUAUGCUGACAAACAUGUUCAGGAUCUAGAGCUAGUAGAGUAUUCAAAUGCAGACUUUACUAACUGUUAGGAUGACAAGAAGUCGACAACAUAAUAUAUUUUUAUAUUAGCAGAAUGUGCUGUAUUAUGACAAAACGAUAAGCAAAAAUUCAUAUCUUCCUCUACUAUGCAAAUGGAGUUUGUAGCAUGUUCUACAGCUGUUACUUAAGAUAUUUGACUUCAGAACCUCAUUAAGAAGUUGACCAUAUUUGAUUUUGUGAAUAGACCCAUACAGUUAUAUCGAGAUAAUAACUUUCCAAUGUCAUUUAUCAACAACAAUAAAGGUCUCGAGAUAUGGCGGUCAAGUUUUUUACCACAAAGAAACGACACAUAAUAGUGACACUAUAGUAGAGCAUCUUUCCAUAGAUAAUGUAGUUGUCGACCCACUAACUAAAGAUUUUCUCCCUCGUGUACUUGAACAACAUAUCAUAAACAUGGACUGAGAAGUAUAAUUGAAUGCUACUGUUUAGUGGGAGCUGUUUUGAUUUUUGCUCUAAUAAAACUUAUAUAUUACCCAUUCAAUAAAGUGUUCAUAAAUGUGUUGUCACCAUAAUUAGUUGAUUACAUAUAAUAGAAAUUUGAAGGUAUCGUGUAAACCUUGAGUGAAAGGUUAGAGCAUUUGUUUAUUGGCGUUGAGUAUAUGUAUUGAUUACACAUAAAAAUGUGUUAACCAUAAAGAUAAGACAUAUGUGAGUUCAUUAGAACCAUAAAAAUAUUCUUUUAUGACACAUUCGGUUUUCUAUGACACUUAAGACAAGAGAAUAAUGACCGAUAAAGGGGAUGACACAUAAGGUAUUACUCUUUAUGAAGUGUUAUUCAUUUGUAACAUGAUCAUAUUGAAUCCAUAUAAGUAAACCCGUGACCAUGGAAGGCUCUGUAUAAGUACAUGCAAUUAUCGUUAUGAUUCGGUGUUUGAGACUUUAUAGGAUAGGAUUGACUAUUACGAAUAGUCACUAGACCAACAUAAAGGUGCACACAUUUCGUACAGCCUCAAUUAAUAUAACCCAAGUGGAAGAAUGUAAGAGUUUUCUUGAUGUGAAUUACAUUAAUUGAGAUUGUAAUUUAUAGUUUUAGGAGGUUGGUCUAAUAAGAUAAGACAUAAGAUUUUCUUAAUAGUUGAAUAUGGGCCUGGCUUAUGUGGGCCGAGUUAGGCCCGGCCUGUGAUGAGAGAACCUGGCUAAAAACUCUAUAAAUAGCGUUAAGGUCCCUUCUCUAACCCUCAUUGUUCUAUGAACAUUCUCUCACCUCACAUAAGGAAGCCAUGAAAGGCGGACUCAUCAUGCUAGGAUCCGAGGGCCAUAGAGGAGAAGAACCUGAGCGUUGAAUAGUUGUCAUUCCACAGAAAGAACGAUGAAUUCCAAAUCAAGUAUGCAAAUCCUCUUCUUCUCCUCAAAUAUGUUCAAGUUUCUAGCUAUGUUGAUCUCGGGAUGCCGCUUCGACAGCCAACAUUGUUGUCUUGAACUGAUAUGUAAAUUGCACUUUAGGGUUACAACAUUUUUAAACUAGGCAAAACUAUUGUAAUAUAUUCUAUUAUUUUAAAUGUGAUCCCAAUAUUGUAUUUCCAAUUAAUUCCGAUUUAUUGCCCAAUUUAUUAUCCGCGUUUAUUACGUGAUAUUUGCUCGUUAAUAUAUUACCAUAACAGUCUUCAUGGAAGACAUCGAUAAUGUAAGAAACGGAAUAAAAACGUCAAAUCGUCUAAUUCAAAUCCUAUCAUUACAGAAAACACACAAUCACGUUUGAGAGAUAUUAACUAGUGGAACAUGACGUACAAAUCUGGUGAUCACAUAUCUGUAGAUCAAUUGUGUUUCGUGGAUCCGUCCAGGUUUUAGGAUUUUCCGCAUUUGCAAAUUUUCAUCAAUGGCUGGAGGUAUGUCAAUCUUUACAUUUCUGCAAAUCGAUUCUGAAUUAUGCACGUAAUUGUUUGAGAAUGAUAGAUCGAGAUCAUCAGGUUUUAUUCAAAAUUAGUCUUACAAAAACAUCCUAGCUCGGUUGCGCAAUGCUAAUUUUUUAGUCACUCGCCGAUUUUCUCUUUCAUCCCACUAUAGGUUGUUUCCACCACGGCUGGAACCACUACCAAUGCCGACUCCUUAUUCAGCGAUGCCAACUCAAUCCCUCCCAAGGAAUACAUUGUCCAUUUACUGGAACGAACAAAUGACCAACAACCUCGCCAUACCACCACUGCUUAUAUCAAAGUUUCAUACUUAACUAUGCAUAAACGGCCCUUUUAGCCCGGCUCGUUGCUAAAGAUGCUAUCUCCGACCACCUUCCAUCUUUCUGCAAGGCAGCACAACUGCUUUGCUUCCCGGACUUAUCAUCCCAUCAAGUUGGCAAGGACGGUCGUGUUUUCUACAAUUUCAUUAAUGGUGCCACAACACUGGCCGGUGGCAUGAACGUGAACAAAGGCGUGGAGCCAGGGAGAUACUUUCGGGAGUCGACGCUGAGGAGUGGGAAUGUGAUCCAGAUGCCGGAUCUUCGUUCCAAAACUCCCGAAAGGUCGUUUUUACCACGCAGUAUUUCCUCUGGAUUACCGUCCUUGACCUCGAAGAUCGCCGAGCUGAAGCAAAUCUUCCAUGCUAGGGACGAUUCGACUAUGGAGAAGAUCAUGGUACGCACACUUGGCCUGUGCGAGAAAGCACCGACACAAGGUGAGACCAAGCGAUGUGUUAGUUCUGUUGAGGACAUAACAGACUUUGCCACCUUGAUAUUAAGCCACAACAUCAAGCUUCAUGCCAUGAAGAGCGACGAAGGGUCGAAGCGUGAUAUCUUGAUUGGACGAGUAAAAAGGAUAGGCGGGAGUCAAUUGAGUGCGCCUGUGGCAUGUCACGAUAGUCUAUUUCCUUGCAUGGUUUAUAAUUGUCAUGCGGUUCCAACACCCCAGUUUCACAAGGUGGGUAUACUGGAUCCCGUGUGCAAGUCCAAGAUCAACAAUGGCGUCGCAGUCUAUCAUAUGGACACGUCGAUUGGGAAUCCAAAUCACGAGGCAUUUCUUGCGCUCGGGUCGGGCCCUGGUCGAAUCGAGGCCUGCCACUGGAUCUAUGGGGAUUAUGCGGUCUGGACUAGGGCUAAUUAGUAAUGGAAAAAAAUGAAGUGUGGAUCAAAUUGAAUAAUAUAGGUUGGACCUAGAGGCCAAGAAAAAUUGGCCGAUAGCUCCAUCGCAAGUCAUCAUUUGCUUGAAAGUAUUAUCUAAUAUGGUAUCUACUAUCUAAUAUACACGACUAUGAUCGUGUGAGUGUGCGUGUGUGUUAUUAUGGUUAGUAAAUGUCAAGUGUUUGUGUGACUUUGAUCUAGCAUUUGUAAUUAUUGUGGUGUGCAUGUGAAAAAGUUUGUCAUGUGAAGUACUUACUAUUACCCAUCUCCUUCCAAAACAUAACAUGACUCCAUGUCCCAAACUGUAAUAUACCAUCGUUAGAUUUUUCUUCUUUUUUAAAUUUAAUUUUCCAUCUUAUAUCUCUACCAUCAAUGCCUUGACAUCAAAUCAAAUGGAAUUAGAAGAGAUUAAUGGGCAAAGAGAGAGUAUAUUCACUUGUGAACGAACUGUUUAUAAUAAGGGAGAAGGAUCCCUAUUUAUACAAAUGCGGGUCACAUCUCAACUGUUGAUCGUCCCUCUGAUCCAAUGGUGUAUUUCAAAUCCGUAUCAUCAUUACAAGGCUACACGGUAGGCUACUCGAAGGCUGCUCGAUGGCUACACACAGUAGGCCCUUGGGAAGACCAUGGGCGUGUGUUAGAAGCAAGAUUAGGUUUGCAGGGUCAUCUGACACGCAAGCAGCCGAACGGUCACGGGCUGUACAUGGGCUAAUCAAAUCUUGCUCAUGGGUCGUUCCUAGGCUACGCAUGGGCCUUUGCUCAUGCCACUCAUGGAUUGAUCAUGGGUAGGUCGUGGGCGGCUCUUGGGCAGCCCUUUGUGCGUGACACGGCCUAUCACGAACGGUCUUGGAUCAUGCUCCGUCUGUGGGCUGUGUCACUUGUCCCAUAAUGCUUAAUCCUUGAAAUUGGGAGCCAUAUAAUUCAUAAGCACCCCAGAUUUAUCAUUAUUGCUCUAAAAUAGGGAUAAAAAUGGUAGGAAUCUCAAAACUUUCGUAAAACUUUCGUACAACGCUCACUUGAGUGCCAAAACUUUUUUUUUUUUUCGCUCAAUUGAGCGUCACAAAUUUGAAAAUUCGAUCACUUGAGUGCCCAUUUCGAUUUAUCUCACCGGAAAAUCCGACAUGGAUGUCAGUCAUCCGUCAUGACUUCAUCAACACUGAUGUUGACAGUUUUUUUAUUUUUUAAAAAAAAUAUUUUUAAAUAUAUAUAUUUUUUUUUUGCUUUUUUUUCUUUAAGAUCAGUGAGGGUCUCCAGCAACCCUCAUCAACCGUGACAUCCUCGCCCUCAGCCACGAGGCCCUAGGCAAGGCCAUCGGGGCGUCCUCAAACAUUGGUGAGGGCAAUGCCGCACAGAGCUAGCAAGGGCCCUUGCCUUCUCACUUGCCACCAGCAAGGUCGCGAUGCCCUUGCGUAAGGCCUUUGCGGCCAAAUCUAGGUGAAGGCCGCCUCCCAUUGCCAUAAGGCCUUGGGUGAGGGCAUUGCAGCCUCACUGAUUGUUGGCGACACCGGUCAAAGUAGGUGAGGGCAUCAUGACCUCGCCAGCUACAGGCAAGGCCGCAAGGGCCCUCGCUUGCUCUGGAUGGCAUCGCCCACAACCACCCAGACUUGGUGAGGGCCCUCGUGGCCCUACCAGCAGCUAACUAGAUGACCCUCGCCCAAAUUGGGGGAGGUUUUCAUGGCCAGCGAAGGUCGUUGGUGACCACUGACCCUAAAAAAAAAAAAAAGAAGCAAAAUAAAAAUAAAAUUCAAAAAUUCAAAAAUUUCACGUAGGACGAUUUGCCGAAAUUGGCACUCAAGUGAUCGAUUUUACUCCGAUAUAGCACUCAAGUAAGCAAAUUUUUUUUUUUUUUUAUACUCAAAUGAGCGCCGUACGAAAAUUUUGGCACUUCUAGUUUUCUUGUCGAUCUUAAUUUGACAAUUGGAGCACUUCCCACCAAAAAUGAGGAUGUUGAUGUAAAAUUAACACCCCAAAUAUUUAGAAGUAUUGAACACAAACCUCAAUCGUUCCUUUUCUGAUAUUUUCUAGCUAGCAAUAGGAUAAGUUCAAUUAAACAAUGCUAGGACAGGUGGCGUGCAUUCACAUUUCAAAUGAAUGCACAUGUGAACUUAAUCUAGAGAUAUUUUCUCUCCAUUAGCUUCGCCCACAUCUACACCAGUUGCACUAGCACUGGCCUCCACAACACCGCCAUCGAUCCAAGCAUCUCUCUCUCUCUCUCUCUCUGCACAAGCUUUGUCCCGUAAUCAAACCAAGAGUAGUAUUUUCUAAGGAUAAGUGUACUAAAAUUUCUAAAAUUUGUCGAGAAAUGCAAUUGAAUCAUAAAAUUUUCAAAAAGUGCAAUAAGUUCUUAGAAUUUGUCAAAGUUGUGUAAUCAAGUCUCUUUGUCAAUUCUAUGUAAUUUGACUAACAUAAAUCCCGACAUGAUUAUUUUAACUACUUUUGUUAUGACCAAAGCAAAAGCUACGACGAUAUUAAAUUUGAGAAAAUUAAAAAAAAAAAAACAGAAAUUUACUUGGAAACUAUGGAAAAAAAAAAACUACAGGGAGAAAAGAAGCAAAAUCUACUAUGGAAAUUCAAGCAUUAGCAAAGGUGGCUUGAAAAACCUUAAGACUCUUUUUUCACAUUUUUUAAACCUAAUAACUUAGGAAAAAAUAAUAUUUAUAUUGCUCCAUACGGCGGGACGCAGUCCCCACACCUCUGCAAAGGAUUAGUAGUGGGCUAGUGGUUUGGGCCUCGACCAACACUAAGCCUCCAUUUGUUUUUCUCAAGUUAGUGGUCACAAAUUUUAAUUUGAGUAUCAAAACUCAAUUUAAUUCCUUUUAACAAAAUUCAAGACAUGCUCAACAAUUUCUUGAGACACGUGGCAUCCCCUAAGCACCACAUUAAAUAAUGAAAUUUUUGGGAAAAAAAUUAAAGAAAGAAAGAGAGAGCAAAAGUAAAAUAAGAAAAAAAUUAUAAUGCCGAACAAAAUGUUAAUAAUGAGGGAAGAGAGAGAGAGCAAGCAAGAUCUCCACUUCUGGUUUCCCAAAGGAACAGUGGUUUCGAUUAUAGCGAGCGAAAGUUGAGAUUAAAGGGAAUGAAUAUAUUUUGAGGGGGACUUUCAAUUUUCGCAGAUCGCCGAGGGAGACUUCUUGGAUCGAUUUUAAAUAUGAAAGGCUCCACUAUUCUGCCAUGGCUGUGGUAGGAUUGGCCAUGGCCGCCAUAGCUGUACCUUCAUCAUAGAUGCUGCGUCGACGGGGAGGUGCUCUUGAAUUUGCGGGCUGCGUCCAACCUUUUCUACAUCGACCCAUCGGUCGGUUCCAAUUCACAAUUUUGAUAAGGAACACUAAAAAUUUGAAAAAAACUUCCUACGAUCGCUAUCAUAGCGAGAAAAAAAAAAGGGGGUUUCAAGAGGAAGAUGUAGAUGUCUCCGCUAGGGCAACGACAUCAAUCCGUUUUUUGUCGGUCUGCAUCUGCCUUCUCCACAUCCUUCAAAAUGAAGGAGCAGCUUUGCAAUAGUUCCCAAUAAAAACCCCAUAUGGGAGGAAAAAGGAGAAGGGGAGUCAUCUUCACGCAAGUGGACGGUCUUGCGCCGGGGCCUACCGCCCCCCUCCCGAGAAAAUAUUGGGUGGGUCUUACUCUCCACGUAGGCUUAGGUAAGACCAUUCAGCGAUCGACACGUGGCUCCACGUAGGCGACGGCAUCAGAGGUUUAAAAUUUGCGAGCGCCGCUCCUGGGGCCCACCACUCUGACGCUCUCUCUCCUCUGCUCUCCUGUACGAUCUGUCCACUCGUCCUCUCUCUCCUCUCUCUCUCUCUCUCUCUCUCUCUCCGUUCUCCCCGUUCUCCGUUCCGUUUUGCGAGAGAACAAAAGUCGCAGGGCUUCUCUCCGAAUGCUCUUCCCCUCCUCUACUCUCUCUCCUCCGCUGGUUGCCUGGGACGCAGACGCCCUUUCCACCUUCGCCGACGCCUCUGCUCUCCUCCGCUGGUUGCCCGCAACGCCGACGCCGAUGCCUCUGCUCUCUCUCCUCCGCUGGUUGCCUGCGACGCCGAUGCCGACGCCCUUUCCACCUCCGCUGACGCCUCUGCUCUCCUCCGCUGGUUGCCCACGACGCCAACGCCGACGCCCUUUCCACCUCCGCUGACGCCUCUGCUCUCUCUCCUCUGCUGGUUGCCCGCGACGCCGACACCGACGCCUCUGCUCUCUCUCCUUCGCUGGUUGCCCGCGACGCCGACGCCGACGCCGACGCCCUUUCCCCCUCCGCCGACGCCUCUGCUCUCUCUCCUCCACUUGUUGCCCGCGACGCCGACGUUGACGCCCUUUCCACCUUCGCCGACGCCGACGCUCUCCUCCGCUGGUUGCCUGCGACGCCGACGCCUUUGCUCUCUCUCCUCCGCUGGUUGCCUGCGACGUCGACGCUGACGCCCUUUCCACCUCCGCUGACGCCUCUGCUCUCCUCCACUGGUUGCCCACGACGCCAACGCCGACGCCCUUUCCACCUCCGCCGACGCCUCUGCUCUCUCUCCUUUGCUGGUUGCCCGCGACGCCGACGCCUUUACUCUUAAACUGUCAGUUCCUCAUGCUAUAGUGUGAAUGUUAUGUUUCUGUUAUGCUUCUGUGUUGAUAUUUUUUGUUUAUGAACAUAUGCACAACAAAAUUGCUAUGGAUUCCGACACCUUGAAAUGCGAGGAGGAGGAUCUAAUUCUUAAAGACAGCGAGUGUUUGGAGGCAAGACGUUAUCUAUUGAGACUUGUUAUCCUUAUAAUGUGGUGAAUUUAGUCUCAUCCAACCAUUUAAUGUAUGGAGUUCUUCCAAAUUUUUGGGGGCUUUAGCUCAUUUGCUUCAAUCUGUAGUCAGGCUUUAACUUUCUGCUAUGAUUGUGGCAGUUAUUAGAGUAAAGCAGGAAUUUCUUGUAUAUCUUAUUGUAAGGUCUUUCCAGCAGUUACAGAAGGGCAUUUCAAUGAGAGAAACUAGGAGCUUGGAUACAGUCUCGAGCAUUAUUUUUGCCUGUUGGUUUUAAUUCCUGUUGACGAUAGGCUGAAGUUCUUUUUAACUCAUCUUCUUCGUGCCAAGUGCUGCCUAAAGUAAAGAUUGAUGCUUAAUUAACUUUUUUCUUUAUAUUCAGGAACGCGUUAAGGAACGUUCUGUACAUCCCAGUGACACCCCACAUGGAACAUCCAGUGCACCUUCUGUGGAGGUAAAUCUAGCUGUAGCGCUGAUUAUCCUUCUUGGAUUCUUAUGAGUUUCUCUGUGAAGCCAUUAAGUGCUAAAUUUUUUAUGUUAAAUUCUGCCCAGGCUGCUAGAAAUAGGAGUGCUGCAGGAAUAGGAAGCACAGUUUCUUUUAGCGAUGAUGAGGACACAGCAGAGAUACUUGGCUCAAACUCUGCCACCAGAGGCCGGAAAGGAUCAUUGGGAGUUUGUAGAUCCUCCCGUGCUACUUCAGAUCUAGGAAGAGGGAAAACUUCUACAAGAGGAAGGGGCAGGGGAAGAGGAUCUGCUAAUUUGAAGCAAACUACUCUUGAUUCAGCUUUGGUAUCUUGCCGUCGUGAAAGGUUAGUAGCGGAUGUAGUCAUGAACUCAAGCUGGUUAAUGGCUGACAAACUGGUUUGAUUAAACUACGUCUCAAAAUUGUUCUAAAGUAAUCCUACUUUAUUUGUAGGAAGAAACAGAAAGCUGCAAGGUCUUGCUGAGGCCAUGGUAAAAUUGUGGGGGAGCAGUGCUAUUGCAAAAAUAGCAAUUAAAUGCCGCGUGCUAAAUACUUACAAUGAUAGAAUAGCUGAGGAACUGAAGGUUGGACAAUCUACAUAUGUUGACUCUUUUUUUAGCAUAUAUGUAUGAGCUAAUUAUAUUGUUGAAAAUGGGUGUUCUGUUGCUUUCAUCGAGCACAGAACCUUUCAGACUCUGUACUUUAUUUGAUUUGCCUGACAGAAAGAAUUACCAACUAUUUGCCAUAGAGUGGUAGUGUGACUAAAUCAUCAUCCUUCAAGCCCACAGUACAAUGCUGAAUUUUCUAUUUCAUCUCUGACCGUGGAAUUUAUAAUGUUUAUCAUAAUGGUAAAACUCAGCCAAGAUUAGUGUGUCACCAUUCUGGGACAUACUUGUGUAGUGUUGUGAAGGAUUGGUUAUGCAAGUUCUUAUCUCUCCGAGCAUUUUGUUCCAAUCUUAAUGUUCUGGCAUUAUGAUAAUAUCAACUUCUGUUUAGUGUUGCAUAUUCCGUCCUUUUUCUUUAGGUAAGGAAAAUUUGGUGCUCUUGUUAUUGAUUUGUGUCAUUUUGAAUGCAGAAUUUAACUGGGGGAACACUACUUUUUAGGAACAAAGAUUAUAUUGUGUUUUAUUGGGGCAAUGACUUCUUGCCUCCUGUGGUGGUAGAAGCACUGAAAGAGAGAAAAACUAACAGAUGUGCAGGCAAAUGAGAACGACCAAGCACGUCAGAGGGCCUCAGCUGCAAUUGAAUCAAAAUUCAAAGCUUCUAAAAGCCCACUUGUUGCUGGCACUCUUACUGAAACUCUGGCUGCCACCUCUCGGUGGGGGAAUGAAAUAAGUAGCAAAGAUGUUGAGCAUAUGCGUUGAGAUGAAUCACUCAAUAAGCACGCUGCACUCUUGAAAUAUCUUGAGAAGAAACUUGCUCUUGUAAUCUUCUUGAUUGAACAAACUUAUGCUAUAAAAUUCUGCUCCAUUUCCUUAAUUAUUUAUCACAUUUUCCAUUUAUAUUUUCCUCUUCUUUCCAGGCUAAAGGGAAGGUCAAAAAGGCUGAGAAAGCUCUAGCAAAAGUGCAGGAGAAUCUUAGAUCAGCAGACCUUCCAGUUGAUCUGGAAACCAUAAGUGAUGAGGAGAGAUCUUUACUACGUAAGAUUGGUCUGAGUAUGAAAACCUUCCUGCUUAUCGGUAAGAAUAGCUGGAAGUCAUGAGUUUAUGAGGUCUUGGUUCUUGUCAUUGAGCCCUUUCGGGGCAGAUGAAUUGAGGGUUGGUUUUUUAUUGAUACGGAUUUAUGAUGACUUAAGCGUUAAGCUGCAAAGUUGCCCUUUUCAUCACCUGGCAAAUGGUUGAGAAACUGAGAUGUUUUGAUGCUUGAAUUUGGAUGAUUUCUGUCCAAAUUCAGCAAUUAUAUCUUUGCCAUCAAAGAACUAUACUCGUGUCUCGUCCGUGCCCAAUGGGAAAUCUGAAUACUAAGAAGCAUGCGGUAGAUCUAAUGAUUUUCAUAGGUGUUCAAGAGCGUAUGAGAAUUACUAAAUCAAAUUUUUAUUCUUUCUGUGGGUAGGUCAAACUCUUUCGGGUGCACGGCAUUCAUGUUUUUGCAGGGCUUGUGAUUGUUAUAUCCUUCAAAUGCCAACUGUCUCAUCCUUUUUUCCUAUUCCUAUUAGUUUAUUGUUCUUUGAAAUUCUCUUGAAUAUGCAAAAUUUACGUCGGAAUCUGAUGUUGUUGAUGUACACAGGUUAUGCUUUUGAAUUGGCUUUCUGUUUUGGCUUAUUCUUUGGCUUUUGUAUUUUAUAUCAUCCCAAGGGUGUAAUAGAAUAAAACAAUAAGUGGACUGGAAAAUUUUCUUGUCCUUUUUAUCAUCUACUGGUGUUGUAACUCAUUAUUUUUGUUACAAUUGAAGUUUUAAAAUGUAAGACUGCCAGCUACUUGUUUAUGAACUUGAUGCAUGAGGUCCCUUCCCUUUGUAGAAGCAAGAUCUUCCAACAUCUGGACCUUGAUAAAAGAUCAAGCAAAUUUUUGUUUUGGCUUGAUGCUAGGAACUUUGGCUCUGCUGCUGUUAAUAUAAGAUCAGCAUAUGCCCGUAAUAUAUGGGCUACUACUAAAUGGUCAACGUGAUUUCCAUGUCUUUUUUAUUGUUUAUGUCAUUUUUCAUUCAACUACUUUUUCUUGAAGAUUAUAUGGUGGGAAUUUAGUAAUUAUUGGGAGAUUUAGGGCCUUAAACCGAAGAAUUUGAUCUUGGCUGCACAUGUUAUGUUUUUUCCCCUUAGGAAAGCAACAUACGUUUUCUUGUUAUUCUUUCUUAGACAACAAGGUUAAAUGUGGAUCAUAGUAUUGACUAUUUGUAAAGUUACUCGAUAACUGUUGAAGUAAUGCCUCGUUAUUCUUAAUAAUCGAAGGACAGUUAGAAGAAGAUGAAUGUUCUUGAUGAUUUUGCUUCUGAAUCAAUUUGAUUCAUAAACUGAGUGAUUUGAUUCUUGAUCGUCUUGUCUUACGCAGAAUGAUGACAACCAAAGAGAGACUUCUGCAACAAUGCUCAAAGCAGGACAGGGUGCUCGUUUUGCGAGGAUGCUAUAACUAGAAUCUCUCUUCUGUACGAUGCACCUCAUCGGAAUGCCUGGCUAUAUGUGCUUCUGGUUUUUACUGAAGAUGGCUUGAUUACACAUAAAAUCCAUCGUUUGGAGGUAGAUAAUCCACAUGGAAUACAUUACACCUAUUUCGGAAUCUCGUGUUCUUGUACUACACUUCCGUUUUUUCAAUCGGAAGGCAAUAACAUUGAGCUAUGUAUGAGCUUAUGCUGAACUAGAAAGCCCAUGAAGAUAUGGGUUUCAAUUUACAUUACAUGUAUGCACGAGUGACUCUCAGGAGUUUCUUCCGGAGAUCAGAUGUAAUACAUACUUAUAUUUUGCUCGCUUGGUAGUCCUGAAUAUACAGAAUCAGUAGAGAUUGCCAAUCACAUUUCUAUUGAGGCAAUCCAAACAUGGUUAAAGCCAACAGACAGAACUAUGUAAACUUUCUUUCAUUCUUUGCGCAAACUUUGGUGCAGAAUAGUACAACCGUGACUUCCUAUUAUUGAGAAGGGGGACCCUUUCGUGGGUAAUGCCAUGCACAUGCAAGAAACGAGUAGGUAGAUAAUUGAUCAAGAAGCUGUCGCCUCAAAAGAGUGCUAUGUAUUUCUUCCACCAUGUUUGAGUCCAUUCCGCACUCACUGUUCGAAUAGGCUCAUGCCGACUCUGCAUGCACCGACUUUGAGAGUUUCUUAAAUUUCCAAGUCCAAUUCACGCAACAAUGACGCCUUAAGGAGUUGUUACCCUGAAAUUCUAUCGCAGACAAGAUAACAAGAUCUGCCAAACAAAAUCAUUUACACACUGCUGGUAGCACAAAAUAUCGAACUCCUUUCAGAUGAUAAGCCUUAUGGAUACAAUAAUAGAAGUAACAAUUUAGAAGCACUAUAUCCAUUAACAUAUCACACACCCCUCAUCUUUCUAUGGCACUAGUACAAAAUGGAGUUCACUUCGAUGUCGCAGAAGCUUAGUCCACUUCCUCCAUUUUGCUCUCCUCAGCACCAUCCUAUUCCAAGGCAGGCAUGUCAACAUCAUCACCAGCAGUCUCAUCCUCGUCAAUGCUCAGACCCAGCUUCAGCAUCCUGUGAAUCCUCGCUGCGAAAGUGUUGGGGUCAUCAAGACUGAACCCGAAUGUUAAAAGAGCAGUCUCAAACAGCAACAUCACCAAGUCCUUCAUGGACUUGUCGUUCUUAUCAGCCUCAGCUCCUCCAUGAUGCCAUUAUCAGGGUUGAUCUCCAUUGUCUUCUUGCUUGACAUGUAAGAGCUCAUGCUGUUGUCCCUCAGAGCCUGAGCCUUCAUAAUCCUGUCCAUAUUUGCAGACCAUCCAUAUUCUCUCGUCACCAAACAGCAGGGAGAGUCCACAAUUCUGUCCGAUACCACGACUUUUUCUAUUUUGUCUCCCAAAAUGUCCUUCAUUGUCUUGCACAAGUUCUCAAAGGACUUCUUUUUCUCCUCCUUCUUCUUCUUCUCUUCCUUCCUUUCAUCAUCAAGUUUCAGGCCCUCUUUGGUUGCAGAGACCAACUUCUUUCCAUCAUACUCCUUCAAUUGUCCUACAGCAUACUCGUCAAUUGCGUCCACCAUGAAAAGCACCUCAUAGCCUUUUUCUUGAGCCGCUCCAAGAACGGAGAGUUCUCUACAGCCUUCUUGCUUUCACCAGUGAUAUAGUAGAUAUCCUUCUGACCCUCCUUCAUCCUCGUGACAUAAUCCUCCAGACUUGUCAUCUCGUCCCCACUCUUUGUCGAGUGGUACCGGAGGAGGUCUGCAACUUUAGCUCUAUUCUGGCUGUCUUCAUGGAUACCCAAUUUCAAGUUCUUCAAGAAGGCCUCAUAGAAUUUGUUGUAGUCCUCCUUGUUCUCUGCAAUCUCAUUGAACAUCUCAAUGCACUUCUUGACAAGAUUUUUCCUGAUGACCUUCAGAAUCUUGUUCUGUUGCAGCAUCUCACGAGAAAUGUUGAGGGGCAAGUCAUCAGAAUCAACAACUCCUUUCACGAAUCUUAGAUACUCUGGAAUGAGCUCCUCGCAGUUGUCCAUAAUGAAAACCCUCCUAACAUAGAGCUUGAUGUUGUUCAUCUUCUUGCGAGUAUCGAAGAGGUCGAAUGGAGCACGUUUUGGGACGAACAAAAUAGCCUUGAAUUCAAGCUGCCCAUCAACAGAGAAGUGCUUCACGGCAAGAUGGUCUUUCCAAUCAUUGGUCAAGCUCUUGUAGAAGGAAGCAUACUCCUCCUUGGUGAUCUCCUCUGGCUUUCACAGCCAGAUGGGUUUCAGUUUGUUGAUGAGCUGCCACUCCUGAGAAACCUCCUUAAUCUUCUUCUUCUUGGACUUCUUUUCUUCCUUCUCCUCAUUGACGUCCUCAACAUCUCCUUCCUCUUCCUUCUUGGGCUCAUCGUCCUCAUCAUCACCGAUCUCUUUCUCGGUUGUCUUCUCAGUCCAUCGAUAGAUGGGGUAGUUAAUGAACUCGGAGUGCUUCUCCACAAGGUCCUUAAUCCUUCUUUCUUCCAGAUACUCCAGCUGAGGAAAACAGAGACGUGACGCUGUUAGCAUCAUGUAUCAUCCAAAACCAAUGCAAAUCUUCUCCACCAAUUCAUAAAAGCAACCAUAAUUGAACUCACCUGGUCCUCCUAAAGGAAGAGGGUGAUCUUGGUCCCUCUGCCGAGUUGCUCCCCACUCACAUCUCUCGUAACGGUGAAGGAACGACCGGCCUAGGACUCCCAGAUGUACUGCUCAUCAUCAUUGUGCUUAGUAGUCACAAUGACUUUCUCAGCCACCAAAUAAGCAGAGUAGAAACCGACAUCAAAUUGACCGAUCAUGCUCACAUCAGCUCCCGCCUGCAAUGCCUCCAUGAAUUCUUUCAUCCCUGACCUCCCAAUCGUACCCAGGUUGUUAGAACUGCAUAAACUCCCGGAAUUUCCGUGGCAAUGAAAGUGCCGUUUACAAAAUUUUUAGUUUUUCCCUUGUAUACACAAGUUUACAUGUAUGCCAAAAUACUCUAUAAGGUGGUAGGAUAAAGUAAAGGAAGUACCUUGACAAUAAGUAGACACCCCAUUGGACCAGUUACAGCUCGGAUGCCCUGAAAUAUAUACAAUAGAGCAAAAUGAAUCUCAUAGACAAGGAGACAAAACAUAAAGCCUAACUGAAACUGAGCUGUUGGAGAUGGGAAUUUAUUCUCACCUUCCUUAACUAACCAACACAAAACUAAUCAAACAUGAGAUACCAUUGUUACCUUAGCAGAGAGACAAGACACUGAAGCGAUCCGGGAUCAACAAAGGCAUGUAUUUGCAGCAACUGCCUGAGAGCAGGCCAAUAAAUUGCAUUGGCUGCAAGAGAUUAAGAAAGUUACAUAGAAGCAUGAUGAACAAACAUGUAAUCUUACAGCAGCAACACAGAUAAGUGAAUCCCAUUUGCUCCAUCUUUCCACAUGAGCAGAAACCCAUUUUAUCAUGAGGCAACAGAGCUGGGGUAAUAAAAUGGAAACUUAACAUCUUACUAUAGAGGCAAACCUGUCCUGAAAACAAAGAGCUAGUGGUGUGUUUACUAAACACUUAAGCAUCAUCACUCAUAAUCCCGAUGCAGUACAACACACUGAAUACAAGAAAGCAUCUCUUUCAACUCACAUUACUUGAGUACCUUCAAUCGAUAAUUAGAAUGGGACUAAGAGAGUUAAGGGGGAACAAAAAGGCAGGACCGACUUCUUUUGCUGUUUGACUCUAAUUUAUAAGUCAAAACUUAAAUACUUUUGAAGUCAUUUUUGAUUCAUCAUUGUUAAUUGCAAUUAAUAUAACAUUUUGGGUAUGGACAAGCCUUCAAGCAAACCGAGACACGCACAACUUAUGAACAGAAGCAAUAGUUAAUGCCCUAUCCAUUUCAUUAGUAAUGUGUCAAAAAGUAUGGGAAUAGUUGCAUACCGUAGAGGGAAAAUUAGAGACACCGCUAAUCUCCACUGCAUAAACAAGCCACUGUCUUUUAAUGCUUCCUUCAGCACAUUGUAAAGUUGCUACAACUUCAACAAGCACAUUCCAUGUGUCUGCAAGUCAAAUGUUAAAAAAAAAACCCAUCAAACAAAUCUAGUAACUUCUAUUUUGAUCACCACUGCAUUCACAAGGUUAUAGGUCAUCUUGAACCAUAUGUUGGACAUGUCUUCAUUUCGUUCUAUUCAAGAAUUUAGAGUCUCAACAACAGAAAGUACACCAACAAGGGAAAAUCAAACACUUCAGAAAGCAAAAUAUAAGUUGAUUUUGUGAGUCCAUGAUAACCACUUCUGACUAAAGUUUUACAGUGAGUCCUUCAUCAGAUAUAGAGUGACAUAAACUUUCAACAUGAAGAAUUCUGAAACAAGAACAAUAAAUGGAGCUCAUCACCUCUGUAUUUGGCCUAUUCAUCUUUGAUGAAUUCACAUUCGUUAACCAUGAGCAGAGUUUAAUGACUAUACUGUCAUUGGAGAAACUUUGAGAAGCAACUUCUGAGACAGUGGUAUCAGUCUGAAUAUGAUCAUCCGAAUUUACUUCCUUGGACCACAGACUAUGUCGAAGAAAAGAAAGUGCCCACCAGAGUAUUGUUGCAGCUGAUUAUCUUCAGAAUGUUGAGCAACAAGAAACAUCUCUUGUAUUGAUGAUGUUAACAAAGGCUUGCAGACAGGACUUGAAAGAAGCGCACGCAUUAUAUGAGAAGAUUCCUGCCAAGAGAACAUUUCACUGUAAGAAACAAGGACCACGAAAAAUGAUUAGAAGGCUUAGUUGAGGGAAAAUCCUCAAUCACCUUCAGCCUGUAACGACCGUAAUUGGAGGAUAAAAGAUGAAUUAGAACCAACCCAGCUUCUGCACCCAAAGAAUUAACAAUUCCAAGCAUCCCUCCCAGAUAAGUGGAGGGAGGCUGAGGAUUGGAAUAAUAUCUCCUCAACAAUUCCAGUAGCUCUUUCAGACAUCCAACUUCAAUGGAAUCUAUGCCUUCCUUCACAACACAGGCAAGGAGACUCCCUGCUCCAGCACAUGAUUCCAUCAAAAAGCUCUGGUGGAAUGCACCUGACUUUUUAAUAGACAAUAAUUCAGAUAUAAGUUCUCUAUAACUAUUCAUCAGUUGGUUUAGUUCACCAACAUCCAUCAAUUCUACUCUCUGGCAGAAAGCCACAACCAUGGGAAGUGCAAGACAAGAUCCAACAGAUAGAAGCAUCUCAGAUCCUUCGUUGCAGGAGUUAGAGCUCCAAACAAAUGGCUCCGUGUGUGGAAUCCAUGAAGUUAUCAAGUCCUUUAUCUUCAGUGUCACAUCAAUUUCCCCACUUCGGUAAACUGCACUAAUAGAGCUGCCCAAAUUAAGAACAAGUCCAGCAAGACCCCAAGUGUCUUCCUCCACAAGAUCACUGUCCUCAUUCAAGAAAUGAGGAUUCUGAUAUCUACCAUUCUCACACAUGUCAUUGGGAAAAUGUUCACACAGACUUUGAAGAAUCUGGGAUGUUGAUUUUGUAAGUUCCAAGAUCGUGAUAGAUAAUGACCUGAUAAUAUUCCCUACUAAUUCAACUUCAACCAUCUUGUAGGAAUCUCUGUCAGCAUUAUCAGCAGCUUCAGUCCUAGUUAGAAGAUCCUGGCAUGAAAAACCCAAGCCAACUCCACAGGCUCCUUUCACAAAGGUGCUUUUGCUACUAGACAAAACCUAUUAGGCACACAUGAUCAGUAAAUAAACACAAUUAUCAGUGAGAAAACCAGCACUUGUUCCGUUAUUAUUCUUUAAUUGGGAACAUUAAGAAAACAGAAUUAUCAUGGGCAACAUGGUGACAAACCUCAAAUCUACAGAAAAAACCCACCAUGCAAAGAGGAAACUCAAGUGCAAACCAAAGAAACUAAACCAGCUAUCAUAGCAGGUACAUGUUCCCACUCUAGGAUUUGACCAUUUGAACCAUUAGCAUUUGUUAAACAUCAUACCUUACGGUAUGAGACUAACCUUCGUGCCGAAAGGACUGACAGGAUAGUAACAGCAAUCUUCGGCAGGUCGUCAAUGUCCCUCGCGGAGGCGGAGGUGGAGGCGGAGGCGUCGGAGUCGGGGGCGACGGAGGCAACCGGCUUCAGGGGCGUGGGAGUCGAGGGCGAUGGAGGCAAACGGCGGAGGGGCGUCGGCGUCAGAGUCGGGUUCAAGGGCGGAGGCGGAGGCUGCGUCGGCGUCGGUGUCGGCGUCGGAGUCGGAGUCGGGGCGACGGAGGCAACCGACGGAGGGGCGUCGGCGUCCGAGUUGGGUUCAGGGGCAUAGGGGGAGGCUGUGUCGGCGUUGGUGUUGGCGUUGGCGUCGGAGUCGGGGGCGACGGUGGCAACCGGUGGAGGGCUGUCGGCGUCGCGGUUCACUGGAAAGGGCGUCGGCGGAGGUGGAAAGGGCAUUGGUGUCGGCGACGCGGGCAACAAGCGGAGGAGAGAGAGCAGAGGCGUCGGCAGAGGGGGAAAGGGCGUCGGCGUCGGCGUCACGGGCAACCAGCGAAGGAGAGAGAGCAGAGGCGUCGGUGUCGGCGUCACGGGCAACCAGCAGAGGAGAGAGAGCAGAGGCGUCGGCGGAGGUGGAAAGGGCGUCGGCGUUGGCGUCGUGGGCAACCAGCGGAGGAGAGCAGAGGCGUCAGCGGAGGUGGAAAGGGCGUCGGCAUCGGCGUCGCAGGCAACCAGCGGAGGAGAGAGAGCAGAGGCGUCGGCGUCGGCGUCGCGGGCAACCAGUGGAGGAGAGCAGAGGCAUCGGCGGAGGUGGAAAGGGCGUCGGCGUCGCAGGCAACCAGCGGAGGAGGUGUCGCGGGCAACCAGCGGAGGAGAGAGAGUAGAGGAGGGGAAGAGCAUUCGGAGAGAAGCCCUGCGACUUUUGUUCUCUCGCAAAAGGGAACGGAGAACGGGGAAAGAGAGAGAGAGAGAGGACGAGUGGACAGAUCGCAGAGGAGAGCAGAGGAGAGAGAGUGUCAGAGUGGUGGGCCCCAGGAGCGGCGCGCGCAAAUUUUAAACCUCUGACGCCGUCGCUUACGUGGAGCCACGUGUCGAUCGCUGAAUGGUCUUACCCUAAGCCUACGCCGUCGCUUACGUGGAGCCACGUGUCGAUCGCUGAAUGGUCUUACCCUAAGCCUACGCGGAGGGUAAGACCCACCCAAUAUUUUCUCGCCCCCCGGGGAUUUAUCAUCAUUGCUCUGAAAAAUGGACAGUAAUCCUUGUACACGCGUAAAGUGACAAUUGACAAGGAAAGGUCUAAGACGCGUGAUGGAUUUGUAUCUCUCCAAAAAUGUCUUACUAUGUACAGUGCAAUCCUAGAUGCUUGUGCCAUAGUGCUUAAUCCUUGAAAUUACGAGCUACAUAAUUCAAAAGCAUCGAUGGAGAUAGAUUUGUAUCUCUCUAGACACGUCUUAUUAUGAUCAGUGAAAUCCUAGAUGCUUGUCCCAUAACGCUUAAUCCUUGAAAUUGCGAGCCAUAUAAUUCAUAAGCAUCUCCGAAUUUAUCAUUAUUGCUCUAAAAUAGGGAUAAAAAUGGUAGGAAUCUCAAAACUUUCAUACAACGCUCGCUUGAGUGCAAAAACUUUUUUUUUUCACUCAAUUGAUUAUCACAAAUUUGAAAAUUCGAUCACUUAAGUGCCCAUUUCGAUUUGUCUCACUGGAAAAUCCAACAUGAAUGUCGGUCAUCCGUCAUGACUUUGUCAGUGAUAAUGUUGACAUUUUUUUAUUUUUAAAAAUGUUUUAUUUUUUUAUUUUUUUGCUUUUUUUGCUUUUUUUCUUUAAGACCGGUGAGGGUCUCCAGCAACCCUCAUCAACUGCGACAUCCUCGCCCUCAGCCACAAAGGCCCUAGGCAAGGCCAUCGGGGCGUCCUCAACUGCUAGCGAGGGCGAUGCCACACAGAGCUAGCAAGGGCCUUUACCUUCUCACUUGCCACCAGCAAGGUCGCAAUGCCCUUGCCUAAAGCCUUCGUGGCCAAAUCUAGGCAAAGGCCACCUCCCUUUGCCAUAAGGCCUUGGGUGAGGGCAUUGCAGCCUCACUGGUCAUUGGCGACGCCAAUCGGAGUAGGUGAGGGCAUCAUGACCUCGCCAACUACAGGCGAGGCCUCAAGGGCCCUUGCUUGCUUUGGAUGGCAUCACCCAUAACCACCCAAAGCUGGUGAGGGCCCUCGUGGCCCUACCAGCAGCUAGCUAGAUGACCCUCACCCAGAUUGGGGGAGGUUUUCAUGGCCGGCGAAGGUUGCUGGUGACCAUCAACCCUAAAGAAAAAAAACAAAAUAAAAAUGAAAUUCAAAAAUUUCACGUAGGAUAAUUUGCCAAAAUUAGCAUUCAAGUGAUCGAUUUUACUUCGAUGUGGCACUCAAGUGAGUAAAAAAAAAGUUUUGACACUCAAAUGAGCGCCAUAUGAAAAUUUCGGCACUUCUAGUUUUCUUGCCAAUCUUAAUUUGACAAUUGGAGCACUUCUUGCCAGAAAUAAGGAUGUUGAUGUAAAAUUAACACCCCGGAUAUUUAGAAGUAUUGAACACAAACCUCAAUCGUUCCUUUUUCGAUAUUUUCUAGCUAGCAAUAGGAUAAGUUAAAUUAAACAAUGCUAAGACAGGUGGCAUGCAUUCACAUUUCAAAUGAAUGCACAUGUGAACUUAAUCUAGAGAUAUUUUCUCUCCAUCAGCUUCGCCCACAGCUACACCAGCAUCUCUCUCUCUCUCUCUGCACAAGCUUUGUCCCAUAAUCAAACCAAGAGUAGUAUUUUCUAAGGAUAAGUGUACUAAAAUUUCUAAAAUUUGUCGAGAAAUGCAAAAGGUGUAAUAAGUUCUUAGAAUUUGUCAAAGUUUUGUAAUCAAGUCUCUUUGUUAGUUCUAUAUAAUUUGAAUAACAGAAAAUCCCAACAUGAUUAUUUUAACUACUUUUGUUAUGACCAAAGCAAAAGCUACGACGAAAUUAAAUUUGAGAAAAUUAAAAAAAAAGAAAAACAUACAAAUUUACAUGGAAACUAUGGGGAAAAAAACUACAGGGAGAAAAGAAGCAAAAUCUACUAUGAAAAUUCAAGCAUUACCAACGGUGGCUUGGAAAACCUUAAGACUCUUUUUAUCACAUUUUUUAAACCUAAUAACUUAGGAAAAGAAUAAUAUUUAUAUUGCUCCAUACGGCAGGACGCAGUCCCCCCACCUCUGCAAAGGAUUAGUGGUGGGCUAGUGGUUUGGGCCUCGACCAACACUAAGCCUCCAUUUGUUUUUCUCAAGUUAGGUAGUCACAAAUUUCAAUUUGAGUAUCAAAACUCAAUUUAAUUCCUGAGAACAAAAUUCAAGACAUGCUCAACAAUUUCUUGAGACACGUGGCGCCCCCUAAGCACCACAUAAAAUAAUGAAAUUUUUGGGAAAAAAAUUAAAGAAAGAAAGAGAGAGCAAAAGUAAAAUAAGAAAAAAAUGAUAAUGUCGAACAAAAUGCUAAUAGUGAGGGGAAAAAGAGAGAGAGAGAAAGCAAGCAAGACCUCCGCUUCUGGUUUCCCAAAGGAACAGUGGUUUCGAUUCUAGCGAGCGAAAGUUGAGAUUAAAGGGAAUGAAUCUAUUUUGAGGGGGACUUUCAACCUUCGCAGAUCGCCUACGGAGACUUCUUGGAUCAAUUUUAAAUAUGAAAGGCUCCACUAUUCUGCCAUGGCUGUGGUAGGAUUGGCCAUGGCCGCCAUAGCUGUACCUUCAUCAUAGAUGCUGCGUCGACGGGGAGGUGCUCUCGAAUUUGCGGGCUGCGUCCAACCUUUUCUACAUCGACCCAUCAGUCGGUUCCAAUUCACAAUUUUGAUAAGGAACACUAAAAGUUUGAAAAAAAACUUCCUACGAUUGCUAUCAUUACGAAAAACCGAAAAAAAAAAAAAUGUGGACGGUCUUGCUACGGCGCCGCCCCCCACACCACACCCCGGGGGGGGGGGGGCGCUGGCGGGGGGCCUGGCGGCGUUUUUUCAACUUUUUGUUCCUUUUUUCUUGAUAUGAUCCUUUUCUAUUCAUUUAAAAAAAUUUAAAUUUUUUCUUUUAUAAUUUUAAUAAAAAAAAGCGUUAGCCAAAUUGAAAUGAGUUGAUGGAAUGACUUAAUUGUAUCAAUUUGACAAAUUUUAUGACUUAAUUGAACUUUUGCAACAAUGGUCACGCAUCAUGUUCAUGAUAAUGCAACCAAAAUUCCCCUGAUUAGGUUUCCACUUAUUAUUAGUCAAUGGCUUGACCCACAAUGAUAUCAUAAAUUAAUAUACAUAUAUCCAAAUACCCUUCAAUGGGCUCACAGAGAUACUCAGCAUAGUCAAUCAACCUCAAUCUCCAGAAUCCACAACCAAAAUAAAAAAACCAUUUCACAAUUCAACUUUAAUAACUACAUCACAACUUUUCACCAUUCGAUAAAUAAAUAUAUAUAGGUAGGUAUAGGCAGUCGUUCCAACUAAAGAGGCAGCAUAAAGAGGGAGGGCUGGUUCAGGAAAGGAGUAGGCCACAAUCAUUUCACAAUUCAGUUUAAUAACCAAAUCACAACUUUUCACUAUUCGAUAUAUAUACAUAUAUAUGUAUAUCAAAGCAGCUCAAAAAUCACAUUCAUAAAUCAUAAACAUUUUCAUUAUUCUUUCAUAGAAGGUUUCACAAACCAUUUACAAGCAAUCGGUUCAAACUAAAGUUGAAGGAUGACUCCCCAUUUCAAACAAACUAAUGAAACGGCAGUAAAUGUUCGAUCCUAUUUUGUGCAACAACAAAUGUUAUUUCUUAAGUUAGAACAUAUAUAAUCCAUAUCAUUUUCCAAACAUAAAAACAUAAAGAAUAAAUAGUAUCACUCAUCUAGGAAAGCCAAAAACCAACUUCGAUGGUUACUACAGCUGAUGCACUUAUUCCUAUUUUCUAUAAUCAUCCAUAUGCAUAAUGUGUGGAUAGCUCCAAGGGCCAAUUUCGAACGAAACACUGUAAUGUUGAUUCCAACGGGAGUAGUCCUCGCACACGACGCCAAAUACUUAUUUGUAAUUAUUAAAGGAAAACCAUUUACAAGUUGAACUAGAAACAGUGUUUUUGUUCCUUUCGCUUUAUCCGUUUUGUCCUUAUCGAAUCUCUGGUCCUAUAAAUUUCUGGCUCAAUCGACCAAACCCUCCGACAAUCAUCAGCAUUUCCGCUCCCUGAUUGAGCAAAUACAUGCACAACAUUUUCAGCACGAUGGCUCUCACCUCCCUCCUCCUCCACCUCCUCCUCCUCCUCUCUUCUCUCCAUGUCAGUAAUUUGUCGAGCUUUCACUCUCCAUGCGUAGCCAACUGCUCAUCUCUCUUUCUGUGUUUCCAUGCAAAGACAGGGCUAUAUGUUUAAUUCGAUAUCUCGCGCUUAAUUAGUAUAUACUCCUUACCUAAGAAUUGCUGAAAGAUUUUUGCGGCCAGUUACUCCAUUAGCAAUCACUUCUCAUCCAAUAUUUGUCAACCCAAUCUCUCUAUCCUGGUUUACAGUGCUUAGGUUAUCGGACCAACUGGGGAGCCCAGGCUUCAUAAGAAUUUAUUUACGCAUGCAAGAAACUAAACAUGUUAGUUUGUAUCAAAAUAAACCUAAAAAUAUUAUAUAUAUCUUCAUACCAAAAAGAAUAUUUUAUAUAAUAUAUAUUAGUAUAUAUAUAUAUAUAUAUAUAUAUAUAUCAUUUGGGUUAUCUUAAUGCAUGUCAGUAGAUCAAUUGUGUUUAUGUGUUCUUCAGGCUAACAAAGAAAUGUGAACGAAACGUAGAUAAUCAGGUCAACAUAUAAUACUUUGAUAAUAUGAAAGCAUGUAAGUUGCAAAAGUCAUUUUAAGUGAUUGAGCAUGACGUUACUACUUUAGACACAUGCAUCAGAGAGCAUACGUUAAUGAUUGUUAGGAAUAAAUUGUUGGGUCAUCUGUGUUCAUUGUGAAGAUAAUUUCAAUCAUGUUAUUAUGCAGUUCUAAUUUCGUGUUACGUGACUUGUACUUUUUUGCACGUUCAUUACAAUUUUCCAUAUGCCUAUUUUACUUCUAUAAUUAUGUCAUUGCACAAUUACAAUUACUUAAGUCCAUGAUGUCCAUUCUAACCGUGAUUACAUAAACUUCUAGCUCACAGUCACUCUUUGAUUUUCUUUUGUGGAUUGUCCUGCCAUAGGUCCUGACUGCCGUCGCUAGAGCUGCUCCCGAGGGGGACUCCCUCGACGGCGAGGCUAACUCGAUCUCUCCCAAAGCAUACCUUGUCCAUUACUGGAACAAGCAAAUCACCAACAACCUUCCCAAGCCACCAAUCCUCUUCUCCAAAGCGUCAACCCUGACGGCCACGUCAGUGACCAUCUUCGCCGAACUUGUCGCCAAAGGCGCCAUCUCUGACCACCUCCUAUCUUUCUGCGAGGAGGCGCAAUUGCUCUGCUUCAUGAACUCUGAUGGGGUCGCAGCGGCAAACUCGCUCGUCAACUACCCCAUCCCCCCACCUGUCCGCCGCCUCACUUAUACCCAUGGUGUCGAUACAAUUGUGGCAGCUGAUGACAAGAAAGUAAAUGGGGGCGUGGAGCAGGGCGAGUUCUUUCGAGAGUCGAUGCUGAAGAGCGGGAAUGUGAUGCCAAUGCCCGACCUCCGGGAUAACUUGCCAAAAAGGUCAUUUUUGCCUCGCCGCAUUUCCUCCGAACUGCCGUUCUCAACCUCAAAGCUCGCUGAGCUGAAGCAAAUCUUCCAUGCCAUUGAAAAUUCCACUAUGGAGAAGAUCAUGGCGCAAACGCUAAGCCAGUGGGAGGGUGCAGCACUCCAAGACGAAAUCAAGAGGUGUGUGGCCUCCAUCGAGGACAUGAUCGAUUUCGCCACCUCGGUUUUGGGUCAUGACGUCUUGGUCCGAUCCACGGGGAGCGCCAGAGGGUCGAAGCAGGAGGUCUUGAUCGGGGUGGUCAAGAGGAUCGAGGGCAGCGAAGUGAGCAAGCCCGUGGCCUGUCACCAGAGUCUAUUUCCUUACGUUGUCUAUUACUGCCAUACAUUUUCAAACGUCCGGGUUUACGAAGCAGACAUACUAGAUCCCAAAUCCAAGGCUAAGAUCAAUCACGGUGUCGCCAUCUGUCAUAUGGACACAUCAACUUGGAGCCCUACCCACGAGUCAUUCCUCUUGCUUGGAUCGGGUCCUGGCCAGAUCGAGGUCUGCCAUUGGAUAUAUGAGAAUGAAAUAUUAUUGGAUAUAUGAGAAUGAAAUAUUAUGGACAACUGCCAAGUCAUAAUGAAAGAAUAAAGUGUGGUGAAGAUGGAAUAAACAUGGGUUCGGCCUGUUGAUCAAGACAGAACUUAGCCUCUAGCUAGCUCCAUACGAAGUCCUCUCUCGCUUUGCAUUACAAUCUAAAUAUAGUAUCUGAAUCUGAUAUCCAUAAUGACGUGUUUGUGGUUGGUGAGAGACUAUUGUUAUGGUCAGUAAAUGGCAAGUGCUUUUUUUGUGAUUUGAGUACAUGUUCAAGUCUUUUUGCAUUCUCCUGUCCUUUGUAUUUAGAGAUCUUCCUAGCUCCUAUCUCUCAAUCUGCGUUACUAUCUUCGAGAAUUUCCAUCAACUUUCAACGAGGACCAAUAACUAUUUUCACAGGAGAAGUACACUAUCAGUGCCAUAAGUUGUGUACGGCGCUCACUUUGGUGCCAAAAAUUUUCGUCAGAUCACUUAAAUGCCAAAAAGUUUGAAAAAUGAUCAUUUUGGUGCCAACUUCGAUCAGAUUGACCGGAAAUCCGAUGUGGCACUUUUUUAUUAAUUUUUUACGCUGAUGUAGCUUGCCGGAGAGUACAGUCAGCAUGUAAACCACAAAAACGACGUCGUUUGAUGUCUCUCCCCCAAUUUAAAACCCUAAACCCUAAAUCUGCUGGAUAAUCUUGGCUACUGCCGCCCUCUUCGUCCUCUUCUCCUCCCUUGCCGUCCUCUCUGCCGCCGCCCAUGGCACCGCCAAGCACCACCACCUCCUCCACUACCUCAACGAGUUCGGCGACUGUAGCAAGCAAGUCACUGUCGACCCCUCCGCCUCCUUCGAGAACCCGUGCCUUCGUAAUGCCUACGUCGCCCUCCAUGCCCUAAAGCAAGCCAUCCUCUCCAACCCCAACAACUUCACCGCCAACUGGGUCGGCCCCGACAUCGGCAGCUACUCUAACGUCUUCUGCUCCCCCGCCCCCAACAAACCCGGCGUCCACACUGUCGCUGGCGUCAAUGGUUUUCCCUCCUCCUCCCCCUUCAACCACCCACAUCCCUCGCCUCUGCCUCCAUUGGUGAUGGGCCAGUCGCCAUCCUUGACGGCCCUCGUGCUCGGCGGCCGCGGCUCCGACCCCGACCCUGACCCCAACCUUGACUUGGCCACUUGGCGGCCAAGUUGAAGGCCGUGAUCUUGCUCAAGUGCAAACCUCACGUCGCCAAGCGACGGCGGCUGAGCAAGCUAGGUCGACAGCCGAGCGACGGCGGCCGAGCCAGCUAGGUCAGCGGCCAAUGAGGAUCGGAAAACCUAAUUUCAAUCUCCAAAUAAAAUAUAAAAAAAAUCCCAAAAUGAGUUGUGUGGCGUCAUUUUUGUGAGACCAUCCACUUAGAACGGCAAAACGAUGUCAUUUUCUUAAAGAGGACGGAAAACGACGUGGUUUCUCAAGCCAUGUCGAUUUUUUUUUUUUUUAAAUAUAAAAGCCACAUCAUCAUUUUGGCCGGAAUCUCUCGCCGGUGACACCAAAGUAAUCAUUUUUUCUCUGAUUUGGCACUUAAGUGAUCCGAUUAAAACUUUUGGCACCAAAGUGAGCGCCGUACACAACUUAUGUCACUGAUAAUGUACUUCUCCCCUAUUUUCAUGAAACUAUUAUUCUAUAAACUGGGGACAGAUAAGAAUGCAGUGUUUUUCGAUAAAAGAAAGUGGCCCAGUGGUCGGAGGUCCCAACGUGAUUGUUUUUAUACACUUGACAUUGAAGAGCAAGAGUUGCCUGGUUCAAUCUUGAAGUGGCACCUCUCACUUUUUUUUUCCUUUGAAUUUUGCUUUUAAACUUUUCUGCAUUUAUCUUUUGCUUGCACUUUCAAGGUCACAUAAACUAUAUGUCAUCAGAUCAUUGCUUUCUUUUUCUUUUAUUUUUUUAUUUUAGCUUUUUUUAAGCGUUUGUCAUUGGAACAAGAUGAUUCAAUAAGAACCCAUAAUAUGAGAUUAGACUUCUAAAAUCCUGAAAACUUCACAUGAAUGAUUCUCAUACAAUAAAAAUGUAAAAACUAAAUCUACUUAUGUUUCGCUGGAAUUACUCUUACAACGAAAUAUCUUUCAUUGAAAGUCGUGCUUCAAUUUUAUUAAGGGGGACAAGGGUUAUGUGUCAACUCCAGAGAGGGGAUAUCUUAUGCCUAAAGGAAUUGAACUUCUUUGAUCCAAACAACACUAUACAAUCUUAGACUAAGUCGGAAUUUAAUCAACAACAAGGCCAAAAAUAAAAUAAAAUUACAAGACUAGUGUCAAACUAUGCCGGAAUAUAACCAACGACACAAGUUAAGGAUGGUAAGAUGUAGAAUUGGAAUUCAAUCAAUGACAACGUACCAGGAUAGUAAGAUACAGCGAUGGAAUUUAAUCGACCAAGAAUCAAAUCGACCACGGGAAUCUAAAAGUUAUAGCUAAUGAAAUUAAAGUGCAAUACAGAAAAAGUAAAGAUAGAAAGAUGACAUUUUGAUAAAUUUGUCGAUGGCUUCUUGUUGGAUGACUAGUGGUAUUUAUAGUGAAUGUAUGAUAACCGUUUUGUAGCUGCAUCUUCUCUAGUAAUUGCUAUUGGCUUUAACCAUGAUCCUUUAUUCUUGUAGAUCACUUUGCCCAUACUUCAUAUAACCGUCCUGUUUGUGUUUUGAGGAUUAUGCAAUUAUCAAUGCCAUUCUAUGACUGGGGCUCCAAAUAGCAAUGGUUUUUUUUUUUUUUUUGACGACGUGCGUUUUUUAUGCUAACUACCUUAGCACCUUGAGUAAUAUUCAAAGAGAAAAAGUUGUCGCCAAAGUUUAUACGGGCAGCUACCAAUCGUCCAUUGUCAUAUUUCAAUAAUUGGACACGUGGCAUUUUUUUUUAUCUCAUCGUCGAUAUCACUGGAUAGCUGCCCCUACUCUUGUUGAUAGUCCGGCAUACAUCAAACAUCAUUGUGCACAUGACUAUAACUUAUUUCUGUCUCAAUGUUUUGUAUUUUUCACCCUGCAGCAGGGACGAGCCAACCGGAUCAAUUAUGAAUGUCAACAACCUCAUAAAAUAAUGACACUCCUAAUAUGGUAGAGAGGGUUUUCUUAUUCGUGUGGAGUAACAUAGAUAAUUUGCAAUAUUCCUAAAGUGCUACGGCCGAGGUAAAUCUCAACUUUAAUAUCAGCUAUGUAGUUCACAAUUUCAUGAAAGAUCAUGUAUUCAUGAGAGGACAUGUAACAUUUUCUUUGAAGAUAAAUAUUCAUUAUUGUGUAUUUCCUUGUUUAUAUAAAGUGACGCAAUUUGUCAUGCGAUUGAUAAAUUUCUUUGUUUGUAACUAUACUUUUAUCUUUUAACACUCUUAGCCCAUGAACCUGCAUCGCUGAAUGGCCACUUCUGAUGUAUUCGUUUCUUGGAUGAGCAUUUGUCUGGCUUGGCAGUGAUCGACCCAUGUGGCCACAAUGAAUAGUGGAAGCAAAAUUGGUGAACAGAAUUUAAAGAAAAGAGUCGAGUCCAAUUGAAGAAAUCGUACAAAACCGGGGUGGGACCGUGCAUCGAUAAAUCCAGGUUCUUUCUACAUAUUCUGUCGUUGGGCUGCAAGAGAGAUCAUUGAGAAUGCGUAUAAAUAAAGUUCCUAUUAUCUUUUAUAUGCCAAAGGUACGAGCGUAGUCACUCAGUUACUUGAAGGUUCAUGAAAUACUCUACAAGUCUCACAAAUCCUUUGAGCCCUAGUUUUGUAAUUGUUGGCAGGUUUGGAUAAAAGUUCUGAGGCUUUGAUUGAGAAGUCAUGGAAAAUCGGGUGGAUAGGCUAUUUGCAUAUGGAGUAAAAAUCAGCUCAGGGUUCUUCAUGGGAUCCAAGAACCACAUAGAGAGAUAUAUACUAUUAUAUGGUAUUUUUUCCCCCAAAAAAAUCAUAUGAUAGAAAAUGCGGGUAUACGUGUUCUCCGAUGUAGUUUCAUUUUGUAAAUGAACCAGUUAGUCGUUUCUUUUCCUAAUCCCUGGAAAGAAAGCACAAAUCCUAGAGAUUUCAUUUAUCUCUAGUAGAAGUGAUUGUAAUUAGGUUUACUCAUAAUGGCAUCUAAUUACUUUAACCCUAGUUCUAGAUUAGCUAGCCAAUUACACAGUUUCUCUACUGGAGUACAUGCCCAUAUAUAGAAAAUCAAAGUUUUGAUCUUAAAAAUUUAUCAGAUCACUGUACAACUUGAUUACUUAACCGAGAGCUGUCCAAUCUGAGGAACAGAUGGAUGCCGUUUCAUUGUUUAAUAGUAUUAUUACAAAAAAACUUGUCCUUUUGCGAAAUUGGCAUUUUGCAUUAAGCCAGUUGUUUUUCAUUACCAAGACCUACCAUGUCUGAAGCAUAGAUGACUGCUUUUCUUUAAUGGCGUUUUAAUCAAGUAGAUUAAUAUGACUUACUACCUAAAUAGUUUUUGUUUGUAGCUAAUUCUGAGGUGUUUGUUCUUAUUCUCUUCCAUCCUUUCAUCAAUCUCAUGGGCUUUUUUCCCAUCACCUUCCUUUGUUUCGUGCUCAAACGCAAGACUGAUGGCAAGUGCAUCUUCAAUCGAUAGAAUCUUUUAAGAGGAAAUUCUAUACAAAUCUAACUUUCAUUUACACUUUCCCUUCAAAAUGUGAAACAUAUGUAUUUCUUUUGGGUGAUAUCCAUAAAUGUAACUUACCCAUCAGAAGAUUGAGCCGGAAGAAAUCAUGACACUUUUUUAUAACAAACGAGUUAAGGAAUUGCUUAAGUGAUAACCAUAAUUAUAUACCUCACUCGAGCUUUGGGUUCAAAUCACUGCACUUAUGCAAGUACAGGCCUAGGUGUCAACAAUAAUUACUCGAUCUGUGCAAAAUUAGAAAACUGUCACAACUAGUAAAGAUUAGAUGAUUUCUCAAAUUAGGAAACUGUCACAACUAGUAAAGAUUAGAUGAUUUCUCAAAAAGUCACAAUUACCCCAUUAUCAUUAGAAAAAAAAAAACCGACUAUUAAUUUAUGCGACAGCAAUGAGACGAAUUAUGUGUGUGUGUGUGUGUGUGUGUGUGUGUGUGAGAUAAUCAAACAGAAGGCAGAGAAUAUUCGAUAUGAUACUUAUUAAUUGCAAGUUAUAUUAAAAAAAUUUAAUUAAAUUUUUUUUUUCGCUUGACAGAGAACAUUUGAUAUGAAAGUUUAGUUAACUACAGGUUGCACCUGUAAGGUGCAAAAUUGGUGGUUAAGAGUCCCAACUUGAUAGUUUGUGUUAUAAAGUUACAACAAAAAACUUACAAAACUAAUAGGUAUGGACACACAUUUGCGAUAGGGAUAACUCAGCCUCCGUCCCAGCCUAACAAGCUCUCACUACCAUUGAAUCUGUCAAUUGACUAAUGGAGCAGAUUGGAGCCUUCUGAUCGGUCCAAUCAUAUGAUUGGGAAAUCUCUAUGUUUAUAGCUAUACUUUUACCUUUUACUGGCUUUCUCCAAAAAUUUUAUUACGUAUGGAAUAACAAACGGCCUAUAAUUAUUUGAAAUUGCUGCGGAAACGGACGGGAUCUUUCUAGCAUGACCUUACUACGAAGACUUUGUUGUGGGCUAAUAUUAGAGCAGCCCUUGGGCCUGCAUCGCUUGUGAAUGGCACUAACGAUGUACUCGUUUCUUGCAUGAGCAAUUUUCUGGCUCAGCAGUGAUCGACCCAUGUGUCCUGGAUGAAUAGUAGAAGCAAAAUUGACAUUGGCGAAGAGGGUCAACAGAGAAGAUGUCCAGUCCGAUUGAAGAUAUCAUACGCAUCCGGGGUAGACCCGCCUUUGUCCAUGUGAUCCCAAACUUUGUGGACUGUGCAUCGAUAAAUCCAGGGUCUUUUGAUGUAUACUGUCGUUGGGAUGCAAGAGAGAUCAUUGAGAACACAUGGGCACCAAAGUCACUAAAUUUACAAGCCAACGGCAUGAGAGUAGAGGCUUGGUUACCUGGAAGCCUAUAAAAACCCUGCAAGCCUCAUGAAUAGUCCAAGUGGUCUGCGCAGGUGGUUCUGACUAGAGCAGCUUGUACACGGUUAUUGGAAUUCGAACAAAUGAACUCCAAUUUCUGACUUACCAAUUUCUAGAUUUGCAAUAGGCAAAUUGUUUAAACAUCUUCGUGGAAAAUAAAUAUUUUCCAUUUAUUAAGUUAAGUGAAAGCGAUAAUUUUACAAAAAAUAUUUUUCAAAUCAUUCAUUUUCUAUCAAACAAACAAAGCCUAGGUAUAACGGUGAAUAUGAACAUCUUUAUGCGUAAAUGUUAAAUCCACGAGUUUGCCAAGGUGGAUUUAUAGCUGAUAUGAAAAUGCAACUUCAGGCAUGUUGGAAGGAGGGUUAGCGUUAGGGGAAAUUUGGGGCUUGAAUUAAAGUUUGGGAUUUUCUUAGAUAAAAAGUUCGGGGUUUUUUUAGAGUAUUGAAUCAAUCAAAAGUGACCAAAUUUUGAUUAUUAUCGAUGAGAACAAAGUUUGGUUAAAACAAAAAUUAUCAAUAAACUGAACAGUAAACGAAUUGAAAAAAUUGGAUAACUUACCGAUAGAGUUAUCAAUAGAAAAUUAUGCAUAGAUUAUCGCUGAGAUCCUUCACUAUAGACAAAUUGAAGGAGAUCGAUAAGCCAUCAACAACAAAUAAUUACCACAAGUAAUCGCAAAUUUCCAGUGAAAUAUUGAGGCUGUGUAAUUCAUGACCAAAACAGAGGUUUGCCACGAAUACAUCAAUAGGCAAAUACGGUGGAUUCACACCAACACUUGAUCAUUAGGUGGUUAUGCCUAUAACCAUGGAAUUUAUGACUUCUUCUGGAUAAUCACUAUUGAAUGAUAGAGGAUAAUGUUUAGUCUCAUAAAGCAUAUGUAGUACUUUAGCUUUAGCUGGUACGUCCAUGAUGGGGUGCGAACAGAACGCACUGUUUCGUCUUGAUGCGUUACGAUGGAAAGUCACUAAUGGAGGGGUACGAAGGGAGACGUAUAAAAUCCUCCCGAACACAACCGUUGGAAUGGUUGGCCAUUCAUUCGCACCAAAUUUUCUCUGCAUUUCCAUUAAAGAAGAUCAAGGCAUUCCAUUUCAUCUUUGCAAGAACAAUCGGCAUUUACGCCGUGGAAAUCGGGUGUUUUCCUCGUGAUUGCAUCCAGACUAACGUGAGGUAGUGUUGUUCGUGAUUUCGUUGGCAAUUCAACGUUCGUUCCGGGGCUAUUUGCUGUUUGCACAUCGGAAUCAGGUAAGUCGUCUUCCGCCGACUUAAAUUCCAACAUUGGUAUCAGAGCCCGAUCGUGAUUUCUGCCUUGUUUUUCAUCGAGUUUUCACAUUUACCAUUUGAUAUUGAGAUCAAGAGAUAGUAUUCUACACUGUUUGGAUCUCUGAUAGUCGGAAUUGCCCUAUGAAAAACUCGAAAUUGAACCGGAGCGAAGAACGGGUUCGAGGUCGUGUGCACCCGUGAGGUUUUGGCCAUUUUUUGAAAUAAUUUUUUGAUCAAAAUUAAUUUUUGAAUAUACCGGGUGAAAGAGCUCGUCGAGACGAGUCCGGCGGUGGGUCGAGCGCCGCCAGGCGACGCCGGACGCGCCCACACGCGCGGCCAGAAGCCGUUGCGCAUGGGCGCCACGCGCCUGAAGCGCUGGCACAGCCAGCGCGUCCGCCACACGCGCUGGUUAGCGAACCGGCACGUGCGGACGCGCGCCAGCCGGCGAACCGGCGCGUGAUGACGUCACCAUGACGUCACCCAACGGUCGGUAACUACUGGGAUGACGUCAUCAAUGACGUCAGCGCCAACGACAGUUGGCCGGCCGGCGACCCGACCCGACCCGACCUGACCCGACCCGACCGUUGACCGGUCAACGGCCGGACCGGUCGGACCGGCCAGGAGCCGUUUGGCUCGCUGGCGCGUGCGCCGCACACUCAGGCGGCGCAUGGGGGUGCGUGCGAGCUCCGAUUGGAGCGUGGUCGGUCGUGUUUGGUUUGUAUGAGUGUCCUCUACACAGUGGUAUAAUUAUUUUAUACUUUUGAAUUUUAUAAAUGCAUGAAAAUGCGUAGGAAACCCUAUGUACGCGUAUUUUUGGGGUUUUAAUGCAGCUUAUUCAUUUGUAGCUUGUAUUUUCUUGUGAUUAGGGAAAUACAGUAGCUAGCCUGUGUGCAAAUGAUGUUAUAUAUGUUGUGUAGAGCUUGGUUCAAUGAUAUGAUGUAUAUAUUUUAAUAUACUUGCAAUUUUCUAGUUGCUAGAAAAUUAGAACAAUGGUAGGAAAUCCAUUACAUGUUGAAUUGCAAUUUUAAUUAUAGUUGAAGCAUGAUUGUUGUUUAUACGUUGGUUAUUAUCAUGCUAUGUUUUUUGUGUUAAGGAAAAAUGUAGAAAUUACAUAAGGUCAUGUAAUUAUUUUUCCUAGUGGGAGUUCGUAAGUUGGUAGAAUUGAAAGAAGUUCUCACCUAGAACUCAAAAUUUGUGCAAAUUAAACUAAUUAAUGAUAAUAGAACAUUUGUACAUAGAAGUUGAUUGGGAACAUAGUGAACUUUUGCCUCUGUGUCUUUUGUUGAAUUAUCAUUAAUUUAGUUUGUCUUUGCUGCAAAUUAAAUAUGUGUGUUACUCUGUAUAGUGUGCUAGUAUUGAUUUUGCGUUUAUUAUGUCAAUGUGUUAUAGCAAUGGCAUCGGCAUCCAAGACUAUUGUGGCUAACCUCAAUAAGGGUGAGAAGCUGAACGGUGACAAUUAUGAUAUUUGGCACCGAAAGGUUCAGUACAUCCUUGAGGAGCAAGAGGUUUUGGAAACCCUCAACCAUACCAUGGAUGAACCUGAGUAUGGAACUUCAGCUUAACACAGGAGAGAUCUGGAAGCUUCUCAAGCUUGGAAAAAGAAAAAUAGCAUUGCUCGCAUCACGUUGCUGAGCUGUAUGCAAGAUGAUCUCAUCUGUGAGUUUGAGAGUUAUGACAAAGCUCAAGCUAUGUGGGUUGCCUUGAAAGAUAAGUUUGGGGGUACAUCUGCUACUAAGCUGAGGAGACUUACCAUCAAGUUUGACACAUUUCGAAAGCGCCCAAAUGUAAUGAUGAGGCAGCAUCUUCGGGAGAUGUCAAACAUGAUCCGUGAGCUGAAGUCGGCAAGUCACUCCCUUACUGAUGAACAGUAAGUUCAGGCUGUUAUAAGGUCUCUUCCUGAUAAUUGGGAGCAUAUGAAGAUCAAUAUGACGCAUAAUGAGAAUAUUGUCACUUUUGAUGAUAUUGCGCGUCAUUUGGAAUUAGAGGAUGAGCGCCUAGAGGCUGCAAGAUCCUCUACCCAUGCUUAUGUUGCUGAAUCGAGUUCGCGCAAGGCUUCAGGCUUCAAGCGCAAGAGGAAUCUUCAGUUCAACAACAAAGGGAAGAUGACUGAUCAGGGACCCAAGAGGGCUAAGACCUUCCGACGCAAGAAGCGUGGUGGGAAGAAGGACAAGGCCAAAAUGGAGUGCCACAAUUGUGGCAAGAUGGGUCACUUUGCUCGUGAAUGCACUGAGCCGAAAAAGGUACCCUAUUACUCCAUUACUUUGAGUAAUGCUUUUGUUUCUAGUACUGUAAUGCUUACUGAAUCUCAUCCAAUGUUGACUGUAGACUCAGGAGCAACAGACCAUGUAGCUAGAGACCGAGAAGCAUUUGUGGAGUAUCGUCGGAUACUGUCUGGAAGAAGAUGGAUAUAUGUUGGGAAUAAUUCAAGAGUUGAAGUGAAGGGUAUCGGCACAUGUAAAUUAAUCUUACGUGGUGGUCGAAACCUGUUCCUGCAUGAUGUCUUUUAUGCUCCAGAUAUUCGACGAAACUUGGUCUCUGUAGUUGUUCUUCUUAGCUUAGGUUAUGUAUUGAAUUUCCAUGGUGAUUGUGUUGACAUUUUGUAUGGAACAGUUUAUUAUUAUUCAGGUCAUGUAUCGAAUGGUUUUAUGGUGUUAGACAUUGACUAUGAUUAGUACAAUGUUAAUGUUGAUGGUUGUUUUUCUUUAAUUGCGUCUUCUAACAAUGUUGAGAUUGAUGCAAGUACUUGGUAUGCUAGAUUAGGUCACAUUGGAUUGCAAAGAAUGCAAAGAUUAGCUAGAGAAGGCCUUUUAGGGUCACUCACUAAUGUUAGUCUAUCCGUAUGUGAACAUUGUUUGGCGGGAAAAACAACUAGAAAACCAUUCGGUAAAGGGACUAGAGCUGAAUUUCCAUUGCAUCUCAUACAUUCUGACAUUUGUGGUCCUUUGAAUGUGAGGGCGAGGCAUGGAGCCUCAUAUUUCAUCACUUUCAUAGAUGACUUCACACGUUUCGGUUAUGUCUUUCUGAUCUCCCAUAAGUCAGAAGUAUUGGACUGCUUUAGACGACAUAUAGCGAUGGUAGAGAAUCAGUUGAACAAAAUAAUAAAGGCAUUGAGAACCAAUCGUUGACGUGAGUAUCUAUCAGAGCAAUUCAAGGCUCUUUGUGAUGAAAAGGGAAUUGUAAAACAAUUGACUAUUCCUGGUACCCCACAACAAAAUGGGGGUAGCUGAGAGAAGGAAUAUAACCCUAUUGGAAAUAGUUAGGUCUAUGAUGGCGCAAGCAAAUCUACCUAUCUCCUAUUGGGGAGAUGCGUUAUUGACUGCUGCCUAUAUACUUAACCGUGUGCCCUCAAAAUCGGUCACUUCCAUCCCUUAUGAAUUAUGGACUGGUAGGAAACCAGACUUGAGUAGUCUACGUCCAUGGGGAUGUGCAGCUUAUGUUCAUGAUUCUUCCCAUAAACAUGGAAAAUUAUGUCCUAAAGGGAAGAAAUGUAUCUUUAUAAGAUAUUCCGAACACUCCAAAGGGUACGUGUUCAUGGGUGAACAAGCUGAUGGAAGUGUGACCAAAAUGGAGUCACGAGAUGUCACGUUCUUGGAGAACGAUUUUCCUAAUAGAGGUGAGAUUGAUAAGGACUUCCAAUUAUAUGAGAUGGAAGAUCCUAAUAACACACCCACUGAUGUUGUAGAGGGAAAUGUAGAUUUACCUCAACAUACAAGACCUAGUGGGAGUGUUGCAUCGCCUGAUGAAUUGAAUUCAAGAGAAAUUCAAUUGCGUAAAAGUGAUCGUAAAAGUAUUCUUCGUCGUCGUUUUGAGAUUGAAGGGGAAGCAUUUAUGAUUGCUCAAAAAGACGAUGCCGAGCCUAAGACUGUUCAAGAGGCUCUCUCAUCCUCUGACAAGGAAGAAUGGAGAAAAGCUUUUGAAGAUGAGAUGGAGUCAAUGAGGGCAAACCAUGUUUGGGACUUGGUUGAUAUACCACCCAAUCGUAAGGCCAUUGGAAACAAAUGGGUCUUCAAGAUUAAGCGUAGGGCGGAUGGAUCCAUUGAAAAGUAUAAGGCUCGCCUUGUGGCAAAAGGUUAUACUCAACAAGAGGGUAUAGACUAUGAGGAAACUUUUUCACCAGUUGUAAGGUUUGCCUCAAUACGCCUUAUUCUAGCCAUCGUUGCACAUUUGGAUAUUGAAUUACAUCAAAUGGAUGUAAAGACAGCAUUUCUCAAUGGAGAAUUAGAUGAGGAAAUCUAUAUGAAACAACCAAUAGGUUUCAUAGCUAAAGGUCAAGAGCAUAAAGUUUGCAAGCUUCAUCGCUCAAUAUAUGGCCUUAAGCAAUCAUCUAGACAGUGGUAUUUUCGUUUUCAUCGAGCAAUAAUAACUUUUGGUUUCACGAUGAUCGAAGAAGAUCACUGUGUAUAUGUCAAGCGGUCCAAAGAUAAAUUUGUGAUUUUAUCACUUUAUGUGGACGAUAUUCUGCUGGCUGGAAAUGACAAGGUUUUGGUUAUCACCAUAAAAGAAUGGUUGUCCUCCAAUUUUGAGAUGAAGGACAUGGGAGAAGCUGCUUAUAUAUUAGGAGUUAAGAUCGAAAGAGAUCGAUCAAGGAAACUCCUUACUUUAUCACAAGAGUCUUAUAUUAUGAAGAUUCUUGAGCGUUUCAAUAUGCAGCAUUGUAAUCCCAUUGAUACCCCUGUCAUGCAAGGUGAAGGCCUAAGUACUGAGAUGUGUCCUAAGACUCCAGAAGAAAUCAAAGUGAUGGAAACUGUUCCUUAUGCUAGUGCGGUCGGAAGUUUGAUGUAUGCUAUGAUGUGUACUCGACCCGACAUAUGCUAUGCCGUGGGAUUGGUGAGCCGAUAUCAAUCAAAUCUCGGUCAAGCACACUAGAAAGCAAUGAAGAGGAUCCUGAGAUACUUGAAGGGCACCAAGGACUAUCGACUUUGUUACUAAGGGAAUGAUUUACGCCUAUUAGGUUAUUCAGAUGCCGAUUGGGGUGGAGACCUGGAUGAGCGUAAAUUGACUUCUGGAUAUGCAUUCUUGCUCAAUGGAGGUGCAAUUUCUUGGAAUAGCAAGAAACAGACAUGCACGGCCUUGUCUACGAUGGAGGCAGAAUUGAUUGCAUGUUAUGCCGCAAUGCAAGAAGCAGUAUGGCUAAAACGUUUCUUGGAAAAUUUAGCCACUGUCACUGAAGUUCCAAGACCGGUGACGGUUUAUUGCGAUAGUCAAGCAGCCAUUGCCCAUGUGAAAGAUCCCAAGUAUCAUGGAAGGACAAAGCACAUUGACAUAAAGAAUAACUUCAUCAGAAUUAUUAUAGCGCAGAAAGAAGUGAUCCUGCAAUACAUUUCAACCAAUAGAAUGGUUGUUGAUCCAUUUACGAAGGCUAUUCCUAGAGACAUGUUCUUGACCCAUAGGAUGUCACUAGGAUUGCGUAGAAUGUGAUAUCUGUUAUUGUAGAGGAUAAUUAGUUUAUGUAUUUGUGGACAGAUGUAUUGUACUUGUUUGUUUAUUAGUGAUUUGAUGUUUUAUCAAUAAGUACAAAUCCACUAUGAGACUAGCACAAACACACAUAUAUUAUUGAAAAGUAUGUCAGCAGGCAAUGAUUGGCUCACUCACACGAGCAAUCGCCUCAAGUGCUGUAGUUAGCAUGUUGAGAUGAGACGUUAUGUACAAAUAAAUGCUGAAGAGCAAGUUUGGUACAUAAAAUAUGUCGCCUUGAUUGGAGUCAAGAUGAGGUCUGUGAUUGGUUUAUAACAAGACCGAACAUGAUAGUCCCACAAUCAUGUAUGCCUGAAAGAUGCCGGAUGCGAGUACUUAAUUGGGCGCUAUAGAAAGCGAGCUGAUAUAGCACUCGGGCUAAACAUGAGUACGUGAGAAGCACGUGACUAUGUUUAGGCUAAGAUCUGUAUGGUGGAUAUAUUUGAUAAAUGACAUACGCUCUUAUAGAAAGAGUAAUCCACUAUAGCAUGUAAUUCAUACUACAUGUGCAUUAUACGACCAACAAGGGAAGGUGAGUAAAAUUAUCCCUAUUUACUCAUAGUGUGAGUCCUUGAGGUAAUUUAUAAUUUACCUCAACUUUGUGCCCUAUGUUACUUCUGACUAUGUUCUCGAAGUGAAAAAUCAGUGUUGCUACUUUAGCAUGUUACGGGCGGACAUGAAUAGAUAUGACCUAUGGGACAUGUCUAGGAAAGCAGUUGUUCUGAAAUUGAGAGAGACAUGAGUGCGAAGGAAGACUAUUGUUGUUUUACAUCUAUCACAUGUAUUUACUGGUCGACCAAUUAUAUCGCCCUUUGUGGUUGCGGAUGUAAUUGUAAAUACAUGGUGUUUUUUUUUAGAAUAGUAAAGUAUAGCCUUUAAGGGAUAGGUAUACUUGGACUGAUGUAACAAAAUAUGUCUGGGGCACUGUGAGACAUCCAUUGUUUAUUUCUUUUCGGGGUUGUAGCCAUUAUGUUAUCCCUAACAGGUGCAUAAUUUGAGCUCCCAAGUGCAGGUGUACUCACUGGUCGCACGGCUUAUUUGCCAGUAUAAAUUGUUUUGUAAAGUUGAUGAAUGUUGAAUGCCUUAUAUUCUUGAUAGAGCGCUAUCAAACCCAUCAUGUCCGAGUGGGAGAUGUAGUACUUUAGCUUUAGCUGGUACGUCCAUGAUGGGGUGCAAACGGAACGCACCGUUUCGUCUUGAUGCGUUACGAUGGAAAGUCACUAAUGGAGGGGUACGAAGGGAGACGUAUAAAAUCCUCCCGAACACAACCGUUGGAAUGGUUGGCCAUUCAUUCGCACCAAAUUUUUUCUCCAUUUUCAUUAAAGAAGAUCAAGGCGUUCCAUUUCAUCUUUGCAAGAACAAUCGGCAUUUAUGCCGUGGAAAUCGGGUGUUUUCCUCGUGAUUGCAUCCAUACUAACGUGAGGUAGUGUUGUUUGUGAUUUCGUCGGCAAUUCAACGUUCGUUCCGGGGCUAUUUGCUGUUUGCGCAUCGGAAUCAGGUAAGUCGUCUUCCGCCGACUUGAAUUCCAACAGCAUAAUUGCUCACCAAUAAUUGUAAAGAGUGCUAGGAAAUUAUUCGUGGAUUCAAAUCAAUAACUGCUUGUAAAAACUGCCCCAUGGUAAGAGAUAAAAGCCCCAUGUUAUAAUCAUUGUAAACAAAAUCAAUCAACACCUAAUUUUCUAUUCUUAUGCACAUUUAAUUUCUUCUUUAAUUUUCCAGCAAAUGCACCGUUUUAGUAUCUUCAUAUAUUCGUCCCUUUAAUGAUUCUCGCAACUUUUAAUUUCCGAUACUUGCACUGCAAUUUCUUUACUUCUAUAGUCAUUUACAUUCUUGUCUAGAACCAACAAAGAAUCUAUUUUCUUCAAUAUUCAUCGAUCCGAUUCAUCUAUUGAUAUUUACACUUUUUGGUGAAACACUAGCCUCAUUGUUUGCACUAGUGAAUGUUUGGAGUUGAACUCGUGUCAAGCAUUCUAAUUAUUCCACAAACAUGUGUUACUUUUUAUAUCACUAAAUCAACUCUAAUGGAUUUUGAUGUUAUAACUUCCAAACGAAGAGCGUGUAAAGAGUGGAAAUUAGAGAAUCACAGUUCGCUUACUUUAUAAUUUCUUUUCCAAAAAAAAAAAAUCUGAUCAGUUAUUGCAAGGAAAGAAUUAUUGUGCGACAAUAGAUGCUCAAUUAUUCGAUGGAGAUUAAAUCCUCAUACAUGUGUAAGGUGACAAUCAAUAAGGAAAGGUCUAAGGCACGCAUGAUGGUGAUGGAUUUGUAUCUCUCCAAACAUGCCUAUUUUGUGCACUACAAUCCGACAUGUCUUGUCCCAUAAAGCUUAAUCCAUUAAAUUGUGAGCCACAGAAUUUACAAGCAUCUAUGGAUUUAUUGUCAUCACUCUCAAAGAUCUCAAUAGUUGGAGCACUUCUCUCCAAAAAUGAGGAUAUAUUGAUGUGAAAUUGACACCCUAGAUAUCCAGAAGUUAGUGCAAACAUAAACUUCAAUCGUUCCUUUUCUAAUAUUUUCUAAAUAAUAGUAGGAUAAACUUCAAUCGUUCCUUUUCUAAUAUUUUCUAAAUAAUAGUAGGAUCAGUUAAUGUUAAACAAUGCUAAGCAAGUGGCAUGCAUUCACUUGUCAAAUGAAUGCACAUGUAAAGAUAACCUAAAUAUAUUUACCCUUCAUCUGCUUCGCUCAUAGGGCAUCUUUCUCAUAGGCACGUCUCUCUCUCUCUCUCUCUCUCUCUCUCUCUCUCUCUCUCUCUCUCUCUCUCUCUCUCUCUCUCUCUCUCUCUCUCUCUACGGAGGUAGGCACAAGCUUUGUCUUGUCAUCAAACUAGGACGAGUAGUAUUUUUAUAAAGAAAAGUGCACUAAAAGUUUUAAAAUUUAUCACAUCUUAAGACUUUCAAAAUUGUAAUCAAAUGGUAAAACUUGUCAAAAUAGUGUAAUUAAGUUCUACGUGCUCUAUUAUUAUUUUUCCCAAAAAAGAAAAAAGAUCCAAUCAGUUAUUGCAAGAAAAGAAUUUUUGUGAAGGUGAGUGACGGCAGAUUUUCAAUUAUUCAACAGACAUUAAUCCAUGUACAUGCGUAAGGUGACAAUCGAUAAGGAAAGGUCUAAGACACGCAUGACGGUGAUGGAUUUGUAUCUCUCCAAACAUGUCCUAUCAUGUGCAGUACAAUCCUAGAUGCUCGUCCCAUAAUGCUUAAUCCUUGAAAUUGUGAGCCACAUAAUUCAUAAGCAUCUCCAGAUUUAUAGUCAUUGCUCUAAAAUAUCUCAAUUUACCAAUUGGAGCACUUCUCGCCAAAAAUAAGGAUGCUAAUGUGAAACUGACACCCUAGAUAUCUAGAAGUGAGGGCCCACAUAAACCUCAAUCAGUCCUUUUCUAAUAUUUUCUAGUUAACAAUAGGAUAAAUUAAAAUUAAACAAUGCUAAAACAGGUGGCGCGCAUUCACAUGUCAAAUAAUUGCACACGUAAAUUUAAUCUAGAAAAGUUUUCUCUCCAUUUGCUUCUCCCACAGCUACACCAAUUGCACUAGCACUGGCCUCCAUAGCACUGCCAUUGAUUCGAGCAUUUUUCUCGCAAGCGUAACCACCUCAAUCCGGGCACUGGCCUACACCAGUUCUAAAAAUUUGUCGAAAAGUGCAAUCAAACCAUAAAAUCUUCAAAAAGUAUAAUAAGAUCUUAGAACUUGUCAAAGUUGUGUAAUCAAGUCCCUUUGUCAACUUUCUAUAAUUUCAUUAGUGAAAAAUGCCGACAUGAUUAUAUUAAUUACUUUUGUUAUGACCAAAGCAGAAACUACUACAAAUGAAACUAAGAAAAAUAUAAGAACACACAAAUUUACGUGAAAACUCUCAUGGGAAAAAACUACAGGGAGAGAAGAAGAAAAAUCUACUAUGGAAAUUUAAGGAUUAUCAAAGGUGGCUCGAUAAACCUUAAGAAUCUUUUUAUCACUCACUUUAAAUCUAAUAACUUGGGAAAAAAUAAUAUUUAUAUUGCUCCAUAAGAGGGGGUGCAAUCCUUGCACCUUUGCCAAGGAUUAGUACUGAAGUACUGGCUUGGGCCUCGACCAACACUAAACCCGGCUUUGUUUUUAUCAAGUUGGGUUGUCGCAAAUUUCAAUUUAAGUAUCAAAACUCAAUUUAGGUUGAAUGCCUGGGAACACAAUUCAAGAUAUUCUCAACAAUUUCUUGAGACACGUGGCAUCCACUAAGCACCACAUCAAAUAAUGAAACUUUUGGGAAAAAAAUUAAAGAAAGAAAGAGAGAGUAAAAGUAAAAUAAGAAAAAAAGGGAAAAUGUUUGAACAAAAGGCUAAUAAUGAAAAGAAAGGGGAAAAAAUUUAUAUUUAAAAAAAAAAAAAAAGCAAGACCUCGGCUUCUGGUUUCCAAAAGAAACAGCGGUUUCGACUCUUGCGAGCGAAAGUUGAGAUUGAAGGGAAUGAAUCUCUUUUGAACCCCGCAGAUCGCCUACGGACACUUCUUGGAUCAGUUUUACAUAUGAAAGGCUCCACUAUUCUGCCAUGGCUGUGGUAGGAUUGGCCAUUGCCGCCACAGCUGUACCUUCAUCACAGAUGCUGCGUCGACGGAGAGGUGCUCUCGAAUUUGCGGGCUGAGUCCAGCCUUUUCUACAUCGACCCAGUUCAUUCGGUUCCAUUUCGCAAUUUUGAUAAGGAACACUAAAAAUUUGAAAAAGACUUCCUACGCUCGCGAACAUAGAAAUAAACCAAAAAAAAAAGUUGGGGAGGAAGAUGUAGAUGUCUACGCUUGGGCAACGACAUCAUCCCCCUUUUUUUUCUGGUCUGAUUUCGCCUUCUAUCAAGGAGGAGCUUUGCAAUAGUUCUCAAUAAAAACCCCAUGUGGGAGGAAAAGGGUGAAGGAGAAGGGGAGUCAUCUUCAUGCAAGUGCAAGAUCUUGGCCCCUUUUUUUGUUUUUGUUCUUUUUUCCCCUAUCAUCCUUUUCUAUUCAUUUUUUUUUAAUUUUAAAAUUUUAUCUUUUUAAAUUUUAGAUUUUUUUUCUAAUGUGGCACUUGAUAGAUGCAUGUAUCUUAAUAAAAUAAUAAGCCAAAUUGAACUUAUUGGUGGAAGGACCUAUGUAUCAUUUUGACAAAUCUUAGAACUCAAUUACAUUUUUGCGUCAAUGAUCACGCAUAAUGUCCGUGACAAGGCAACCAAAAUUUCCCUUAGUUAGGUUUUCAUUUAUUAUUAGUAGGUGGCUCGACCCAUAAGUAUAUUCUAAAUUAGUAUGCACAUAUGUACAUGCCCUCAAUGGGUUUACAGAGAUACUAAGCAUAAUUAACCUUAAUCUCCAGAAAUCCACAAUUCAAAUCAAAACCCUUCUAACAAUUCAGAUUUAAUAACCAAAUCACGACAUUUCACCAUUUGAUAAAUAUCUAUACACACACACAUAUCAAAGUGCCACAAAAACCACAUUCAUAAAUGAUAAACUUUUUGUGAUUCUUUCAUAAAAGGUUUCACAAACCAUUUACAAGCAAUCGGUUCAAACUGAAGUCAAAGGAUGACUCCCCAUUUUAAACAAACAAAACCGCAGUAAAUGUUCGAUCCUAUUUUAUGCAACAAUAGAUGCAAUUUCUUAAACAUAUAUAAUUUAUUUCGUUUUCAAAAUAUAAAAACACAAAAAAUAAAUAGUAUCACUCGUAUGGGAAAGCGAAAAACCAGCAGGAGUAGUCCCCGCACACGACGCCAAAUACUUAUUUGUAAUUAUAAAGGGAAAACCAUUUGCAAGUUGAACUAGAAACACAGUGGUUUUGUUCCUUUCGCUUUAUCCGUUGUCCUUAUCGAGUCUCUGGUCCUAUAAAUUUCUGGCUCGAUCGACCAAACCCUUCGACAAUCGUCAGCAUUUCCGCUCCCUGAUUGAACAAAUACAUGCACAGCAGUUUCAGCACGAUGGCUCUCACCUCCCUCCUCCUCCACCUCCUCCUCCUCCUCUCUUCUCUCCAUGUCAGUAAUUUGUCAAGCUUUCACUCUCCAUGCGUACCCAACUGCUCAUCUCUCUCUCUCUCUCUCUCUCUCUCUCUCUCUCUCUCUCUCUCUCUCUCUCUCUCUCUCUGUGUUCUCAUGCAAAGACAGGGCUAUAUGUUUAAUUCGAUAUCUCACCUAAGAAUUGCUGAAAAAAUUUUGCGGCCAUUUACUCCAUUGGCAAUUUCUUCUCAUCCAUUAUUUGUUAACCCAAUCUCUCUAUACUGGUUUAGAGUGCACAGGCUAUCGGAUCAAAUGGGGAGCCUAGGCUUCAUAAGAACUAUUCGAUUUAAUUUACGCAUGCAAGAAGCUAAACAUGUCAGUUUGUAUCAAAAUUAAACCUCAUAAUAUUAUUAUCUUCAUACAAAAAAUAUAUAUUUUAUAUUAUAUAUAUAUAUAUAUAUAUAUAUAUAUAUAUAUAUCUCAUUUGGGUUAUCUCAAUGCAUGUUAGUUGAUCAAUUGUGUUUAUGUGUUCUUUAGGCUAACAAAGAAAUGUGAAUGAAACGUAGAUAAUCAAGGGAACAUAUGAAAGCAUGUAAGUUGCAAAAGUCAUUUUAAGUGAUUGAGCAUGACGUUACUACUUUUAGACACAAGCAUCAGAUAACAUACGUUACUGAUUGUUAGGAAUAAAUUGUUGGGUCAUCCAUGUGCAUUGUAAAAAUAAUCCCAAUCAUGCUAUUAUGCAGUUCUAAUUUGGGAAAAUGACACAAUUAGUCCCUGAAAUUUUAUAUAAUGUUCAAUUUCGUCCAUAUACUUUUGAUUGGCUCAAUUUAGUCCAUGAAUUAUCGAUAAAUGUCCGAUCUAGUCUCUGACUAUUUGAAAAUUGAUCAAUUUCGUCCUUCCGUUAACUUUCCGUUAGUUAAACUUAACGAAAUGGGGGCAUUUUGGUCUUUUUAUCUUUUUAAUAUUUUUAUCUUCUUCUUUUAUCUUCUUCUCUCUUCCCUCCGCCGGCCAUGGCGGAACCGACGGAGGGAAGCCGGCAUCCGGCAAGGGUCGCCCUCGGGCGAGGGCCGCCCCUGCCGGCGUCGGGUGAGGGGUGCCCUCGCCAGAUUUGGCGAGGCCGCCCUCGCUGAGUUGCUAGGUUCGCAGGUUGCGCCAUAGGGGAACGCAAGGCUUUGCGCAAAGGUCGAAGGGGAUUGUGGUGGUGCCGACGAAGGGAGGCCGAGGUUCGAAGUAGGUGCAGGGGGAUUGGGUGCUGGCAUCACUGGAGCUGCAGUGAGAAGAGAAGAGGGAGGCCAAGGAAGUAUAGACUUGGUGGAGGAGCCAUGCGGUCAGCGUCCUCAUCUCGUGGCCUCGUGCGGCGGGGCUCGGUGAGCCGCGGUAGGGGGAGGCGUCGAGGUCCCUCCCGUGGGCUGGCGAGGGUGGCCCUAGCCUGCAUCGGGCGAGGACAGCACUCGCCAGAUCUAGCGAGGGCACCCCUCGCCCGAUAUCAGCAGGGGCGGUCCUCGCCCGACACAAGCGAGGGCAGCCCUCGCCGGCGUUGGGUGAGGGCCUCCCUCGCCAGAUCUAGCGAGGGCACCCCUCGCCCGACACCAGACGCCGGCUUCCCUCUGCCAUGGCUGGCGGAGGGAAGAGAGAAGAAGAAGAAGAAGAAAAAAAAAAGUAACGGAAGGAUUAAACUGAAGUUUUCUUAAUAGUUUAGGGACCAAAUUGAGCUAAUCAAAAGUAUAGGGACGAAAUUGAACAUUACGUAAAACUUCAGGGACUAAUAGUGACAUUUUCCCUUCUAAUUUCGUGUCACGUGACUUGUACUUUUUUGCAUGUUCGUUACAAUUUUCUGUAUGUCUAUUUUACUUCCAUAAUUAUGUCAUUGCACAGUUACUUAAGUCCAUAAUGUCCAUUUUAAUCGUGAUUAUAUAAACUUCUAGCUCACCGUCACUCUUUGAUUUUCUUUUGUGGAUUGUCCUGCGAAAGGUCCUCACCAUCGUUGUUAGGGCCACUCCCGGGGCCGACUCCCUCGCCGGCGAGGCUAACUCGAUCUCUCCCAAAGCAUACCUUGUCCAUUACUGGAACAAGCAAAUCACCAACAACCUUCCCAAGCCACCAAUCCUCUUCUCCAAAGCGUCACCUCUGACGGCCGCGUCAGCGACCAUCUUCGCCGAACUCGUUGCCAAAGGCGCCAUCUCUGACCACCUCUUAUCGUUCUGCGAGGAGGCGCAAUUGCUCUGCUUCAUGAACUCAUCAUCUGAUGGGGUCGCAACGACAAAGCCGUCUACAAUAUACAUAUACGGCCCCUCCCCCCCCGAUACAAUUGUGGCAACUGAUGACAAGAAAGUAAAUGGGGGCGUGGAGAAGGGCUUGUUCUUUCGAGAGUCGAUGCUGAAGAGCGGGAAUGUGAUGCCAAUGCCCGACAUCCGGGAUAACUUGCCCAAAAGGUCAUUUUUGCCUCGCUGCAUUUCCGCCGAACUGCCGUUCUCAACCUCGAAGCUCGCUGAGCUGAAGCAAAUCUUUCAUGCCAUUGAAAAUUCCGCUAUGGGGAAGAUCAUGGCGCAAACGCUAGGCGAGUGCGAGGGUGCAGCACUCCAAGACGAAACCAAGAGGUGUGUGGCCUCCAUCGAGGAUAUGAUCGACUUCGCCACCUCGGUUUUGGGUCAUGACGUCAUGGUCCGAUCCACGGAGAGUGCCAGAGGGUCGAAGCAGGAGGUCUUGAUCGGGGUGGUCAAGAGGAUCGAGGGCAGCGAAGUGAGCAAGCCCGUGGCCUGUCACCGGAGACUAUUUCCUUACAUUGUCUAUUACUGUCAUUCAUUUCCAAACGUCCGGAGUUACGAAGCAGACAUAUUAGAUCCCAAAUCCAAGGCUAAGAUCAAUCACGGUGUCGCCAUUUGUCAUAUGAACACAUCAACUUGGAGCCCUAUCCACGAGUCAUUUCUGUUGCUUGGAUCGGGUCCUGGCCAGAUCGAGGUCUGCCAUUGGAUAUAUGAGAAUAACCCGAUAUGGACAAUUGCCAAGUCAUAAUGGAAGAACGAAGUGUGGUCAAGAUGGAAUAAACAUGGGUUCUGCCUGGUGAUCAAGAGAGAACUUGGUCUUUAGCUACCUCCGACCGAAAGCCUCUCUUGCUUUGCAUUACAAUCUAAUAUAGUAUCUGAAUUUGAUAUCAAUAACAACGUGUUUGUGUUUGGUGUGAGACAGUUGUUAUGGCCAGUAAAUGUCAAGUGUUUUUUUUGUGAUUUGAGUACAUGUUCAAUUAUUUUGCAUUCUCCUGUCCUUUGUGUUUAGAGAUCUUCCUAACUCCUAUCUCUUAAUUUGUGUUACUAUCUUCGAGAAUUUUCUUCAACUUUCGACGAGGACCAAUAACUAUUUUCACAGUAUUAUUAUUAUAUAAACGAGAGACAAAUAAGAACGCAGUGUUUUUUGAUAAAAGAAAAAGGUGAAAAGCUGGUUGGUAGUCCCAACGUGAUCGUUUUUAUACGCUUGACAUUGAACAGCAAGUGCUGCCUGGUUCAAUCUUGAAGUGGCACUUCCCACUUUUUCUUCCUCUGAAUUUUGCUUUUAAACUUUUCUGCAUUUAUCUUUUCUUUGCACUUUCUUGGUUACAUAAACUACAUAUCAUCAUAUCAUUGCUUGCUUUUUCUUAUUCUUUUUUCUUUUUUCUUUUUCUUUUUUGCUUUUUUUAAGCGUUUGUCAUUGGAAAAAGAUAAUUCAAUAAAUACUUAUAAUACGAGAUUAGACUUCUAAAAUCCUAAAAACUUCACAUGAAUGAUUCUCAUAUGAUAAAAAUGUAAAAACUAAAUUUACUUUUGUUUUGCUGGAAUUGCUUUGGAAUUGCUCUCACAAUGAAAUAUCUUUCUCUGAAAGUCAUUAUUUGAUUUUAUUAAAGAGGACAAGGGUUAUGUGCCAACUCCAUAUAAUGGACAUCUUAUGCAAUAAGGAAUUGAACUUCUUUGGUCCAAACAACACCGAUUUUAGUUUGAGUUAGAAUUUAAUCAAUAACAAGGCAAAAAAAGUUACAAGACCGGUCUCAAACUAUGCUAGAAUUUAAUCAACAACACAAAUUAAGGAUAGUAAGAUGUGGAGUCGGAAUUUAAUCAACGACAAUGUACCAGGAUAGUAAGAUACAAUACUGGAAUUUAAUCAACAAUGAUGUACCAAGAUACAGAAACACGUCGAAAUUUAAUUGACAAUGAGAAUCUAAAAGCUAUAGCUAAGAAAAUUAAAGUGCAGUAUAGGAAAAGCAAAGAUACAAAGAUAACAUUUUGAUUGAUUUGUCAAGUGGCUUCUAGUUGGAUGACUGGUGGUAAUUAUAGUGAAUGUAUGAUAAAUGUUUGGUAGUUACGUCUCCUCUAGUACCUACUACUGGCUUUGUCCAUGAUCCUUUAUUCUCGUAGAUCACUUUGCCCAUACUUCAUAUAAUUUUCCUAGUCGUGUUUUGAGGAUUAUGCAACUGUCGAGGCCAUUCCAUGACUAGGGCUCCAAAUAGCAAUUGCUUUUUUACAACGUGUGCCUUUGAUGCUAACUACCUUAGCACCUUGAGUAAUAUUCAAAGUGUCUCCAUUGAAAAAGUUGUUGCUAAAGAUCAUACGGGUAGCUACCAAUUGUCCGUCGUCAUAUUUCAACAACUAAGCGUGUGGCAUUUCUUUAUCUCAUCGGCAAUCACCGGAUAUCUACCUUAUGUCUGUCAAUAGUCCAGCAUACAUCAAAUAUCACCCAUCCAUUAUGCACAUGAUUGUAACUUAUUUCUAAAGAGCUACGGCCGAGGUAAAUCUCAACUUUAAUAUCAGCUAUAUAGUUCACAAUUUCAUGAAAGAUCCUAUAUUUAUGAGAGGAUAUGUAACAUUUUCAAUUAAGAUAAAUAUUUGUCCUUGUGUAUUUCCUUCUUUAUAUAAGCAACCCAAUUUGUCAUGCGAUUGAUAAAUCUCUUUGUUUGUAGCUAUACUUUUAUCUUUUAACAAUCUUAGCCAAUGGACCUGCAUUGCUGAAUGGCCACUUCUGAUAUAUUCGUUUCUUGGAUGAGCAUUUUUCUGGCUUGGCAGUGAUCGACCCAUGUGGCCACGAUGAAUAGUGGAAGCAAAAUUGACAUUGGUGAACAGAGCUUAACAGAGAAGAUGUCGAGUCCAAUUGAAGAAAUCGUACAGAACAGGGGUGGGACCGUGCAUCGAUAAAUCCAGGUUCUUUCUACGAAUUCUAUCCUUUUUUUUCCUAUGUAUUCUGUCGUUGGGAUGCAAGAGAGAUCAUUGAGAAAGCGUAUAGAUGAAGUUCCUAUUAUCUUUUAUGAGCUACGGGCACGAGCAUAGAGGCUCGUUUAUCUAGAGAUUCAUAAAACACCCUAUAAGCCUCAUAAAUCGUUUGAGCCCUAGUUUAUAAUUGUUGGUAGGUUCGGAUAAAAUUUCUAAGGCUUUGAUUGAGAAGUCAUGGGAAAUCGGGUGGAUAGGUUAUUUGCAUAUGGACAGUUCUAGUAAAAUUGUUAACUGCAGAGAAAUCAGCUUAAGGUUCUUCAUCGGAUCCAAGAACCACAUGGACAAAUAUAUACUAUUAGAUGGUUAUUUUUUUUCCACCAAAAAACAUCAUAUGAUAGAAAAUACGGGUUAUACCUUAAGUAGCAUCGACACGGACAAGCGACACACGACAAGACACGCCGACAAGUCAUUUUUCAGAAAAAGAGAAUUCCGACACAUUAAAACACAUUGUAUAUUAAAUAAAUAUUUUUAUAUAUACAUGAUUAAUUAUUAUAUUUAAAUUAAUUUAUUCAAAUUCAUAAAUAAAUAAAUAAAUAAUAAAUAGCCUAUAAUAAAUCUAUACUAAUAACAUUAAUAAAUUUAUUCAUAAAAAAUUGGAAAGACAUUUUUCGACUUUAACAAAAGUUAUCGAUGAAAUAAAUAACUAACGAGAUGGUUAUAUACUAUUAGAUGGUUAUACCUAUUCUCUGAUGUAGUUUCGUUUUGUAGAUGAACCAAUUAGUCCUUUCCUCUCCUAAUCCUUGGAAAGUAAGCACACUUCCUAGAGAUUUCAUUUCUCUCUUGUGGAAGUGAUUAUAAUUAGGUUUACUCAUAAUGGCGUCCAAUGACUUUAACCCUAAUUCAGGAUUAGCUACCCAAUUACAGAGUUUCUCUACUGGAGUACAUGCACAUAUAUGGAAAAUCAAAGUUUCACAUCUUAAAAAUCCAUCAGAUCACUGUCCAACUUGAUUAAUUAAUCGAUAGCUAAUAUGAGAUACAGAUGGAUGCCCUUUUGCUUUUUUUUUGGUAGGAAUAAGUAGAAUAUUGGGGAAUGAUGCCCUUUUGUUUUUUAAUCGCAUUAAUACAAAAGACUUGUCCUUUUGCGAAAUUGGCAUUUUGCAUUAAGCCAUUUGUUUUGCAUUGCCAAGACUUACCAUGUCUGAAGCAUAGAUGACUGCUUUUCUUUAAAUGCCUUUCUAUCAGGUACAUUAAUGUGACUUACUACCUAAAUAGUUUUUGUUUGUAGCUAAUUCCGAAGUGUUUGUUCUUUUUAUCUUCCAGCCUUUCAUCAAUCUCAUGGGCUUUUUUCCCAUCACCUUACUUUGUUUUGUGCUCAAACGCAAGACUGAUGGCAAGUGUAUCUCCAAUCGAUAGAAUCUUUUAGGAGGAAUUUUAUCCAAAUCUAACUUUUAUUUACACUUUCCCUUCAAAAUUUGAAACAUGUGUUUCCUGUGGGUGAUAUCAUAAAUGUAACUUACCCAUCAGAAGAUUGAGCAGGAGGAAAUCAUGACCUUUUUUUUUAUAAUAAAAGAAGGCAGAUAAUAUUCAAUCUGAUACUUAUUAAUUGCAAGUUAUAUUUAAAAAAACUAAUUAAGUUUUAUUUCUUCCGCUUGGCAGAGAACAUUUGAUAUGAAACUUUAAUUAACUGUAGAUUGCAAAACCGGUGGUUAAGAGUCCCAACUUGAUAGUUUGUAUUAUAAUGUCCAACAAAAAUUUUGCGAAACUAAUGGGGGUGGACACACAUUUGCGAUAGGGACACCCCCACCUCUAUCCCAGCCUAAUAAGCCCUUACUACCGUCAAAUCUGUCAAUUGACGAAUGGAGCAGAUUGGAGCCCUUCAAUCAGUCCGAUCAUAUGAUUGAGAAAUCUCUAUGUUUAUAGCUAUACUUUUACCUUUUACCGAUUUUUUCCAAAAUUUUUAUUAUGUAUGGAAUAAUGAACGGCCUAUAAUUAUUUGACAUUACCGCGGAAACGGACAGGAUCUUUCUAGCAUCACCUUACUACGAAGACAUUGUUGUGGGCUAAGAUUAGAGCAGCCCUUGGGCCUGCAUCGCUUGUGAAGGGCACUCACGAUGUCCUCGUUUCUUGGAAAAGCAUUUAUCUGGCUCGGCAAUGAUCGACCCAUGUGUCCUGGAUGAAUAGUAGUAGCAAAAUUGACAUUGGCGAAGAGGGGUCAACAGAGAAUAUGUCCAGUCCAGUUAAAGAUAUCAUACACAUCCGGGGUGGACCCGCCUUUGUCCAUGCGAUCCCAAACUUUAUGGACUGUGCAUCGAUAAAUACAGGGUCUUUAGAUGUAUACUGUCGUUGGGAUGCAAGAGAGAUCAUCAAGAUCGCAUGGGGACCAAGUUACAAUAUUUACGAGCUGACGGCAUGAGAGCAGAGGCUUGGUUACCUGGAAGCCUAUAGAAAACCCUGCAAGCGUCAUGAAUAGUCCAAGUGGUCUGCGCAGGUGGUUCUGACUAGAGCAGCUUGUACACGGUAAUUGGAAUUCAAACAAAUGAACUCCAAUUUCUGACUUACCAAUCUCUAGAUUGCAAUAGGCAAAUUGUUUCCCAUUUUAUCCAGUUCACUGGAUCAAGUUACAAAGAUAAUCUAAUUUGUUUGGAUAAAAGUUCUUAGGCUUUGAUUGAGAAGUCAUGGUGAAUCGGGUGGAUAGGCUAUUUGCAUAUGGAGAGUACUAGUGAGAUUGUGGACUCUGGAUAAAUCAGCUUAGGGUUCUUCAUGGGAACCAAGAACCACAUAGAGAGAUAUAUCCUAUCAUAUGGUUAAUUAUUUCCACCAAAACAUCAUAUGAUAGAAAACGUGGGUUAUGCAUAUUCUCUAAUGUAGUUUCAUUUUGCAAAUGAACCAAUUAAUCCUUUCCUUUCCUAAUCCCUGUAAAGUAAGCACACUUCCUGGAGAAAUUUAUUUAUCUCUUGUAGAAGUGAUUAUAAUUAGGUUACUCAUAAUAGCAUCUUAUCACAAUUACUUUAACCCUAAUUCAUGACUAGUUAGCCAGUGACACAGUUUAUCUAUUGGAGAGCAUGCACAGAUAUGGAGGCAGCGGGGAGAAUCUCAUCUACACGUGAAAUCACAGUUUCCCAUCUUGAACAUUUAUCAAAUUACUGUACAAUUUGAUUAGUUAACUAGGGCAGGUCCAAUCUGAGAUAUAGAUGGGUGCUCUUUUCUUGCUUAAUCACAUUAUUAGGGAAGAGUUGUCCUUUACGAUAUUGGCAUAUUGCAUUAUUCCAUUUGUUUUUCAUAAACUAAGACAUGUCCUAUAUGAGGCAUAUAUGGAUGCUUUUCUUUAAUCAAGUCUUUUUCAAGUAAUUUGAUAUAACUUACUACCUAAGUAGUUCUUGUCUUUAGCUAAUUCUCAAGUGUUUUUGUUUUUUGUUUUUUUUGUUUUUUUUCCCUAUUCUAUUCCAUCCUUUCACCAAUUAUGCGGGCUUUCCCAGCACCUUCCUUUAUUUUAUGCUCAAACGCCUUACAGAUUCCACGUGAUGAUAGAAUGACUAGAGUCCAACAAAAAUCUAAUGCCUCGCUCUUUAUUAUUUAGAACUGAGGAGUUCCCCACAGACCAACCUUUUUUUUUGAGCUUAGGAGUCCCUAGACACCAACUUAUUUUUUUUAUUUUAUAUUUUCCUUUAUAUCAUACUUUUGAUUAGUAGGUCAUAGCUUAUGGACAUCAUUCACAUGUGUACUCAAUUAAAUUUCAAUAAGGGCAAUAUCCGUAUAUGUAACUAACCAAUCAUAAGACUGAACAAGAGGAAAUCAUGACCCUUUUUUUUUUAUAACAAAUAGAGUCAAGGGAUUGCAAUGAUAUACGUCACUCAAGCCUUAGGUUCAAAUCACCCCAUUUGUGCAAGUACAAGCCUGUGUAUCAACAAUAAUUACUCGAUUGGUGUUAUAGAUUUGUCCAAGAAUCAAACGGAAUAUGAUACUGAUUAAUUGCAAGUUGAACUAGAAUAAUUAUUAAGUUUUAUUUCUUUCGCUUGGCAGAGAACAUUUGAUAUGAAACUCUAAUUAACUGCAGAUUGAACUAAAACUACAACUUUUGUUUCUUUCGCUUCAUCCAUUUGUCCUAGGGAAUCUCUCUCUCUCUCUCUCUACCAUCAGUCCUAUAAAUUUCGUGCUCAAUCAAGCGAACCCUCCAACAACAUCAGCAUUCCCUCUCUCUAAAGAAAUGAGCGAGAUCAGUUUUAUGAAAAUGUCUCUCUUCUCCCUCUUCCUCUUCCUGCUGUUGUCACUCCAUGUUAAUUUUCUCAAGCUCUCUCCCAUACCCUUCCACACACCAUAAUCACUGCUCAUCUUAUUUUUGAACUUCGCAUGCAUUAACACUCAUAGUUCGUUGAUCUUGUUUAUGUUCCUAUACAUGUUAAAAGAGACAUGCAAAACACGAAUCAUUGAAAGACAUAUAUAAUGCUAGAAUGUAUGGGAGGUUUGUGUGUUCACUUGUUUUUAUAACAUAGUUAUGCUAAGCCAGAUAUGAUGUAUUGACAAAUAACAAAAAUGACUAUUAUCAUUUAGAUUGUGGACAUAAAUUGAAGGAUUUGUAAGGAAUAUUUCUCAUGCUAUCUAUUCUAUUCUCAAAAGUUGACUUCAUUCCUAUUAUCUCACGGGCAUAACUUCUUGCUACUUUGCUUACGACCAUUUGCACGUUCAUUGCAAUUUCAUCCAUAUCCCAUUUAUAUGCUGCAUAAAUAUUUGACCAAGUCUGUUUGGCAUCGUACUGCGAUUGUGAUGUAGCCUUGUUCGUCUUAUGACAUAGUUGUAAAUUGAAUUUUAGGGUUCGAUAUCUUUUAAACUGGGUGAACUAUCCUACGUUGGUCGCAUCGUGCUAACUUUCUAGUCACUCACUGAUUUUCUCUUUCGUCCCGCUAUAGGUUGUUUCCACCAACGCGAGGACCACCGCCAACGCCAACUCCCUUGCUGGCGAAGCCAACUCAAUCCCUCCCAAAGAAUACCUUGUCCGUUACUGGACUGAACAAAUCACUAGCAACCCUGCCAUACCACCACUGCUCACAUCCAAAGUUUCACCCUUAAUUGCUGCAGAAACAACCCUUUUUGCCCAGCUCGUGGCUAAAAGCGCCAUCUCCGAUCGCCUCUCAUCUUUCUGCAGGGCAGCACAACUGCUCUGCUUCCCAGCCUCGCCACACUAUCCAGUUGGCUACACUGUCGAAAAUAGUGCCACGACACGGGCAGGUGGCAUGAACGUGAACAGGGGCUUGGAGCCUGGCAAAUACUUCCGGGAAUCUAUGCUGAGGAGUGGGAAUAUGAUCCGGAUGCCGGAUCUUCGAGUCAAAGCUCCCCAAAGGUCGUUUUUGCCACGCAGCAUUUCCUCCGGAUUACCGUUCUCCACCUCUAAGCUCGCCGAGCUGAAGUAAAUCUUCCAUGCUGGGGACGAUUCCAAUAUGGAGAAGAUCAUGGUACGCACACUCAGCCAGUGCGAGCAAGCGCCAAUCCAAGGUGAGACCAAGCGAUGUGUAAGCUCUGUCGAGGGCAUGAUCGACUUCGCCACCUCAAUACUAGGCCACGACAUCCAGCUUCACUCCACGGAGAGCGUCGAAGGGUCGAAGCGUGAGAUCUUGAUUGGACGAGUGAAAAGGUUGGAAGGGAGUAAAUCGAGUGCGCCCGUGGCAUGCCACGAGACUAUAUUUCCUUACAUGGUCUAUUACUGCCACACGUUUCCGACACUCCGAAUUUACGAAGCCGAUAUACUAGAUCCCAUGUCGAAGGCCAAGAUCAACCAUGGCAUCGCCCUCUGUCAUAUGGAUACGUCGAUUUGGAGUCCAAAUCACGUGGCGUUCCUCGCGCUCGGGUCGAGCCCUGGUCAAAUCGAGGCCUGCCACUGCGUCUUUGGGGAUUAUGGUGUCUGGACGAGGACCAAUUAGUAAUGGAAAAAAAUGAAGCGUGGAUCAAAUUGCAUAAUAUUGAUUGGACCUAGAGACUGAGAGAAAUUAGCCACUAGCUCCAUCCUACGCCAUCGUUCGCUUAAAAGUAUUGUCUAAUAUGGUAUUUGCUAUCUCAUAUCCACGACCUUAGUAGUGGUGUGUAUAUGUAAAUAUCGUUGUGGUUAGUAAAUGUCAAGUGUUUGAAUAACUUUGAUCUAAUAUAUGUAAUUAUUGUGGUGCGAAUGUGAAAAAGUUUCUUUGCUAAUAUUCAUCUCUUUCUAAAGCAUAACACAACACCAUGUCUCAAAUUCUUAAAUUGUACCUUGCUAGGACAUGAUGGUGAGAUGAUUACAAGGACUAAUUCUUAAACUGUACCCGAAAUGCGUAAUUGCACCAUAAUGGACAUGAUGGUGAGAUGAUUACUAGGACAAAUUUAUCAGGUUUUAUGUUGAACGAAAUAGCUCAAUAUGUAUUAAAUCAUAUUUCUAUCAAAUAUGUUACAUUAACUCGUUUUGAGUUGUGGACCAAACGUAAGCUUGAUUUGAAUCAUCUUAAGGUUUAGAGUGUCCUGCAGAAGUGAAGUUAUAUAAUCCAACAUUAAGUAAGUUAAACUGCAAAACCACUCAGUGUUAUUUCGUAUCUUACCCAGGUCAUUUGAAAGGAUAUCAAUUUUAUGAUCCCAAUGGAGAUACAAGAAUUGUAGAAUCACAGAUAACGGAGUUUCUGGAAUUCGACACAGCUGUAGAGAAUAGUUGCUCUUAGACUAUUAAAAAUAAUAGUACGGUAGGAACCACUAUGUCUUUGUCUUUGCCUAUACAAAUAUAUAUAUAUAUAUAUAUAUAUAUAUAUAUAUUGGUGCUGGAGGAAUCGUUUGGCCGACAGCCGCCACGUAAACCCCCAGGUGUCGCUAGCGAGGGAACCACCACCCCGGCGCCACGCGUCAAUCACCUAAUAGCCCGCCAACCUCCUUGCAACUUGCGUUGCAAAGGCUUCGAACUCCUAACCUUCCCUCAAAGGACUGAGGGUGCGUUUGGUUGGGUAUUUAGAAAGCCCCUUCAGCCUUGAAAGCCUAUUGGGAAAAAAAAGAGGUGUUUGGCAACCAUUUUCCAAUGAGCUUUGAGUUGAAAGUUGGCCUUGGAGAUGCUGAAAGCUCAAUGCUAGUUUCUACUAGCAUUGUCAGAAUGCUGAAGGCCUCCAUUAAUGAAAUUUCAUGAAGUCCCUUUUUUACCCUAAAAAAAUCAUUAGAAACCCAAAUUUACCCCUUUCUAAAAGAACAAAACCAAGGGUUUCUCCUUGCACCUCCAGAAACGCACGCUCCAGUCCUCACGCUCACUCUCCCGAGAGCCCCACGAUGACACCGACUUCAGAUCCGUUAACGACAAUCUCCAGCACCUUCAGAUCUGCCGACGAAAAAUUUGGGUUUGUUUCCUCCGCUCGAUUCUUCUCUUCAUCUGGGUUUGUUUCAUCAGCUUGAUUCUUCUCCUCAUCUGGGUUUGUUCUUACUUCGAUCUUCUGAAACGGAGGACGCAGCAGCUUGCAAUUCGACUCCUCCCUCCCUCUGACGCGACCACUCAGGCCAUCGCCUCCGCUCGAUUCCCUGCAUCCUUGCACGUUUUUCCCCUGCUUGUGGGUAGUGAGGUUUGGGUAGUGGCGGUCUCCUCGACACAAAUCCCAGCCUCUCGAUCGCUUCCCCGAGGUAACGAAUACUUGUAAACUCUCCCUCUCUCUCUCUCUCUCUCUCUCUCUCUCUCUCUCUUUCUGGCAUCUCCGUCGCUCUCCGUCUGAGAUCCGUUUGCUUUUUCUUUUCUCGUUUCCGUUCUCAGGUUAGAUCUUCCCGUCUGUAAAUCUCUCAGAUCUGAUUGUUUGCUCCUCGUUCGCUAGAUCGAUCUAUUCCUUUUCCAUUUCGUUUGAUUCUACACCCGCGAUAGAUUAGCCCUAUUGCCGUUUCCAAGUUUACAGGAGUGUCCGCUCUGCAGAUUUGUGUAGAUUGCAUAGUAAUAAUUGAUUAUUCUCCUCAUCUAGGUGUCUCUAAGCCUAUGGAGAGAGAAUGCUUCAUGUGAAGUUUCUGAUCGAGUGAUGUUGCAAGGCCCUUGAUUUCUCAUCUUACUAGGAUUACGUGGGAAAUGUAGAAAUUGAGUUCACCUACAGUAUCAGUUAUAUUCAACAACUGUUAACUAUUUGACUCCAUUUAUUAUCGGUGAGUUUUUUAUGUUUGGGCCUUCUGGUUGCUAUUGCUUUGCUCCUCUCAUUCCUCACACAUUGUCAAUUUUAAACUUUGAAAAGGAUAUUUCCAAAUGCAGUAAAAGAAUUUAGGAUUGUCUCGCUUAAAUGUCCAUCGAUUAGAAUCCUAUUCCUUUUAUUCUAGCUCGUGGUCUCUUGCUCUGUUUGAUGGCUAUUCAUGGUACAAACUUGCACAACAUUUCUAGAUAAUUUACAAUGGCUUUCAUUUUCAGGUGAAGCAGAACAGCACAUGAUCCAUUAGCUGGCUCUAACCUUCAUCAUCAGAACCAAAGGGCUGCCUUCUUAAAGAUUCCAGUACUUCUCUGGGACGAUUGCUUGGAGCGCCCCCACUACCUGUCAGUCCAUUGCAAGACUUGACCUUGGGCACUUUGAGAGAACUAAGAGCUGGCAUGGAAGUCCCUCUGUUUACUUCCCUGAGCACAGACCGUGCUAUGGCCUCAACUGCAGCGUUUGCCAGAGCCGAGCCACUCUAAAAUUGCUCUGCAAUUCAUUAGAGGACCUGUUCUGGCGCGACACUCCACUAGGAGUGUUGGAAGCCUGAGGCAUAUGAUUAUUCCCUGAUUUUCCCAUUACAGCAACGGUCUCUGCAACUUCUGAUCCAGCCUUUGCAGAUUCAUGUUUUUGCAUGUCAUAUAAGAGCUCUCUUUGGAGCUGCUUAUGAGCAACCAAUAUUUCAUCUAUCUCAUUCUUGUAGUCCUUGAGGAGGAGACUGAAGCAAUCCAUGAGGGAACCUGUGAGGGGGUUGUUCUUGCUCUCGAGUAAUCUCUUUAGCUCUAUGAAUAUGGGGAUGGUGUUCUAUAUGAGGCUCUUUCUCAUUGCUAUGAAUUUAGGAAGUAAUUAAGGAUGUUUGUAAUAUUUAAGGAUAAUGAGCUUCUUUCCCCAAAGCAUAUGUUAUCUUGUUUUGAUUGUAAUGAAAGUAUUCUUCUUGCAAUUUAGAAAGAGAGCGUAAAUUUUUUCCAUUUAAUAUUUUUUAGCAAAAAAAAAGAAAUUUUAAUUUUAAUAAAAUUGUUUACACAACAUCUUUAACAUGAUUGUCAAAUAUAAAUUAAAAAAGUCGCAAACAUUAUUUUUUUUAAUUUUAAAUAAAUAAAAAUUAAAAUAUUUAGAUUAAUCACCAAAGGGGCUUUGCAAAUGUGUUUUCUACCAAACAACAUUUCUCUCAAAGUUGCAUUUCAAAGCAGAAUUUACCAAAUAGUCUUUGCAUUUCCUCCAAAGUCCUUUAGGCUAAACUGCUUUGCAUUUUCCCAAUGAGCUUUCCAAAUGCUUAACUAAACGCACCAUGAAGCCUACCCAGCGAAGCCACCACAGCCGGUGGUUACCUAUACAAAUAUUUAUGAAGUCUUUUACACCACAAACUGCGCAUGUUGAGGUUCAGGAUACUAUUAUUAAUACAAUUCUUGAUAAAGUUUGUCAAGCCUUUCACGUGCAGGAUGAAGUGGUUGUAGUAGCUCCACUUAGGAGAUCUACUAAGGAAAGACGUUUAGUUAUAUCACUAGACUAUAAAUUCUAUUUAUGAGAGCAUAAUUACAAUAUCUACUGCGUGGUCAAUCUAGUAACUUAUAUGAAUGUUGUUUCUUGUCCUCGGUCAAAUAUGUGGUUAGAUGCGAUGAAAGACGAGAUGCAAUCUAUGAAACAUGAUAGUGUUUGGAAGCCUGUCGAAUUGCUUGAUGGUCGCAAGUCCAUUCGCUGCAAAUGGGUGUACAAGACUAAAAGAGACUACAAAUGAAAUAUUGAGAAAUUUAAACUCAGACUAGUAAUAAAAGAUCUCACUCAGAGAGAAGCCUAGUCUUUUCUAAAGAUUCUUUCGGAGUGAGCAUGGGAUUAGUAGCCCAUUUUUUAUAUGGAAUUAUGCUAGAUGAUGAUUAAAACUGUGUUUUUCAAUGGAUACUUUGAUAAAGAAAUCUAUAUAUUUUAACCCAAAGGUUUCAUAGCAGAUGAUUUAGGUAAGCUUGUGUGUAAACUGAAAAACCUUAUUAAUGGCCUAAGCAAGUUUGUAGACAAUAAUGCUUGAAGCUUCAUAAUGUUGUCACUUCAUUAAGUUUUGUUGAGAAUAAAGUGGAUCGGUGAAUAUACUACAAGGUCAAUAGGAGAAAAUUUAGUUUUCUCGCACUCUAUAUAAACCAUAUCUUGCUUACAAGUAGUGAUAUGGGAUUACUUCAUAAGACAAAAUAGAUAUUGUCAAGGAAUUUUGACUUGAAAGACCUUGAUCAGGUAUUUUUUGUCCUUGGUAGAAAUCGUUCUCGUUGUAUGUUAAAUUUAUCUCAAAUUACAUAUCUUGAUUGUAUUUUAAAAAUAUUCAACAAGUCGAGAGUUGCUCCUGUCAUUCGGACUGAUAGAUUGAGUUUAUUGCAGUAUCCUCAUUCAAAUUUCAGAAAAACCUAAAUGAAUGAUAUACUUUAUGCUAGUGCACUUAGAAGUGUCAUGUAUUCUUAAGUUUGCACUAGGCUAGAUAUUGCUUUUGCGGCAAGACUUCUAGGUAGAUAUCAAUCAAGUCUAGGAGAUGAUCAUUGGAUUGAUGCCGAUAAUGUUUUGAGAUACUUAAAAAGACAAGAAAACUAUAUGCUGACAAAAACAUGUUCAAGAUCUAGAGCUAGUAGAGUAUUCAAAUGCAGACUUUACUAACUGUCAGAAUGAUAAAAAGUUGACAACAUAAUAUAUUUUUAUAUUAACAGAAGGUGCGGUAUUAUGACAAAACAAUAAGCAAAAAUCCAUAUCUUCCUCUACUAUGCAAACGGAGUUUGUAGCAUGCUCUGCAGCUGUUACUUAAGAUAUUUGACUUCGGAACCUCAUUAAGAAGUUGACCAUAUUUGAUCUUGUGAAUAGACCCAUACAGUUAUAUCGAGAUAAUAACUUUUCAAUGUCAUUUAUCAACAACAACAAAGGUCUCGAGGGGUUUAGAUAUAUGGCGGUCAAGUUUUUUACCAUAAAGAAACGACACAGAAUAGUGACACUACAGUAGAGCAUGUUUCCAUAGAUAAUGUAGUUGUAAACCCACUAACUAAAGAUUUUCGCCCUCGUGUACUUGAACAACAUAUCAUGAACAUGGACUAUUUAGUGGGAGCUGUUUUGGUUUUUGCUCUAAUAAAACUUAUAUAUUACCCAUUUGAUAAAGUGGUCAUAAAUGUAUUGUCACCAUAUUGAGUUGAUUACAUGUAAUAGAAAUUUGAAGAUAUCGUGUAAGCCUUGAGUGAAAGGUUAGAGCAUUUGUUUAUUGGUGUUGAGUAUAUGUGUUGAUUACACAUAAAAUGUGUUAACCAUAAAGAUAAGACAUAUGUAAGUUCAUUAGAACCAUAAAAAGAUUCUCUUAGGACACAUCCGAUUUUCUAUGACACUUAAGACAAGAGAAUAAUGACCGAAAAAGGGGAUGACACAUAAGGUAUUACUCUUUAUGAAGUGUUAUUCGUUUGCCACAUGACCAUAUUGAAUCCAUAUAAGUAAAGUUAAAAGCACCCGUGACCAUGGAAGGCUUUGUGUAAGUACAUGCAAUUACCGCGAUGAUUCGGUGUUUGAGACUUUAUAGGAUAUGAUUGACUAAUCAACAAUAGUCACUAGACCAACAUAAAGGUGCGCACAUUCCGUACUACCUCAAUUAAUAUAGCCCUAGUGGGAGAAUGUAAGAGUUUUCUUUGGACUACAUUAAUUGAGAUUGUAAUUUACAGUUUUAGAAGGUUGGUCUAAUAAGAUAAGACAUAAGAUUUUCUUAAUAAUUGAAUAUGGGCUUGGCUUGUGUGAACCGAGUUGGGCCCGGCCUGUGAUGAGAGGACUUGGCUAAAAACUCUAUAAAUAGCGCUAAGGUCCCUUCUCUAACCCUCAUUGUUCCAUGAACAUUCUCUCACCUCACAUAAGGAAGCCGUGAAAGGCGGUCUCAUCAUGCUAGGAUCCGAGGGCCAUAGAGGAGAAGAACCUAAGCGUUGAAUAGUCAUCAUUCCGCAUAAAGAACGAUGGAUUCCAAAUCAAGUAUGCAAAUCCUCUUCUUCUCCUCCAAUAUGUUCAAGUUUCUAGCUAUGUUGAUCUCGGGAUGCCGCUUCGACAGCCAACAUUGUUGUCUUGCACUGAGUUGUAAAUUGCACUUUAGGGUUACAACAUUUUUAAACUAGGCGAAACUGUUGUAAUAUAUUCUAUUAUUUUAAAUGUGAUCCAAAUAUUGUAUUUCCAAUUAAUUCCGAUUUAUUGCACAAUUUAUUAUCCGCGUUUAUUACGUGAUAUUUGCUUGUUAAUAUGUUACCAUAACGGUCUUGAUGGAAGACAUUGAUAACGUAAGAAACGGAAUAAAAACAUCAAGUCUUCUAAUUCAAACCCUAUCAUUACAGAAAACACACUAUCACAUUUGAGAGGUAUUAACUAGUGGAACAGGACGUACAAAUCUGGUGAUUCCACAUCCGUAGAUUGAUUGUGUUUCGUGGAUCCAUCCAGGUUUUAUGAUUUUCCGCAUUUGCAAAUUUUCAUCGAUGGCUGGAGGUAUGUCGAUCUUUACGUUUCCGCAAAUUGAUUCUAAAUUAUGCACGUAAUUGUUUGAGAAUGAUAGAUCGAGAUCAUCAUGUUUUAUUCAAAAUUAGUCUUACAAAAACAUCCUAGCUCGGUUGCGCAAUGCUAAUUUUUUAGUCACUCACCGGUUUUCUCUUUCAUCCCACUAUAGGUUGUUUCCACCACGGCUGGAACCACUACCAACGCCGACUCCCUAUUCAGCGAUGUCAACUCAAUCCCUCCCAAUGAAUACCUUGUCCAUUUACUGGAACGAACAAAUGACCAACAACCUCGCCAUACCACCACUGCUUAUAUCAAAGUUUCACCCUUAACUACUGCAUAAACGGCCCUUUUAGCCUGGCUCGUUGCUAAAGAUGCUAUCUCCGACCACCUUCCAUCUUUCUGUAAGGCAGCACAACUGCUUUGCUUCCCGGACUUAUCAUCCCAUCAAGUUGGCAAGGACGGUCGUGUUUUCUACGAUUUCAUUAAUGGCGCCACAACACUGGCCGGUGGCAUGAACGUGAACAAAGGCGUGGAGCCAGGGAAAUACUUUCGGCAUUCAACGCUGAGAAGUGGGAAUGUGAUCCGGAUGCCAGAUCUUCGUUCCAAAACUCCCGAAAGGUCAUUUUUGCCACGCAGUAUUUCCUCUGGAUUACCGUUCUCGACCUCAAAGAUCGCCGAGCUGAAGCAAAUCUUCCAUGCUAUGGACGAUUCGACUAUGGAGGAGAUCAUGGUACGCACACUUGGCCUGUGCGAGAAAGCACCGACACAAGGUGAGACCAAGCGAUUUGUUAGUUCUGUUGAGGACAUGACAGACUUUGCCACCUAGAUAUUAGGCCACAACAUCAAGCUUCAUGCCACGAAAAGCGACGAAGGGUCGAAGCGUGAUAUCUUGAUUGGACGAGUAAAAAGGAUAGGUGGGAGUAAAUCGAGUGCGCCUGUGGCAGAUCACGAUAGUCUAUUUCCUUGCAUGGUUUAUAACUGUCAUGCGGUUCCAAAACCCCACGUUCACGAGGUGGGUAUACUGGAUCCCGUGUGCAAGUCCAAGAUCAACAACGGCGUCGCAGUCUGUCAUAUGGACACGUCGGCUGGGAAUCCAAAUCACGAGGCAUUUCUUGCGCUCGGGUCGGGCCCUGGUCGGAUCGAGGCCUGCCACUGGAUCUAUGGGGAUUAUGCGGUCUGGGCUAAUUAGUAAUGGAAAAAAAAAAUGAAGUGUGGAUCAAAUUGAAUAAUAUAGGUUGGACCUGGAGGCCGAGAAAAAUUGGCCGAUAGCUCCAUCGCAAGUCAUCAUUUGCUUGAAAGUAUUAUCUAAUAUGGUAUCUACUAUCUAAUAUACACGACUAUGAUCGUGUGAGUGUGCGUGUGUUAUUAUGGUUAGUAUAUGUCAAGUGUUUGUGUGACUUUGAUCUAGCAUUUGUAAUUAUUGUGGUGUGCAUGUGAAAAAGUUUGUCAUGUGAAGUACUUACUAUUACCCAUCUCCUUCCAGAACAUAACAUGACUCCAUGUCCCAAACUGUAAUAUACCAUCGUUAGAUUUUUCUUCUUUUUUUAAAUUUGGUUUUCCAUCAUAUAUCUCUACCAUCAGCGCCUUGACAUCAUAACAAAUGGAAUUAGAAGAGAUUAAUGGACAUGGGGUGAAGCACCUCACUGAUCAAUCUCACUUGAUUCAAGAUGUGCAGAUACCAUGUGCUAAUUAUUUUCAUUGAAUUUGUAACACAGAGCUACUUCUAAUCAUUUUAGCAAAUUUUUUCAUGUCUAACAUCAGCAUAAUUUGAUAACUCAAGAAGAAGGCUAUAUCAAGACUAAAAAUUCUUUUUUGUCCCAGUUAUUAGUCUCUAUUGCCAUUAAGGAUCAAGUGAUUUACUAACUGAAGUUCUUUUCUUUUGUUGUUUUCCCCUUCGAUAAGUAUAUGCGACCGAAGUUCAACAGCUUAGAAGAAGAUAAAGCGAGUGGCACUCCUCAAUGGAUUAACUCAUCGGUCAAGUAUUUGAUUUAAGUUCGGUAAUUCAGGUUUAAAUCAGAACAUUGUCCCCUCAAAAUAACGUCGGGAACAGCAUCUUCAACCGAUGCACUUAGGCAAAGCUUUUUGCAUGCACUGUAGAGAUUAGCCAAGACGAGUUCGGAUAGGCCGUCGUCGCCGAGAAACAAAGAGAGCGGAAAAGGCUCGCGUCCCCACGAAUGUUCCAAGAUCUUGCUGUCGGCGAUAUGAAAAGCAACCCUUGGGCCAGCGUAGUCGAAUGGCCCAUGACCAUUCAUUGGAUCGACCCAUGUGGCAAUGAUGAUUGGAAGCGCAUUUGACAAUUGAUGAAGGGAUCCGUGAUGGGUCCAGUUGAAGAAAUCAUCCAACACCCGGGGCGGACCCGCAUUUUUUCUCAUUUACGAUCCAAGGUUCGUUGAACGGGCAAUAACAAUUCCAGGUUCCUUCAAUGCCAAUUUUGUCCUUGGGAAGGUCAUCGAGACACGCUCACCAACUGCAUCUGCACCCACUUAUCAAUCAUUCAGGUGAUGCGCACGGUAAAUUGAGCUGGGUUUGCCCCCUAUUUGGGGCAAAUAGAUAUCCAUGAGGAACAUCAGUCUACAUAUGGUUUGCUCGACUCUUAGUUGCUUAGUGAUUUUAUACUUUGUCGUUGCAGAAUGACGAUGUUCAGUUGCAAUGACUUUGUGCGAUAUCGAAACAAAUUAUACAUACACUAUGAUCGAACCAACUCACUAUCGAAUUUGAUUAUCUAGGCAAAUUCGAAUGGUGGGUCCUAUGUCAAAAGUUACCGUGCACCUAUUGUUCUAGAUCAUUCGAGAAAGAGUUGAUCGUGAACUAAACGGCUGCCGGGUUCAUAAACUAGUGUGGAGCUUGCCACCGUUACUUAACAAAUGGAUCAAAAAAGGGAGUACAAUUAAGGCACUAUUUGUUUCUUGGAAAAUAUUUUAUUUUUGGAAAAUGUUUUUCUAGGAAGUCAUUUUUUGGAAAAAAUGACAAUAAAUUUCAGUGUUUAGCUGAAAUAUGAAAGAUAACUGAAAAAUAUUUUCCAUUAGUUGAAAAUGACAAUAUGAUUGUUAAGCGUUAGUGACUUGCACGGGGUGACUGACAAAACCAAGCAUGGACACCAUGAUCUCAAGUUCGGUAUUGAUGGACCUAGGCCAAAGGGCUAGUGCCUCGAGUUCAGGCGCUCCCAGGUGUGGGGAACCGAACAUGGGCUUCUAGAUCCUAGCCUCGUUGGACCUAAGCUUAGAUGCAAGGAAUUCGGGCAAAAGCAUUGAGGUUUUGAGCUCGAGUAUCAGGGAUCCAAGCAUGAAAAUUGGGGUCUUGAGCUAGAGCUAGAGCCUAGUCUUGAUGGACUUGAACCUAAGUGCCGGCGACUCAGGCACAAACGCCAAAAAGUUAAAAUAUAUAUAUAUAUAUAUUUCUUCAAAAAAUAUUGUUUGCGAAAUAAAUGGAGCCCAAGAAUAUUAACAUCAUCCUACAAACUCGAUAUACCAACCGAUGCCUAUCUUGUACUUUACAUUGAUAAUUGCAUGGGAACGGAUCACAUAAAGAUCGACACGCUUUCACGAGCUCCCUCACGGUUCUUUAAUAGGAUGUUCCGUCCUUGUCGUUCCCAAUAAUGCAUUAUUAGCGUGAAAGAGAAGGAUCAUUAGCGGCUAAACGCGUCAACGAAUACGCAUUGAGAGCCACGUACGAGCCAACAAGACGACGCCUCGUAGUCCGAAAACGCAGCAUCCUCGAGAGCAGCCAUCCAUGGAUGUGGGAGCUGUCGGCUUCAACGAGAGAGGGUAAUGAACCGAGGAGUCAGAGCUUCAAAAUCCUACCGAUUGGUCAUCGGCAGCGUCUGCUCUCUGUAGCUUUUGAAGCAUGCAAAGCUCGAAUUGACUCAUUUGAGAUGAGGUCUAGGAAUUCCAAUUCUCCAUCUUUUACGAGUUACCUACUCUACAUCCAGCCACUCGUAACUAUUUCUUGGGCUCUCCGUUAUAACUUGUCACGACCAAAUUUUCGGGUGUGAAUCACAUAGGGUUUGGCUAAUGGAUUGUUAAGCUUAGACUUAACUCGGGCUCUCCCAAGCCCAUACCAAUUCGCGACUUAAGUUCAAAUUUCUUAACAUGCAAAUGGAUUUUAUCUAGGAGUCGCCACUAAUCAGUUUACGGUAGGUCGAUUAGACACCUAAGUAAAAUAACAUAAGAAUUAUUUUACUCUUACGAACCAGAGACUUUGGGUACGGGGACUUGGUUACACUAGACUUCUCUAAUGCCAUUUCGGUACCAUUUCUUUUAUUUUCAAUUUUUUUUUUUUUUGCAGGCAGUUUGAAUUGAUUUUAAAUCUAUUUCUCUAACAUGUGAGGUGAUCAUAUGGGUGCGCAAAUCACCAAUUUAACAUCCAAGAAAGCAAUGAAUAAAUUACAUGAAUCUAUCUAGGGUUGAUGAUGUGAAUUCUGAUCUAACGACGCAGAGGCUUUCGUUGCUACAAGGUAAAUGAUUUCUAAUGAACACGUAAUUUCUUUUUUAUUUUCAUUUAAUUAAUGAGAAUCAUGCUUUAUGCAAUGCAAUAUAACUAAAUGACCUAAUUCUAAUUACAGCAAUUUCUAAUUAAAUGGACCUAGAAACAAUCACUAAAUCUAAUUAUAUAUGACAUGCAAUGACAUUUUUUGCGUGUUUUUUUUAAAAAAAAUCGUAAUUAAAAUUGCUAAAAAUAAAAAUCUUACUAAAGUGAGAUAUUAUCUAUUUUAAGUUAGGAAAUAGACUAAUAUGAAUCCUAUCUUAACUUAGAAAUUUAUCUCGACAAGCAAUAUAAUUCCAAGAUAUUAUCUAACCUAGAUAUCAUCUAAACAUGCAUUUUAAUAUAACCAGAAAAGAAUCUAACUAUUUAUCAUGCAAUUCUAUCCAAGAAAUCAAUUCUAAUCUACAUGAUAUGCGAAUCAAUCUUUUUUGUAUUUUUGGGAUAAAUAAAGCAAUUAAAAAAAAAACAAGCGCCAAAUCAUCCGGUCAUUAAAGAUAUUAUCCAUUGUUCGAAUUAGGAAACAAUAUCUAAUCAAUUUGAUUAUUUCGCUAAUAAAAUCGAUAAAUUGAUCUUAAGCCUUAAAGAUCAAGAUAUCAAUUUUAUUCCCGCGUGUCGCGACCUACCCUCGGGGUGAGGGAACAGGUUUAGGGGUAUUGCCUAACGGACAGACUUAAGGCCCAUGUUUAGGCGUGGGUUCUCCCGAGCCCAUACCCCGCGUGACAUUAGGAUAUUUUUUAUGAAUUUUGCACAAAAGGAGUCACCAUUAGCCUAUUGGGGUCGGCUAGAAACCAAGUGAGGCAUGGGAGUACACCUCACUUCCUACGCAACCAGAGAAUCUAGAGUCGGGGACUUGAUUACACUAAUUGACCAAUUAGUGUCAUUUCGGUACCUAAUCUUGUUCAUUUUAACAAAAUGAUUUUUUGGCAGGUGAUUUGGAUUGAUUUUAUACCUAUCCACUAACAUGUGAAGUGAUCAUGCGGGUGCGAAAUCAUUAAAGUAACAGUCAUAGCUACCAAGAUCCUGAUUGCAGUAAAAUUAACACAAGCAACUAAACAAUUGCAAACAUAGUUAAACACGAAAAUUAAACAUGCAAUAUAAUCAAUAUACAAGCAAAUAAAGGCCUAAUUACACUAAAAAUGCAAUACAUAGCAAAUCCUAACCAAACCCCACAAUUUUUAGUUUUUCAAAAUUUUUAAAUUUUUUUUAAUUAAUUUUUUAAAUAUAUAUAUUUUUAAUUCUUUUUAAAAAAAUUUAUAAAAAAAAAAAAAAAAGGCGAACCGGGUCGGAUCCGAUCGGACCCAACCCAGUUUGGCUCGAUCAGCGGAGUCAAGUCCAACUGGGGAGACGGGCUAAUUGGCCUGCUCGAAAAAGAGCAAGGCCUAGUCGGGCUUUCAAUUAAAUUCAGAUUGGGCCCAACCAAUAGGCCCGAUCUGGUCUAAGUUUUUUCGUUUUAAAAACGAAGCCCACAAGCCCAAUGUACUAAAACAGCCCAAAACGAAGCCCAUUUCUCUUUUCCUAUUUUUUUUAAUCUUUUGGUGCUUUCUUUUCUUUUCUUUUUUCUUCUGCCCCUUUUCAGAUUGUCUUCUUCGAUCCCUCUUCUCCCGCAGCCGUGACAUGCCGAGGCUCUUGCCGCUCCCUCGCUGGACCAAUGCCGACUACUCCGUGAGUACCGACCACCCCCGACUACUCCAUGAGUACCGACCACCCCAAGGAAAGUCGCCGAACCACUGCCGCCCACCGGUCAUCUCUCUCGAUUGGCGCCGGCCGUCGUCGACUACCUAUUCCGGUAACCACUAACCUAUUUCCAACGGAACAAUUCAUCGAUUCAAAUACAUGCCAAUAUCUCGCGCAAACCGUUCGAAAACACAAUGAAUACAGGCAAAGCAACAAGGAUUCAACAAGCACGGGGGCAAAAAUGAGUGGGUACAGCGUUAAAACGCAAGCUGCUCUUCAGUUUUCUUUGAGGAUUUUGUCGAACACAUGGUCUACACUACCGGACUCGAAGGAUUCCGGCUCAACUGAGCACCGAACACGCUUUAGGGGUCUUAAAAUAUAACGUAGGAGGACACGGGAGCAAAGCGCAAAGGCAACGUGGACCAGAGCUCACGCGAACCGGUUGGGCGUGAGCUCCGGCCCAGCGUUUUCCAAAAACGAAAACAUGGGGUUCACGGGACCUACCUCGUCCGGUGAUGGGCUACGGCGGACAACGGCGGGCGAACAGACCUCUGGCGACGACGAGCUGCUCCCUUGAGCUUCUGCCUUUGGUUCGGCCUCUCCUCCCCUCAGUGUUUCUCUCUCGCUUACUCUCGGCUUGGUGUUUUUUUGGUCCCCCCCACUCUGUCAUCCCCUCCUCCGGUUUUAUGCUCAGCCAGCAAGCGCGCAUGGCCUCUGCAACUGCCAGCUUGCCGGCUGGACUGCCCCCCCCGACCUGCGGAUCACGCCGUUCGCCUGCCACCAAUCCCCCUGCUCUCUGUUGCUGAUCCGUUGCUGCUGUCUUAUGUUUUCUGCAGGUCGUGCGAAGACUAGUUGGGGGAGACGACCAGCUCGUUCGCGGGCUAGGCAAAGGGAUUGGGCCGGGCCCAGUGCAAGGGGAAGAAAAGAGAGGGGCGGGUUGGGCCAUGGUCGAAUCCAGCCCAACCUGACCAUUUUUUUUUCGUUUUUUCUUUCGAAUUUUUUUAACUCUUUUGUUUUUGAAUAAUAAUUUUUGUGACUAAUUCCUAACCUUUAAUGCUACUUUAAAUUAAUUAAUUUAGGUGAAAUUUAGGUGUCAACACCGCGUAAUUAAUUAUUCCAUCUAAAGCCUUAUAGAUGGAAUAAAAAAUCGACGUGCGGUUGCGAAUUAGGCAAUAAAUCCUAAUUGGAAAUGCACUUAUCAUUUAAGUGUGCACGUAAGAUACUGAAAAGCAUGUUUUAGGCAAUAAAAUAUCUAAAUCAAAUUUAGAUAUGAUAAUACCUAAUUCCGCAAAUGAUACUACCAAAUUCGGACCGAGUGGAAUCCGUUCAACGGGUGACCGGUGGUGGUGGUGCUUGGCCUCGGUCGAUAGCGCGGUGAGGAUGGGUGUUCACAAUGGUGCUCGAGGACGACUUGCAGUGAUGGGAGAGAGAUCACCAGCGGGUCCUUGCUUCGGUGAUCAACGAGCUCGCUUGGAAAGCCUGCAAAAUUAAACUCAUCUCUGGUCGUGAGUAUGGAUAAGCUGCUAUGAACUCGUCCUCCUUGGUAUUGGUGGAUUAAAGACGUCAAUGCUGCCCGAUGAACGUCUCUCAGGGUAUCGAGUUCCCUUGUAUUGAUAUUUCGUUGACCUACAAAGAGAAAAAGAAGCAACUUUUUUCUUUUUCACGUCUCCUACCAAUUGUGGCUGUCGUUUUUUUAUAUCAGGGAAUUCAACCAACAUUAGAAUAUUAGCAACAGAAUAUGUGGGAACCAAAUUAACCAAAUUCUUAGCUAGCUCUUGAUGUCACUCGGAUGUGUUUCCAAAUUUGGACUUGUCGGACGGCAGGAGUGGGGAUGGUCACCGUGGGAUGCUCAUGAACACAAUGAAUAAUGGCUAUAGACGUGGCCGACGAGGGCUAAGAAUUUGGCACGACCAAACAAAGAGGCUUGAUGAUAGCGUGCAAGCACGGAUGGGACUUAUUGAUUGCAGCUCCAGGGGCAAUCUCCCCACAAGGCUGUUCUGAAUAUGGUGAAUGACCUACAUAAUAGAGAUUCAGCUCGAGAACAAGUUUGCAAGCACGACUGUGGACUAGAGAUGCCGCGGGAUGCUUGAACGCUCUCUGGAAUUGCAGGAGCUCGUCUAGAAUCGCUGGGCGUUCGUUGGUGGGACUCCUGGAUCACUGCGACACUCGGCAUGGCGGCGCAUGGCUUGUGCUCUGGGCGAUGCUCGACUUGGUGGAUUCUUGCCGUGGUCCGCAACUCGGACAAACCAGCGGGUUGUCCUGUAAAAUAGAGAGAAUAGAAACGCAAGUCGUGGGACCAAGAGGAAGCAGCAACGUCGGGCUCAAUUCGGCUGAGGAGACGCGCUUGAGGAAGAAGACGCUUCCUCUCUCUUAUUUCUCUCUCAAUUGUGGCCGCAUCUUUUCCGUUAUGUGGCCUGGCGCGACGAUGAAGGCGCUGUUGUGAGGGACUUGUACAAGACCUCUCCCCCUCCAAGCUCUCUCCUUCUCUCUUUUUUAGUCAAAAGCUCCCUACGGAUGAUCGAAAAAUUCUCCGUCUCUCACAUACUCUCCGUAUCUCUUAAUGUGGCCUCUUCUUUCUUGCAUGAGAGCUCUUCCUUUUAAAUGCCAGACUACAUGGGAUCCCCAGGAAGAGAAGGUGAUCUGCUUUCGUAUUGUGGAUGCAUUGAAAUAUAUUCCUUUGAUUUUUUUUCCUUUCGGAACUUGUACCUUUAGCUAUGCAAAUAUAUUUAUUUUCCUUUUAAGCCCAAGUCACGUCCUUUAUUUCCUGCAAACACGAGAAUCGGCCGCCGCGAAUACUCGAAGGGUUACGCUCAUAUUGAAAUAUUAUGCCGAUUUCCUGUUUCUUCCAUUCCUUAUUACUUUGCCCAUAUUGCGUGAAUCUAACCAAAGAAUCAUGCAUAAAUUCUUUCCUCUUAAAAUAAUGUCGGUCAAUUUCUUGCCCCCCGCGUUGACCGAAUUAUGGCCAAGUGCAUAAUUUUCCUUCACGUGGAUGGGCUUUCCCAUGUACCAAUCGGUGGCCGCUUACACGUUAUCCUUCCUUUGCAUUCAUUCCCUUAAACGCACAAAUAUGUCAGUGCCAAUGUGCUGAAAAUUUCUUAAUCGACUUUUAACAAUUUAGGGCACCCAUGUAAAUGUAAUAUCAAUCACUAUGGAUGAAUUAUCGACUUAUCCAAAGUUUAAUGCUCUUGUGGGCUUCAAUAUUCAAAGCCAUUCACCCAAAUCCAUUCACUGCCGGCCCAACAAAUAUGCAAUUAAAUGAAAUAUGCUCCUAAUGACAAUAUGUUAUGCAAUUAAAUUAUAUAUUUUUUAGGGGUUAAAUUUAAUCCCUGAUUUUUUUAAUGAGAUAAAUGAUUAAGCGGGUCGUCAAAAUUUAGGUGUCAACAUAAUUGCCGUGACGACAGAUUUGAGGGAGAUUUUAAAAUAAGCUUGUCGCGACCUAAAUUUCGGGUGCACUACUUAAAAUUAGGCUAAUGGACUAUUAAGUCUAACUUAACUCGGGCUCUCCCAAGCCCAUACCAAUUCGCGACUUAGGUUCAAAUUUCUUAACAUACAAAUGAAUUUUAUUUAGAAGUCGACACUAAUCAGUUUAUGGUAGGUCGAUUAGACACCUAAAUAAAAUAAUUGAAGAAUUAUUUUACUCCCACAAACCAAAGACUUUGAGUACGGAAACCUGGUUACACUAGACUUCUCUAAUACCAAUAAUGGAAGAAUUAUUUUCAUUUUCAAAAAAUAUUUUUGCAAGCAGUUUGGAUUGAUUUUGAAUAUAUUUUCCUAACAUGUGAAGUGAUCAUGCGGGUGCGCAAACCACCAAUUUAACACCCAAUAAAGUAAUGAAUAAAUUACGAGACUUAUCUUGUAGUAAGGAAAGCAUCUACGUUGUUAGAUCAGAAUUCACAUCAACCCUAAAUAUGAUUUCUAAUUAACACACAAUUUCUUUUUAUUUUUAUUUAAUUAAUGAGAAUCAUGCUUUAUGCAAUGUAAUAUAACUAAAUGACCUAAUUCUAAUGACAGGCAAUUUCUAAUUAAAUGGAUCUACCAACAAUCACUAAAUGGCAUGUAUUUAAUGAAUCUAAUUCUAUAUGACAUGCACAUGACAUUUUUUUUUAUUUUUUCUUAAAAAAGAAUGCAUUCUAUCAUAGGGACUGAAACUAAUUUAUCCUAAGUAAUUUUUUGUAUUUUUUCAUGAAAUUCGAAAUUAGGAAAAAUGUGAAAAUUGUCUAACUAGAUUAAGAUUCUAUUCAAUUUGUAUUAGGAAUUAGGUUAAACCAAAUCCUAAUUUAAACUAAGAUAUUAUCUUAACUUAGCAAUUUCUAACCUAAGAUGUAAUCUAUCAAAAAAAUCAAUCUAAACUUAAAAUGAACUAAUGUGCAAUGACGUAUAAAGAAUGCCCUAAUUCUAGAUUUUCUUUUUUUGUUUGUUUUUUUUAUUAAUUUCAAAAUUUAAAAAAAUGUCAAAUAAUUAAACGUGCAAUUUAAGGUAAUGAAACAAAAAUCUAACAUCCUAAAUUUAUGGUUUUUUUUUUAUUUCGAAAUUCAUAAUAAAUAAAAUGCUUAGUCUAAAUGUGCAAAUAACCUUAAAGCAUGCAACAUUCUAAUGUAAACCUAAUCUAGAUCAAACAUAUUUAAAGAUAAAUAAAGCAAUCAAGACGAGACCGACCAAGCAAUUCAAAAUCAUCAAAGAUAUCAUAUAUCGUUUGGAUCAAAUGAUAAUAUCUCGCUAAUAAAAUCGAUAAUUUGAUCUUAAGCUUUAAAGAUCAAAAUAUCAAUUUUAUUUUCAUUUGAUUAAUUAUUCCAUCUAAAGCCUUAUAAAUGAAAUAAAAAACUCAUAUGCAGUUACGAAUCAAGUGAUAUGUUGGAAUUUUCAAUUAUAGAAUAGAUAAAUAUUUCUAAUAGAAAACAAGAAAUAAAAUAAAAAUAAGAUAACCUAAUAAAAUAAAGCAAAUAUACCUAAUUUGAUUUUUUUUUCUUUUUUUUUUUUAAAAAGGAAAUCUUGGCGGCCGAUUCGGAGCUCCAGCGAGGGGAAUCAACGGCGAGCGGUGUGUCCGGCGCGGGCAGCGGGGCGGAGUGGACGGCGGUGGUCGUCGCAGCAAGGGACCGGAGCGGAAGCAGCUGCUGGCCGUCGCAGGGGGGGCUGGUCGACGGCAGCAACGGUGGCGAACAGAGGCAGCAAACAGCAGCAGCUCGUCGGGGGUCACGGCGAUGGCGCAGCAGGCAAGGCUGUCGGACACCGGGCGGUCGCGGACGGAACCGCAGCGCGGAGGCGUGGGUCAGUACGGGGCUCGCUCGACGGUGGAGCGACGACCGGCUCAGAUCUGCCGUCAUCGGGGCUCCCGAGCGUGAGAUCAGGACAGCGAUGGUGUCGCGAGCCGGCACGGGCUGGAGGUGAGGCAGAGCGUGGCGGGGACUAGUGGCUUCGCGGCUUCUGGGAACGCGAGCAGCAGCGACGUCGCGGACCGGCACGGGUUCGCGGGUGAGGAGGAUCUCCGGCGACUGGCUGGCCGACAGCGGCGGAGGCGGUGUCGGCGUCGACUGGUGCGGUCGCGAGGCCGGCGCGGUGGGGGGGCUCCUCCCGAGGAAGAUUAACAGUCGCGGUCCCCCUUUUCUGUUCUCUCUCUCUCUCUCUCUCUCUCUCUCUCUCUCUCACGUCACUUCUCUCUCCCUCACGUCCCUCACCGGUCACUUCUCUUCUUUUCCCUUUUCUCUUUUUCUCUCUCUCUCUCCUAAAACCGAAGAAAGAAGAAAGCCCUCACUUUUUGCUCCAAUAUUUUUUCCGAAAUUCCUCCUCUCUUGUCCGUACGUGCACAACACUUUUAGAUCUUUACGACAUAUUUUGUUUCCAAUUUCGCUUGUACAUAAUUCCUCGAAUAUAUCAUUUGAAAUAUAUACACCUCGCGCAAUAUUAUUUUUUUUAUAUUUUUCAAAUAUUCCACCCAAAAAUUUUCUUUCUGUCAAAAAAUAUGUCUCCCAGUGUAUAUUACCUAAAUAUGUAAAAAAAAUCUCACUUGAAUUAACGCUCACCGUCGGUCCAAUGCAAAAAUAAAAUAGAAUAAAAUAAAAUAAAAUAAAUGUUUCUAAAUUAUAUAUCGUGCAAUUUUUAUUAUUUAUUAUUUUUAAAUUUUUCUUUAUUUUAGGUAAAAAUUAACUUAUUUUUUAUGAAAAACUUAUGUGUCAACAAAGCUAAGCUAUCCAAAUCUGGCAAACUUAAUGAUCUAAGGCUUAAGAAACACACCAUCUUAAAUAGAAGUUGAAAUUAGGAAUGUAAAUCUAAAACGUACCAACAAAGCCAAAAUUAGCAAUUGGCAAAAUCCUGGUAAAUAACCAACAUCCGACGAACUUAGGAAAUAUUUGUUUGGAAGAGUGUGAAUAAUCUUUAAAUCUUCAGAAGAUAACCCAACAGAGAUCUCCCAAUUAUAUCAUCUAUCCACUUAUAAAUAACAAGGGCUCAAAUAGUACAACAAAAACCACCAACUCUCUGACCCAGUCCCGGAUUUCAAGCUCAAACAUAAUGGCUCUCUUCCUCCUCCUCUUGCUCUCUUAUUUCAGUUUUAGUCAAAGCUCUCUCGCUUCCGCCUCAACUGUCUUCAGUAUCAGGAGAAAAAAUUGACUGCAGCUCCGAGUCCAUUUACCUAACGACACGUGUCGUCCAAGCCCCAUCGCGUCAGAAUCCUCUGACACCCAAACCCUCUUCGCUCUCUUCUUUGUUUCUUUUGUUUCUCAGUCGGGAGCCUCGCCCUCAAGCUCCCCAUUGCUGCCAAGCUCACCCGCUCCGCCGUCCACCCCUCCUCCUUCCCCUACUUUUGCAAGAUCAUGCUCAAGAGCUUUCCCCUCCAAACCACCCUCAUCCCCUACCUCCCGCCAGAGGUCGCCGCCUCCCCCCCCCCCCCCCCCCCCAGGCGGCGUCGCCUCCCCUCCUGGGGGACGGGGCAACGGCGACAGCGCCACCUUCUACCUCAGUAAGUUUGACCUCGAUGGGCUCAUUGGGGAGUCCAUCUUCUCUGGCAAGGUCUGCUUGAAGGUCUCUGUCUACACAGGCUGGCAUGGGGCAACCUACAGGGUGAGCUUCUGGAGCCUACUCGGGAAGGUCUCAAUGCCCUUGGACCUCGCCGAGGUCGAGUACAAGGCCUGCGUGUUCCACAGUGGGUGGAUUAAUGUCGGCAAGGAGACCAAGGGGUCGUCGUUGGCGCAGUUCCACUUGAGCAUGAAGGCGGAGCCCGACCCUCGCUUCGUGCUCCAAUUCGACGGGGAGCCCGAGUGCAUCCCGCAAGUAUUCCAAAUACAGGGCAACAUCAGGCAGCCUGUGGUGGACGAACUCUGUUGUUGUCCGCAUCGGAGUGAAAGGGAAGACCAAACGGGAGAAGAAGAAGAAAUAAAAUAAAAAAAAUGAAGGGAGGGAAGAGAGAGAGCCGAGAGGGCAUGGGUGUCAAAGGAUUCUGACGCGGCGGGGCUCGGGCGACACGUGUCAUCCGAUAAGCGCACUCGGAUUAUAGCAUGGUGGAAUCCACCCAAGCUGCAACCAAUAUUUUCCCUCGGUAUCACUCACCAAUCUUCUCUUCUCUUGUCCCAAUGCAGGAUGCUUCUAACGCCCUAGUCGCUUAUGCCAAUCUAUUCACUCCCAAGGCAUAUCUCGUCCGCUACUAAAAUCAAUUUAGGUAUUUCGUGAUAUUAACCCUUAAUUAUUAUCAUUGUCUUAUGAACAAAAAGAAAAUUGUUGCCUUUGUCAUUACACAGCUUAUUUUCCUAGUUUCCUACGACUUUAAACUUUCAUCAAACCUAUAAGAUAGUUGACACAAAAAAAUGCUAAAUACCUAAAAAAAAAUUAAAUUUUAGCUUCAACUCUAAUUUUACCUUAAGAUUUUUUUUAAAAAAAAAAUCAUUAACUUUGGCUAUGUUUAUUUCACAAAAAAUGAAAUAAUUUGGAAAAUAUUUUCUUAAAAAUGACCACUUGUAUCGCUUGAAAUAAUUAGUUAAUGGAAAAUAUUUUUAUUAUCGACAACAAUUUAUGUCUAAAUAUUUUUCAUAGACAAUGAAAUAUUUUUUGUUUGUCUAUUUUUAUAAGUAAUAUAAGUUAUCAUUUAUUUGAAAAAUAUUUUUCAAAAUAUUUAUAUUUCCAUGAAACAAACUCACUGUUUCACUCAAUUCUCAAAUCUCACUCAAUUCUCAAAUCUAUCACGACAUUAACCUUCUGUCCAAUGCGUUUGACGUGGCAUUUACAAUAGGUCUACCUUAGUGAUAAACCUCCGUCUAGUGUUCAUAUUCACCAUUCUCUUAUACUUCAUGGUCUUUAUCACGGUACCAUUAGUAAUAUUCAUCAUCUUCAACUCACGGCUACUGUUGAAAAUAAAGAGGAAAGCGUGUAUCAGCUUAUUAUCCCAACAAGUAUACACGCAAUGCAUACUCCCAAAUCAUAAAACGCAAAAUAGGGAAGCUAAUUUGCACAUACCAGUGGCUGAAACAACUCUAAGCUCGUGGCAGCCAUGGCUACAUGUGAGCUUUGCACUUCAAGUUUGCAAUGUGGCCAUGGCCAUAGCUGCUUAAGCUCCGGGCCACGAAGCUUGCAGCGGUGGCUGCCAUGGCUGCCACGAGCUUCAAACCUAUAUUGGUUGUCUGUCUUCAAUAAACUCAAGGUCCCGAUUCGGUGACGAUGCCAUGAAGUCCACAGGGGGAGCUCGAUCUAGAUCUAGGGCUAAUCCGAGGUCUAGCAAGGCAAAUGACGGCCUUAGUCGGUCCAUGGGAAGUCAAGGACCGUCGUUGGCCCUGUGCUGAACGUUGGGUGGGAGUCAGAACAAGGGAGUGUUGGGCUGAUCCGAGGUCAUCGGCGAUUUUCCUCCAGUUUAGGGGAGCCUGCAGGGGGCGUCAGCGGCGUCCUAGCCAAAGAAUAAAAAAAAAAUAUGAUGAACAGAACCGCGAUGCAAAGACGAUGAACAUUAGUGCUUCAUUUGUUUCGCAAAGAAUAAAUGAUUUAAAAAAUAUUUUCUUAAAAUUGACUGGUAAUAUCGAUUGAAAUAAUUAGUAAAUAUAAUAUAUUUUUAAUAUCGAUAAUAAUUUAUAUCUAAACAUCUUCUUAGAUGAUAAAAAUAUUUUUCGUUUCUUAACUUUUAUAAGUAAUACAAGCCAUAUUUUUCAAAAAAAUAAUUUUCAAAUCAUUCAUUUUCCGUAAAACAAAUGAAACAUAAAUGUAAUGGUGGAUAUGAACAGUGUUUAUGCAUAAAUGUUAAAACCACAUGAGUUUGCUGAGGUGGAUUUAUCGCUGACAUGAAAAUGCCACUUCAAGCAUGUUGGAAGGAGGGUUAGCGUCAGGGCAAAUUUAGGACUUGUAUGAAAGUUUGAGAUUUUUUUUUAGACCAAAAAUUUGGGGUUUUUUAGGGUAUUAAACCCACCAAAAGUAACCAAAUUUUGGUUAUUAUCGAUAAAAGCAAAGUUUGUUUAAAAUAGAAGUUAUCAACGAACUGAACAGUAAACGAAUUGAAUAAGUCAGAUAACUUACCGAUUAUCAAUGAGAUCCUUCACUAGUAGACAACUUGAAAGAGAUCGGUAAGCCAUCAACAACAAAUAGUUACCACAAAUACUUGCAAAUUUUCUGUGAAAUAUUGAGGCUGUGUAAUCCAUGAUCAAAACAGAGGUUUGCCAAUAGAUCAGUCGGCAAAUACGAUGGAUUGACACCAACACGUGAUUAUUAGGUGGUUAUGCCUAUAACCAUGGAAUUUAUGACUUCUUCUGGAUAAUCACUGUCAAAUGAUAGAGGAUAUUGUUUAUAAUCUCAUCAAGCAUAAUUGCUCACCAAUAAUUGUAAAUAGUGCUAGGAAAUUAUUCGUGGAUUCAAAUCAAUAACUGCCGCAUGGCAAGAUAUAAAGCCCCAUGUUAUAAUCAUUGUAAACAAAAUCAAUCAACAACUAAUUUUCUAUUCUUAUGCACAUUUACUUUCUUCUUUAAUUUUCCAGCAAAUGUACCGUUUUAGCAUCUUCAUAUUUUCGCACCUUCAAUGAUUAUCGCAACCUUUAAUUUCCAAUACUUGCACUUCAAUUUCUUUACUUCUAUAGCCAUUUACAUUCUUGUCUAGAAUCAACAAAGAAUCUAUUUUCCUCAAAAUUCAUCGAUCUAAUUCAUCUAUUGAUAUUUACACUUUUUGGCGAAACACUAGCCUCAUUGUUUGCACUAGUCAAUGUUUGGAGUUGAACUCAUGUCGAGCGUUCUAAUUAUUCCACAAACAUGUGAAGAGUGGGAAAUAGAGAAUCAUAGUCUGCGUGCUCUAUAAUUUCUUUUCCAAAAAUAAUCCGAUCAGUUAUUGCAAGAAAAGAUUCAAUGGACAUUAAAUCUUCACGCGUGUGUAAGGUGACAAUCAAUAAGGAAAGGUCUAAGACACGCGUGAUGGUGAUGGAUCUAUAUCUCUCCAAACAUGUCCUAUUCUGUGCAAUACAAUCUAACAUGUCUUGUCCCAUAAAGCUUAAUCUAAGCAUCUAUGGAUUUAUUGUCAUCACUCUCAAAGAUCUCAAUUUGCCAGUUGGAGCACUUCUCUCCAAAUAUUAGGAUAUAUCGAUGUGAAAUUGACACCCUAGAUAUCCAGAAGUUAGUGCCGACAUAAACUUCAAUCGAUCCUUUUUUAAUAUUUUCUAAGUAACACUAGGAUGAGUUAAUGUUAAACAAUGCUAAGCAAGUGGCAUGCAUUCACAUGUCAAAUGAAUGCACAUGUAAAAAUAACCUAAAUAUAUUUACCCUUCAUCUGCUUCGCUCAUAGCUUCACCAUUCGUUAUUAGCACUACCCUCCAUAAUAUUGCCAUCGAUAUGGGCAUCUUUCUCAUAGGCACAGCUCUCUCUCUCUCUCUCUCUCUCUCUCUCUCUCUCUCUCUCUCUCUCUCUCUCUCUCUCUCUCUCUCUCUCUCCGGUAGGCAUAAGUUUUGUCUCGUCGUCAUCAAACUGGGAGGAGUAGUAUUUUUCUAAAGAAAAGUGCAUUAAAAGUCUUAAAAUUUAUCUCGAAAAUACAUUAAAUCCUAAAACUUUCAAAAUUGUAAUCAGAUGUUAAAAUUGGUUAAAAUAAUGUAAGUAAGUCCUCGUGCUCUAUUAUUCCCCCCCCCCCCACCCAAAAACAAGAAGAAGAUCCAAUCCAUUAAUGAAAGAAAUUUUUUUUUUGCGAAGGCAAGUGACAAUAGAUUUUCAAUUAUUCAAUGGCCAUUAAUCCUCAUACAUGCGUAAGGUGACAAUCGACAAGGAAGGGUCUAUGACAUGCUUGAUGGCGAUAGAUGUGUAUCUCUCCAAACAUGUCCUAUUAUGUGCAGUACAAUCCUACAUGCUUGUCUCAUAAUGUUUGAUCCUUUAAAUUGUGAGCUGCAUAAUUCAUAAUCAUUUCUAGAUUUAUCGUCAUCGCUCUAAAAUAUCUCAAUUUGCAAAUUGGAGCACUUCUCGCCAAAAAUAAGGAUGUUGAUGUGAAACUGACAUGACACCCUAGAUAUCUAGAAGUGAGUGCACACAUAAACCUCAAUCCGUCCUUUUCUAAUAUUUUCUAACUAACAAUAGUAUAAGUUAAAAUUAAACAAUGCUAAGAUAGGUGGCAUGCAUCACAUGUCAAAUGAGCACAUGUAAACUUAAUCUAGACAUAUUUACUCUCCAUUAGCUUCGCCCAUAGCUAAAUCAGCUACACUAGCACUAGCCUCCAUAGCAUCGCCAUCGAUCCGGCAUCUUUCUCGCAAGCAUAACCACCUCUCUCUCUCUCUCUCUCUCUCUCUCUCUCUCUCUCUCUCUCUAAAAUAUAUUCUUCCACCAUAUCUCCAUUUUUCUAACCAUUACCUUUCUCUUUUAUCUCUCAAUAUUAUACCCUAUACUCUUUCUUAAAUUUCAACUUCUUACACUACCACCAUUAAUAUCCAUUAACAACCUUCUAAAAAUAUAAAAACUUANNNNNNNNNNNNNNNNNNNNNNNNNNNNNNNNNNNNNNNNNNNNNNNNNNNNNNNNNNNNNNNNNNNNNNNNNNNNNNNNNNNNNNNNNNNNNNNNNNNNNNNNNNNNNNNNNNNNNNNNNNNNNNNNNNNNNNNNNNNNNNNNNNNNNNNNNNNNNNNNNNNNNNNNNNNNNNNNNNNNNNNNNNNNNNNNNNNNNNNNNNNNNNNNNNNNNNNNNNNNNNNNNNNNNNNNNNNNNNNNNNNNNNNNNNNNNNNNNNNNNNNNNNNNNNNNNNNNNNNNNNNNNNNNNNNNNNNNNNNNNNNNNNNNNNNNNNNNNNNNNNNNNNNNNNNNNNNNNNNNNNNNNNNNNNNNNNNNNNNNNNNNNNNNNNNNNNNNNNNNNNNNNNNNNNNNNNNNNNNNNNNNNNNNNNNNNNNNNNNNNNNNNNNNNNNNNNNNNNNNNNNNNNNNNNNNNNNNNNNNNNNNNNNNNNNNNNNNNNNNNNNNNNNNNNNNNNNNNNNNNNNNNNNNNNNNNNNNNNNNNNNNNNNNNNNNNNNNNNNNNNNNNNNNNNNNNNNNNNNNNNNNNNNNNNNNNNNNNNNNNNNNNNNNNNNNNNNNNNNNNNNNNNNNNNNNNNNNNNNNNNNNNNNNNNNNNNNNNNNNNNNNNNNNNNNNNNNNNNNNNNNNNNNNNNNNNNNNNNNNNNNNNNNNNNNNNNNNNNNNNNNNNNNNNNNNNNNNNNNNNNNNNNNNNNNNNNNNNNNNNNNNNNNNNNNNNNNNNNNNNNNNNNNNNNNNNNNNNNNNNNNNNNNNNNNNNNNNNNNNNNNNNNNNNNNNNNNNNNNNNNNNNNNNNNNNNNNNNNNNNNNNNNNNNNNNNNNNNNNNNNNNNNNNNNNNNNNNNNNNNNNNNNNNNNNNNNNNNNNNNNNNNNNNNNNNNNNNNNNNNNNNNNNNNNNNNNNNNNNNNNNNNNNNNNNNNNNNNNNNNNNNNNNNNNNNNNNNNNNNNNNNNNNNNNNNNNNNNNNNNNNNNNNNNNNNNNNNNNNNNNNNNNNNNNNNNNNNNNNNNNNNNNNNNNNNNNNNNNNNNNNNNNNNNNNNNNNNNNNNNNNNNNNNNNNNNNNNNNNNNNNNNNNNNNNNNNNNNNNNNNNNNNNNNNNNNNNNNNNNNNNNNNNNNNNNNNNNNNNNNNNNNNNNNNNNNNNNNNNNNNNNNNNNNNNNNNNNNNNNNNNNNNNNNNNNNNNNNNNNNNNNNNNNNNNNNNNNNNNNNNNNNNNNNNNNNNNNNNNNNNNNNNNNNNNNNNNNNNNNNNNNNNNNNNNNNNNNNNNNNNNNNNNNNNNNNNNNNNNNNNNNNNNNNNNNNNNNNNNNNNNNNNNNNNNNNNNNNNNNNNNNNNNNNNNNNNNNNNNNNNNNNNNNNNNNNNNNNNNNNNNNNNNNNNNNNNNNNNNNNNNNNNNNNNNNNNNNNNNNNNNNNNNNNNNNNNNNNNNNNNNNNNNNNNNNNNNNNNNNNNNNNNNNNNNNNNNNNNNNNNNNNNNNNNNNNNNNNNNNNNNNNNNNNNNNNNNNNNNNNNNNNNNNNNNNNNNNNNNNNNNNNNNNNNNNNNNNNNNNNNNNNNNNNNNNNNNNNNNNNNNNNNNNNNNNNNNNNNNNNNNNNNNNNNNNNNNNNNNNNNNNNNNNNNNNNNNNNNNNNNNNNNNNNNNNNNNNNNNNNNNNNNNNNNNNNNNNNNNNNNNNNNNNNNNNNNNNNNNNNNNNNNNNNNNNNNNNNNNNNNNNNNNNNNNNNNNNNNNNNNNNNNNNNNNNNNNNNNNNNNNNNNNNNNNNNNNNNNNNNNNNNNNNNNNNNNNNNNNNNNNNNNNNNNNNNNNNNNNNNNNNNNNNNNNNNNNNNNNNNNNNNNNNNNNNNNNNNNNNNNNNNNNNNNNNNNNNNNNNNNNNNNNNNNNNNNNNNNNNNNNNNNNNNNNNNNNNNNNNNNNNNNNNNNNNNNNNNNNNNNNNNNNNNNNNNNNNNNNNNNNNNNNNNNNNNNNNNNNNNNNNNNNNNNNNNNNNNNNNNNNNNNNNNNNNNNNNNNNNNNNNNNNNNNNNNNNNNNNNNNNNNNNNNNNNNNNNNNNNNNNNNNNNNNNNNNNNNNNNNNNNNNNNNNNNNNNNNNNNNNNNNNNNNNNNNNNNNNNNNNNNNNNNNNNNNNNNNNNNNNNNNNNNNNNNNNNNNNNNNNNNNNNNNNNNNNNNNNNNNNNNNNNNNNNNNNNNNNNNNNNNNNNNNNNNNNNNNNNNNNNNNNNNNNNNNNNNNNNNNNNNNNNNNNNNNNNNNNNNNNNNNNNNNNNNNNNNNNNNNNNNNNNNNNNNNNNNNNNNNNNNNNNNNNNNNNNNNNNNNNNNNNNNNNNNNNNNNNNNNNNNNNNNNNNNNNNNNNNNNNNNNNNNNNNNNNNNNNNNNNNNNNNNNNNNNNNNNNNNNNNNNNNNNNNNNNNNNNNNNNNNNNNNNNNNNNNNNNNNNNNNNNNNNNNNNNNNNNNNNNNNNNNNNNNNNNNNNNNNNNNNNNNNNNNNNNNNNNNNNNNNNNNNNNNNNNNNNNNNNNNNNNNNNNNNNNNNNNNNNNNNNNNNNNNNNNNNNNNNNNNNNNNNNNNNNNNNNNNNNNNNNNNNNNNNNNNNNNNNNNNNNNNNNNNNNNNNNNNNNNNNNNNNNNNNNNNNNNNNNNNNNNNNNNNNNNNNNNNNNNNNNNNNNNNNNNNNNNNNNNNNNNNNNNNNNNNNNNNNNNNNNNNNNNNNNNNNNNNNNNNNNNNNNNNNNNNNNNNNNNNNNNNNNNNNNNNNNNNNNNNNNNNNNNNNNNNNNNNNNNNNNNNNNNNNNNNNNNNNNNNNNNNNNNNNNNNNNNNNNNNNNNNNNNNNNNNNNNNNNNNNNNNNNNNNNNNNNNNNNNNNNNNNNNNNNNNNNNNNNNNNNNNNNNNNNNNNNNNNNNNNNNNNNNNNNNNNNNNNNNNNNNNNNNNNNNNNNNNNNNNNNNNNNNNNNNNNNNNNNNNNNNNNNNNNNNNNNNNNNNNNNNNNNNNNNNNNNNNNNNNNNNNNNNNNNNNNNNNNNNNNNNNNNNNNNNNNNNNNNNNNNGGGGUUUUUUUUUUGAAAAGCAAAACCCACGCCGUUCUCUACAUCCCUUUCUCUCUAUAAUUCUCAUUUUCUUUUUGCUCUCUUCCUCUCCCCCCCCCCCCCCUUUUAGGGUGGGCACAAAUUUUUUUUUGGUCAUAAUCAAAGUGGGAGGGAGUAGUUUUUUUCCAAAGAAACCGGCAUUAAAAGUUUUAUAUUUUUUCUGGAAAAGGCUUUUAUUUUUUAAACUUUUUAAAAUGGUAUUCAGAUGUAAAAUUGGGUAAAAAUAAGGUAAGCAAUUCCUCCGUCCUCAUUUUUCCCCCCCCCCCCCCAAAGAUCCAAUCCAUUAAUGCAAGAAAAGAAUUUUUGUGAAGGCAAGUGACAAUAGAUUUUCAAUUAUUCAAUGGCCAUUAAUCCUCAUACAUGCGUAAGGUGACAAUCGACAAGAAAGGGUCUAUGCAAUGCUUGAUGGUGAUGGAUGUGUAUCUCUCCCAACAUGUCCUAUUAUGUGCAGUACAAUCCUACAUGCUUGUCUCAUAAUGUUUGAUCCUUUAAAUUGUGAGCUGCAUAAUUCAUAAUCAUUUCUAGAUUUAUCGUCAUCGCUCUAAAAUAUCUCGAUUUGCAAAUUGGAGCACUUCUCGCCAAAAAUGAGGAUGCUGAUGUGAAACUAACACGACACCCUAGAUAUCUAGAAGUGAGUGCACACAUAAACCUCAAUCAAUCCUUUGCUAAUAUUUUCAAGCUAACAAUAGUAUAAGUUAAAAUUAAACAAUGCUAAGAUAGGUGGCAUGCAUUCACAUGUCAAAUGAAUGCACAUGUAAACUUAAUCUAGACAUAUUUACUCUCCAUCAACUUCGCCGAUAGCUAAAUCAGCUACACUAGCACUAGCCUCCAUAGCAUCGCCAUCGAUCCGGCAUCUUUCUCGCAUGCAUAACCCCUCUCUCUCUCUCUCUCUCUCUCUCUCUCUCUCUCUCUCUCUACAGGGUGUGCCUGGAAACUUCAGGGGUCAAGUAUCAUAAAAGUUGCAUAUUAGUUAUAUAGGCGAAUAAAAUUUCAAAGAUGAAUAUUAUAUAAGGUUCAUAGGUAUGUGGUUCUGCCGGCUGUGGUCGUAUUCUUUUAAGGCGAAACAACAAGCGUCUGAGAAGAAAGGUCAACACCAUUGCUUUUGGGUGUACCUCAUCCAGUGACUUCNNNNNNNNNNNNNNNNNNNNNNNNNNNNNNNNNNNNNNNNNNNNNNNNNNNNNNNNNNNNNNNNNNNNNNNNNNNNNNNNNNNNNNNNNNNNNNNNNNNNNNNNNNNNNNNNNNNNNNNNNNNNNNNNNNNNNNNNNNNNNNNNNNNNNNNNNNNNNNNNNNNNNNNNNNNNNNNNNNNNNNNNNNNNNNNNNNNNNNNNNNNNNNNNNNNNNNNNNNNNNNNNNNNNNNNNNNNNNNNNNNNNNNNNNNNNNNNNNNNNNNNNNNNNNNNNNNNNNNNNNNNNNNNNNNNNNNNNNNNNNNNNNNNNNNNNNNNNNNNNNNNNNNNNNNNNNNNNNNNNNNNNNNNNNNNNNNNNNNNNNNNNNNNNNNNNNNNNNNNNNNNNNNNNNNNNNNNNNNNNNNNNNNNNNNNNNNNNNNNNNNNNNNNNNNNNNNNNNNNNNNNNNNNNNNNNNNNNNNNNNNNNNNNNNNNNNNNNNNNNNNNNNNNNNNNNNNNNNNNNNNNNNNNNNNNNNNNNNNNNNNNNNNNNNNNNNNNNNNNNUCUUAAAAUUUUUUUGGAAAAAGGCUUUUUUUUCCAAAAAUUUUCAAAAUUGUAUUCGAGAUGUUUUCCCCCCCCCCCCCCCCAAAAGAUCCAAUCCAUUAAUGCAAGAAAAGAAUUUUUGUGAAGGCAAGUGACAAUAGAUUUUCAAUUAUUCAAUGGCCAUUAAUCCUCAUACAUGCGUAAGGUGACAAUCAACAAGGAAGGGUCUAUGACAUGCUUGAUGGCGAUAGAUGUGUAUCUCUCCAAACAUGUCCUAUUAUGUGCAGUACAAUCCUACAUGCUUGUCUCAUAAUGCUUGAUCCUUUAAAUUGUGAGCUGCAUAAUUCAUAAUCAUUUCUAGAUUUAUCGUCAUCGCUCUAAAAUAUCUCGAUUUGCAAAUUGGAGCACUUCUCGCCAAAAAUGAGGAUGCUGAUGUGAAACUAACACGACACCCUAGAUAUCUAGAAGUGAGUGCACACAUAAACCUCAAUCAAUCCUUUGCUAAUAUUUUCAAGCUAACAAUAGUAUAAGUUAAAAUUAAACAAUGCUAAGAUAGGUGGCAUGCAUUCACAUGUCAAAUGAAUGCACAUGUAAACUUAAUCUAGACAUAUUACUCUCCAUCAACUUNNNNNNNNNNNNNNNNNNNNNNNNNNNNNNNNNNNNNNNNNNNNNNNNNNNNNNNNNNNNNNNNNNNNNNNNNNNNNNNNNNNNNNNNNNNNNNNNNNNNNNNNNNNNNNNNNNNNNNNNNNNNCUCUCUCUCUCUCUCUCUCUCUCUCUCUCUCUCUCUAUGUGUGUGUGUGUGUGUGUGUGUGGAGGUAGGCACAAGUUUUGUCUCGUCAUCAUCAAACUAACAGGAGUAGUAUUUUUCUAAUGAAAAGUGCACUAAAAGUCUUAAAAUUUAUCACAAAAAUGUAAUUAAAUUCUAAAACUUUCAAAAUUGUAAUCAAAUGUUAAAACUGGUUAAAAUAAUGUAAUUAAGUCAUGGGUGCUCUAUUAUUUUUUCCCAAAAAAAAAAAAAAGAUCCAAUCAAUUAUUGCAAGAAAAGAAUUUUAUGAAGGUGAGAAACAAUAGAUUUUCAAUUAUUCUAUGGCCAUUAAUCCUCGUACAUGCAUAAGGUGACAAUCGAUAAGGAAAGGUCUAAGACAUGCAUGAUGGUGAUGGAAAUGUAUCUCUGCAAACACCUCCUAUUAUGUGCAGUACAAUCCUAGAUGCUCGCCCCAUAAUGCUUAAUCCUUGAAAUUGUGAGCUACAUAAUUCAUAAGUACCUCCAGAUCUAUCGUCAUUGCUCUAGAAUAUCUCAAUUUACUAAUUGGAGCACUUCUUGCCAAAAAUAAGGAUGCGAUUGUGAAAUUGACACACUAGAUAUCUAGAAGUGAGUGCACACAUAAACCUCAAUCGGUCCUUUUCUAAUAUUUUCUAGUUAACAAUAGGAUAAGUUAAAAUUAAACAAUGCUAAAACAGGUGGUGUGCAUUCACAUGGCAAAUAAUUGCACAGGUAAAUUUAAUCUAGAAAAAUUUACUCUCCAUCAGCUUCUCCCACAGCUACACUAAUUGCACUAGCAUUGGCCUCCAUAGCACUGCCAUCGAUCCGGGCAUCUUUCUCACAAGCAUAACCACCUCGAUCCGGGCACUAGCUUACACCAGUUCUAAAAUUUGUCGAAAAGUCCAACCAGACCAUAAAAUUUUCAAAAAGUAUAAUAAGGUCAUAGAACUUGUCAAAGUUAUGUUAUCAAGUCCCUUUGUCAACUCUCUAUAAUUUGACUGACAUGAUUAUGUUAAUUACUUUUGUUAUGACCAAAGCUUAAAGUACUACGAAAUUAAAACUAAGAAAGAUAAAAGAACACACAAAUUUAUGUGAAAACUCUCAUGGGAAAAAACUACAGGGAGAGAAGAAGCAAAAUCUACUAUGGAAAUUUAAGGAUUAUCAAAGAUGACUCGAAAAACCUUAAGACUCAUUUUAUCGCUCAUUUUAAACCUAAUAACUUAGGAAAAAAAUAAUAUUUAUAUUGCUCCAUAUGGGGAGCGCAAUCCUUGCACUUUUGCCAAGGAUUAGUGUUGAGGUACUGGCUUGGGCCUCGACUAACACUAAACCUCAAUUUGUUUUUAUCAAGUCGGGUAGUCACAAAUUUCAAUUUAAGUAUCAAAACUCAAUUUAAGUCGAAUGCCUGGGAGCACAAUUCAAGAUAUACUCAACAAUUUCUUGAGACAUGCAACGUCCACUAAGCACCACAUCAAAAAACGAAACUUUUGGAAAAAAAUUAAAGAAAGAAAUAGAGAGUAAAAGUAAAAUAGAAAAAAGGGAACCUCAUAGCUAUCAAGUACUUAUUAGUUGAGUACCAUAACAACCAUUGGAGUUUGUCAGGGAAGUCAUCUUCCUUCCAAAUUAAAGGAUGUAUGAACGGAUUUAAUCCAAAAGGAUAAAGAAUUGAACCUCCAUGGAGUCUAAAUACGUCUGUGUGGUAUUGCCACAUGAGAUUAUCGAAAUUUUUCAGUGAGGCUAUCAUUCUAAAUUUGUUGAAUGAUCUCCUCAGGAUAAUCCAAACUUGGCCAAUCUCGCAUUAUUUCAAUCUUAUACUUUUCCUAGUGAUGAAGAGUAUGAAAAACACACCUCUGGAUGUACAUGUUGAUUUAUGCUGGCGCUUUGAGUCUGGAGAGAAAAUCAGUUAGGACAUUCUUCUUUUCUACAAUGUGUUUGGUUUCAAAGGAGUAUUUUGCAAACUAUUCAGCCUAUCGAAGCAACUGGGAGUGGGGAAUUUGCUUCUGCUUGAACUUUGUCAUCUAGGGAAAAGAUGCCAUAUCCAACUCUACUAGGAAGUGAUGGCCAAUAAGAUGGAACUCGAUUUUUUUUUUAUUACAUUCUUAACUGCCAAUAUUUCCUUGAAGGUAGAAUGAUAAUGCAUUUUAGCAUGGGAAAACUUUCCACUUUUGUAAGCGCAAAGAUGCCGCUUACCAUCAAUUUCUUCAAACAGUAUAACUGCCCGGUAUUCAUAACUGGUGUCGGUUUGAAGGACUCUCUUCUCUGUAGAUGGAAUUUGCAAUGAGGGAAAAGUCUGCAUGACUUCUUUCAAUUAUGCUAUUACCUUGGUUUGAGCUUUGCCCGGGGGGGGGGGUGUUUCUUCAGCAUUAAUUGCAAUGAGAUCGGCAAUUUGGCAUUGUCGGGGAACGAAAUAUUUGAGACAAUUAAUUAUCCCAAGAAAUUGCUGAACUUGUUUUGUUGUAAAGUUUUAUGCUGGGAAUUUCAACAAUUCCUAGGCAAUAUGUGAUCCUGGGUAGUAUAAUCCUUUAUUGAGGUGUAUCCCAAGAAAUUCAAUUUCUAUUUGAACAAUCUUCAUCUUUCUUUAAGAAAGCAUUAUUCCAUAUUUCUUUACAAUUUAUGCGAACUACUCGAGAAGUCGGCAGUGAGAUUCUUCAUCGGGGCUAUAAAGUAAUAUGUCAUUAAUGUAGACUGUUACACUUGAUAGAAUUGGUUGGAAGAUUCAGCACAUGAUCUUUUAGAACAAGGAAUGGGCUACUUUGAGGCCAAAAGGGAAAAUAUUUAAUUGGAAAUGCUGAUUUGGAAUACAAAAUCCUAUCUUUCAGGACGGAUGCCCAAUUACGAAAAUCCGGCUUUGAGAUCGAAUUUGAAAUAAACGUGGGCUUGAGAUAAUCCAACAAAAAGAUAAUUUUGAGAGGGCAAACGGAUGAUAACAUCUCUAACUAGCUGAGCUACAUUUCUCAGAGCAUCCUAGCACUCAAAAACUACAUUCAUAAAUCAUAAACUUUUCAUGAUUCUUUCAUAGAAGGUUUCACAAACCAUUUACAAGCAAUCGGUUCAAAUUGAAGUUGAAGGAUGACUCCCCAUUUCAAACAAACAAAACAGCAGUCAAUGUUUGAUCCUAUUUUACACAACAAAAAAUGCUAUUUCUUAACUGAUAACAUAUAUAAUCCAUAUCAUUUUCAAAACAUAAAAACACAGAAAAAAUAGUAUCACUCACCCGAGAAAACCAAAAACCAACUUAUAAUGGUUACUCGAGCUAACACACUUAUUCCUAUUUUCUAGAAUCAUCCAUGUGCAUAAUGUGUGGAUGGCUCCAAGGGCCAAUUUCGAACGAAACACUAUACUGUUGGUUCCAAAGGGAGUAGUCCCCGCACACGACGCCAAAUACUUAUUUGUAAUUAUAAAGGGAAAACCAUUUGCAAGUUGAACUAGAAACAAGUGGUUUUGUUCCUUUCGCUUUAUCCAUUUUGUCCUUAUCGAAUCUCUGAUCCUAUAAAUUUCUGGCUCAAUCGACCAAACCCUCCGACAACCAUCAGCAUUUCCGCUCCCUGAUUGAACAAAUACAUACAGAGCAGCUUCAACACAAUGGCUCUCACCUCCCUCUUCCUCCUCCUUCUGCUCUCUUCUCUCCAUGUCAGUAAUUUGUCAACCUUUCAUCCUCCAUGCGUACCCAACUGCUCAUCUCUCUCUCUCUCUCUCUCUCUCUCUCUCUCUCUCUCUCUCUCUCUAUCUCUCUUUCAUGCAGAGAGAGGGCUAUAUGUUUAAUUCGAUAUCUUGCGUUUUAUUAGUGUAUACUUUGUACCUAAGAAGAAACUAAAUAUGUUGGUUUGUAUCAAAAUCAAACCUGAUAAUAUUAUUUAUUUCUCGUGUGGAUUUUCUUAAUGCGUGUCAAUUGGUCAAUCAUGUUUAUGUGUACUUUGCGCUAACGAAGGAAUGUGAAUGAAACGUACAUAAUCAAGUGAACAUAUAAUGCUUUGAUAAUAUGAAGGCACGUGAGUUGCAAAAGUCAUUUUAAGUGAUUCAGCAUGACAUUACUAUUUUUAGACACAAGCAUCAGAUAACAUACGUUAAUGACUGUUAGGAAUAAAUUAUUGGGUUAUUUAUGUUCAUUGUAAAGAUAAUUCCAAUUAUGUCAUCGUGUAAUUCUAAUUCCGUGUCACGUGACUUGUACUUUUUUGCACCUUAUGUAACAAUUUUCCGUAUGUCUACUUUACUUCCAUAAAUAUGUCAUUGCAUAAUUACGUAAAGUCCUUAAUGUCCAUUCUAAUCGUGAUUAUGUAAACUUCUAGCACACGGUCACUCUUUGAUUUUCUUGUGGAUUGUCCCACGACAGGUCCUCAUCACCGUCGGUAGAGCCAGUCCCGAGUCCGACUCCCUCGUCAGCCAGUCUAACUCAAUCUCUCCCAAAGCAUACCUUGUCCGUUACUGGAACAAACAAAUCACCAACAACCUCCCCAUGCCACCGGUCCUCUUCGUCAAAGCGUCACCCCUGACCGCUGCAUCCGCAGCCAUCUUCACCCAACUCGUCGCUAAAGGCGCCAUCUCCAAUCACCUCCAAUCUUUCUGUGAGGAGGCAGAACUGCUUUGCUCCUUGAACUCAUCAUUUAAUGACGCGUUAUUAAUAGUGUAUUACCGCGUUAGUAUCGAUACAACGACGAAAACUGAUGACAUGAAUGUAAGUAGGGCCACAGAGCCGAGCAUGUACUUCCGAGAGUCCAUGCUGAAGAGCGGGAACGUGAUCCCGAUGCCCAAUCUCUGGGACAACAUGCCCAAAAGGUCGUUUUUGCCCCGCAGCAUAUCCUCCAAACUGCCGUUCUCAACCUCGAAACUCGCCGAGCUGAAGCAAAUAUUCCAUUUCGGUGAGAAUUCCACUAUGGAGAGGAUCAUGGCGCUCACACUAGGCCGGUGUGAGGUCGCAAAUUUCCAAGGCGAAACCAAGAGGUGCGUGGCCUCCAUCGAGGACAUGAUCGACUUUGCCACCUCGAUAUUGGGUCAUGACGUCACGGUCCGAUCCACGGAGGGCUCCGGAGGCUCGAAGCAGGAGGUCUUGAUCGGGUUGAUCAAUAGGAUCGAGGACGCCGAAGUGACCAAGCCCAUCGUGACCUGUCACCAGACUCUAUUUCCUUACGUGGUCUAUUACUGCCAUUCAUUUCGAAACGUCCGCGUUUACGAAGCGGACAUACUAGACCUCAAGUCCAAGACAAAGAUCAACCACGGCGUCGCCAUCUGUCAUAUGGACACGUCGGCUUGGAGGUCUACCCAUGAGGCGUUCAUCGCGCUUGGGUCGGGUCCUGGCCAGAUCGAGGUCUGCCAUUGGACAUAUGAGACUGGCGUGGUAUGGACAAACCGCCAAGUGAUAACGAAAGAACGAAGUGGGGUCAACGCUAAUUCGGCCUAGCGAUCAAGAGAGAACUUAGUCUCAAGCUGGCUCCAACCCAAGUCCUCAUUUGCCCUGUAUUAUCAUGUAAUGUAGCAUCUGAAUCUGAUGUACAUAACUCUGCGUCUGUGUUCGGUGGGUGAAAGUUGUCCUGGUCAAUAAAUCUAAAGGGUUUUUAUGAUGCCUUUGUGUUCUCCUAUGCCGUGUGUUUAGAUAUCUCCCUAACGCCUAUCUCUCAAUUGGCGCACUAUACUUUAAAAACUUUCAUGAACUAUGGCCGGGGACCAGUGAGUCCACCGCUCACGAGUGAGGAAGUAUUCUAACAACUCAAGAUUGUUGGGAAAAACCCAGGACAACAAUUCACUAAGAACUAAACUUAAUUCAGGAUCAAUAUCUUCUCCAAAACUAAAUCAACUGAAAUCGACUUAACCCAGCAAUAACCGACCAAUACAAUCUUGCAAUAAGUAAAUAUAACGCCGAAAUGAUAAAGAGACAAAGGCAACAAUACCACCAAGGUUUUAGGUGGAAACUCAAUGCGGGGAAAAUUACGAACUAUCCAAAAACUUCUACUAAUUACUAAAAAUAAUAGAAUGCACAAAGUGUUCUUCUCUAGUCACACAUCAAAGGCUCAACAUCAAUAAUGCAACUGUAUUUCUUCACCAUAGUGAUAGAUUAACAUAAAUAGAGUAAGAAAACUCUCAUUGAUAUUGGAGAAUUCAGAGGAGAUUUUCAUCAAACAAAACCGAUUUACUCAUAACCCUUGAUCUUACGAGUAACAUACAAAAAUUUGAACCAAUUCUAACGCUUGACCGUUGGAUGGUCGCCGGAAGCCAUUGCCCUCUUUUUCCCUUCUUCUCCACGCGUUGCUCUCGAUGAGUUCACUCUGUUGCUCUUUUGUCUCUCCUCAUGGGCACACCCGCACGAAGCGGCCCCUCUUUCUUUCUUUUUGCUUUUUACCUUUUUUAUUUAUUUUAUUUUUUUUUUUAUUUUUUUUUAUGCUAGCUGGACCCAGCCAACAAAGAUUGAUGUGAGUUAUUGCCCAAGGAUCUAACCGUUCCCAUUAUGGGAUGGGUGAUAUAUAAUGCGUUCGAUAAUUUUUUAAUCUUUGGAACAAUUUCUAUUUAAAAAUAAUUUUUUCUAUAUCGAUUUUAUAGACAAGUUUUUUAUUAGAAGAAUGUGUUUGAUAAAUGCAUAGAAUCUUUAUUCCCAAAAUAGAAUAAUAAAAGAAAUGCGUUUGGUACAAUCUUAAAAAAAAUUAUUCUCGUUUUUUUCAUCUAUUUUAAAAAUGUCAGUAAAGACUUAAUAAUUCAUAUUCGGAUAAAACUAGACUUUUCUAAUGACUUAACUGAUCAAGAUAUUCAAAGAUGGCCUUAGAAAAUUUAACGUAAUAGUUAGUCAAAUACGAAAGGUUGGAAAUGGCAACAAAGAGUUCCACUUAUUUAUAACUCACAACAUGAGAAGGUGGACAAUAAAUCUUUAAGCAUUACAAAAACAAGUGCAUAGAAGAAGAAGAUUAAAUGCUACCUGGUGGAAUGAGCAAGGACGAAACAAGUGAGUAUAGAGGCAAUCCCAAAGUUAGUUCGCAUAUUUGCACAAACUCAUCAAUAGAGGCAAUCCUAAAGUCAGUUCGCAUAUUUGCACAAACUCAUCAAACCUUCAAACAAAUGACAUUGGAAAUCCAUAGAGCACAGGCUUAUUCGAUUGUUAUAAACAUAAGACAUAAUUUUUUUAUUAAAAUAUUAUAGCCAUGGAUCAAAAACCUUGUUCAGAGCCGUCUAAUUUUUUAUUUAAAUAGAAUCGCAGAUGAUGAUGGUGAAGAAGAGUGUUGAUCUCAGUCACGCCCAUACUCUGCUUGUGAAGAAGAGUGCUUCUCUCAGUGGAGUCACCUAGCUAUCGCCACCUAGUAUUAUCUUUAAAAUAAUAUGGCAUUUAAAAAUCCAUAUGCUAAAGUCCUAAGAGUUUACUCAAUUUUGAAUCUAAUUUUCAUCAAAAUAUUUUCACUUUUUUAUGCUAAACUAAAUCUGACCUAGAAUUAACACUAAAAUCUAGUAAAACUACUCCAAAAUCUAAUUUCUAAAUUUUUUACUAAAUUUCUAUAUUUUUUAUUUUUUUAUUCUAAAAAAUGGGGACUUGGAUCUAGUCGGGAGACUAGGUCCGGAUGUGGGUCUCACCCAAACCUUGUGUAGAUUGUGUAAAGACGAGCAUUAUGUUACGGUGAGUUCGCUUCUCUAAAAUGACCUUGUUUCUCUUUUUGUUUUAGGAAACAAAAAAGUAGUUUCUUUUUUAUAUCUAGUUUCUGAUCUAUUUCGAGGAAUAAAAAAAAUUAACUUACAUACACAAACAGAUUUAUGUUCUUCUUUUUUUUUUUAAUUCCAAGAGCAAAAGAACAGAAAAAUAGAGAAAUAUAAAUGUUACCAAACAAGCCAUAAAUGUUCAAUCGCGUGAUGGAAAUUAAGGUGAGCGAUGUUUGUCGAGAGACAAAUAAGUUACCCUAUACUCCUCACCUGUAAGGUGCAAAAUUGGUGGUUAAGAGUCUCAACUUGAUAGUUUGUGUUAUAAAGUCCAACAAAAAAAUUUACGAAACUAAUAGGGUGGACACACAUUUGCGAUAGGAAUAACCCUGCCUCCGUCCCAACCUAACAAGCCCUCGUUGCCGUCAAAUUUGUCAACUGACAAAAAGAGAGAGGGGGGGGGGGGGGGGGGGGGUUUUGGGUCGGUGGGUGGAGAGGGGUUUCUAAUAGCCCUGAGACCAAUCCCUUGUCAUAUCUGCCGCGAAUCCUAUACAAAAUGCCCUAACACAUUCUCAAAUAUUUUAUGUAUUAUGAUAUGCUAUGUACGUGUUAUGAACAAAAUGAAUUUAAGUUACGAUAGAUAUUGAGAGAUUGGUCCCACCCGAGAGACCGUGACGAGGCCAUGGCGGAGAGAAGCUAUUGCCAUUGUUUUAAUGUCAAAUAAGAAUUCUAUCCACAAAUAGAAUGGAGAAGCUUUCAAAAGAGAAUAUGGGAAAAUCUCAAAUAAGGGCCUGAAGUGGGUUUAUUUUCUCAAAAAAGGACCCAAAGUGGACACUGUAUCAAAUAAGGACCCAAAGUGGCUAGUUUUGUCUUAAAUAAGGACCCAAAUUUUCAAUCUUAUUUACAACUUGGGGUAGUUUUGUCCAAUAACAUUUUUUCUUUAAUUUUUUUUCUUUCUUCUUCCUCACACCUCCUCCUUCGCUCUAUAUUGCCUCCUUCUUCAACACCAUAAUUAGGGGCCCUACCAGCGACCUAGUGAACUUCAUGUCAUCACGUAGUUGGUCUUAGUGACAAGAAGUCGGAUUGGAGUUAUUUGCUACUGGUCACCUUCUCGGAUGCUAAAAUCCUCAAUUCCUCAAGAUGCAUCAAGUCUCGGCUCGCUUGUGCUCAGCCUAAAGCUCGAAUUGACCUCCAUUUGACAACGACGAUGCUGGAUUUUCUAUCAGGGCAAGUAAUUGAUGAAGUCGAGAGCUCAAAUAGGACUUGUCAAUGGCGGCAAUGGGGCAACAAAGUACAAUAGUUUCUACAGUUAAUGAUGUCAAAUACAACUAAUGAUCAAUCUCAAGAUGGGGUAUUGAUUGAGGAGAAGAGCUGUGUCGAUGAGAAUGGCAAGAGUGUGAGUGGGUGUCUCCAUACUAACGAUUAUUGAAAGGAGCCAUUGGCAUUGCAAAGGGGAAGGGGGAUCUUUGAAAGAUUGAAUUUACGCAAGAAAAGCAAACUCUUGCCGAGGUUGAAAUAGUCACUAGCUGUAACAAAAUUGUUCUUUGGUAUGAAAUUGUUGAUCACCAAGUGUAAUUUGAAUAGAGACAUAAGUUAGUCAAACAAGACGAUCUGGCGAUGCUUGGAUAUUGCUACUCUGUUGUUGGCAAGUAGGAUUGAAAAUAGCACAAAAAAUUGGAGUUGCUAGGUUAGCAGAAGGCCCGGAAUAAGUGGAGUUUGAUGCACUCUUGAGGUGAGAGAAAUACGUCGCCAAAGGGAUUAGUUGUAUAGCUUGAGAGUUGGACAAAAAGUUGAGUCUCAGCAAAAGCAGAUUCAUAUUAUGGCUUUGAGAUCAGAAUUUGCGAUGACUGUUACAAUAAAAAGAACUUAUUUUUGAACGCUCAUUUUGGCUUCAUGGAAUUGUCUACAAACCAUUUUGAGAAGCGAAAUUUAAAAUUUUCAACGAAUUAGACGACGUUGUAAUAGCUCGUGUUAAAGAAAACCCAAUCUUGGUCAUACAACAAGAUGACACAAAGAGCAAUGGAGGGGCUGAUAAUGGAGGUGAUGUAGAGAGUAAGAAAGAUGAAGAAAGAAAAAAGAAGAAAGAGAGAGACAAAAAAUAAACAACAAUGUGCUUGGACAAAAGUACCCCUGGCUGUGAAUAAAAUUAGAAGUUCGGGUUCUUAAUUGAGAGUAAGUUAGCCACUCCGGGUCCUUAUUUGAGACAGUAUUCACUUUGGAUCCUUUUUUUGAGAAAAUGGCUCCACUUCAGGUCUUUAUUUGAGAUUUUCCCAAAGAAUAUUGUAAUUGCCCGUCUUUCCACGUUUGGACAUGCACACUUUCGAUACGAGACACUAAAGUCGAGACUCGAAAGCUCUAUUGAAGAGUCCGAUCCCAUUAUGGAAAGAGAAAGAGACUAGAGUUGCUUGCGUUCUUCACUUCGAUCGAUAGCAAGCCAAUCAAUUCUCAAAUCACUUCCGUCAUUUUUAGAUCAAAUUGAUAUGAAAUCAAGCUCAUUCAACUAAACCUACACACUACCGACCAAAAUAAAUUAAUAAAUACAUAAACCUACGCACGUUUACAGCAUAUUCGCUCUCACAUCAAGCAACGCCAGCAAGUGUAUAGUACUGUCCGAGACGAUGAACCCAUGGAUAUGCAGCACACCUACACCUCAUGACCCUAUCAAUUCACACCAAUUCACAGCAUAUGUUGAUAUGUUCCAGUCUAUACGAGCGUAUAAUAUUAAAAAUAGGUAACUAAAAUGUUCGAGGAAGUCGCAGGCAGAGGAUUGAGGCAAGUUCUAAGAGCAUAUAUUCAAAUUCAAAGCUCAUGUAUGUCAGUAUAAAUGCAAUGACUAAAUCAAGGGAUAAGUGAAUUGAAGCAUUGUGCUCAAUUUUCAAUUUUAAUCUAUCCUCAGCAACCUUGGCAUGUGAACUGAAAUAACCUGAUCUUACCUCAUCUAUAUGGCGAAGCGAAACAGAGGGACGUUGCUGAGAUGACAACCGUCGACCGAGAAGAGAGGGAAAAGCAAAGAGUCUCGAUCAGUCCUUCACUGCGGCAUUUCAUCAGACUCCUGGCGAGUGUAUUGAAUGAACCCGCGACGGCAAAGGCAGAAAGAGUUAAAAGAUGGAGUGAGAUAUUCGGUUAGAGCAGUGUUGAGUCAGAGGAAGUAAGCAGCAGCGGGGACUGCUCGAUUUGAUGAGGAAUCGUUUGAUAUCAGCGACCGGCGAAAGACGAACCGAAGCGAGACAAAGGCGAAUGCUACGACCAUGAUUCAUCUUGAGCACAUAGCAAGGUCGCAAGAAGACCAGCGACAAGGCCGGAGAGAAAAAGCAUCGGCGGCGGCGGAGAUAUCCUGACGAUGAAAUCACGAGCAGGGAUAUGGAAACGACCAGGUAGGUGUGGGCUCUUGGCUGAUGGGAUUCCAUCACCAUCGAGUCCGUUCCGCUUGUUGCUUUGGCCGACCGCCAUUGAUCGGUUCUUCAGGCCCUGCAAUCGCUCCCUCCACCAUCUUCGGAGUAAGCGUAUCAAAUUUUGAAGAGACGAAGCUCCGCGAGGCCGGAUUCUGAACGAUGACCGAAUCUGUCGAUUGAAAUCGCCGACCGCUGCUCCUCGAGGUCGCGGACGGCGAGUGGCGAGCAUCGAGGAAAACGGGAUGGCGUCGUCGAUCGGUGGGAAUCCGUCGGGCCUCAACUUCGUCUUCUUCUCCAGUCACCAUUUUUCGUGAGGGGAAUUUGAUUUUUCUUUUUCCUUUUUUUUUUGGAGGGAGAUAUCUUUUUGUGCCUUAAAUCUCAGCCCUUCAAUGUUUUCUCGAUCCUACGGCCCUGAUAAUUGUUUGAGAGGGCACGAGGAUAUGUGACGGGCCGGGGCCGCGCGGGUUCUUUAGCGCCAGCCUUAAAACUUGAUUAAGCUAAUUGAUUUGCCAAUCAAAUUUAGUUCCUUUCACCAAAUUAAUUCAUUUUUUCCGGCUUUUCUUAUCAAAUUUAUAUCUUUUUUAUUUGCUUUUCAAAUUAUAGGUAAAUCAUUUUUGUUAUCGUGUCUAAUAUGACAUGGAAAAUAAAUACAUAUUUGUAUUUAAAAAGCACUAGUAUUAAAUUACCGAGCGUCUCAAAAAAGCUUUAAAAGAUUAUUUUGCAACACGAAAGAUUUAAAAUUAGCAUUAGAGGACACGUUUUUUUAAUAAGUAGCUUAUGUUACAUUUUUAUCUUUCAUCAUAUUGAAUUUCAACAGACUCACUUGAUAUUAAAGAAAAAUAAUGAUUUUUUUUGCUAGAAGUAAUUGCCUACGCGGCAAUGUGUGGGCCCGUUUUAGUCAAUAUAUAGAAUCUGCCAGACAAUGACCAUAAUCAUUUGCAGCGUGCGUGAAAGUUGUUGUUAUGGUCAGUCGCUAAACCUCAAACGUGGGCAGAAGUUUGAUCUAACAUCCCUAAUAAUUGUCCUUGUCCAUGUGUAAGAGUCUGUCGUGAUUAGUAAUGUCAAGUCUUUCUAGUCUAUUACCUUUUUUUUUAAUGACCCAGGGAAUCCCGCACGGCCGGCAGCCGGAGAUAAACCACUGGGGGCGACAAGUGCUAGCCACCACACACGUGCCACCGGGUAAGUCGCCAAAUUCCUGCAACUUGCGUUGCACUAGUCUAUUACCUUUGUAUUCAAAUACCUUGGAAAUUUUCCAAGUAAUCAAUUCUAAAUUUAUUAUGCGGAUAUUAAUUCAGUCCUAAGCAUUUUAAAUUUGUUAAUUUAGCAAAAAACCUUUAAGCAAUUUUCCGAUAUACUCAUUCCAAUCAAUUUUUAGAGGAAAUCGCUAACGUGGCAGUUUUAGUCAUCGCCAACCAAUGCCCAUGAAAAUUGGCUGAAAUAACUAUAUUGAAAUUUCUCACAAAGAUUUAAAAUUAAAUUUGCAAAAUUGAAAAAGUUAAAAUUAAUUGACAUCCAUAUAAUUAGUUUAGAACUGAUUGAACGAUUUCCUCUCUUGAUGUCCAUUUCCUAAUUUACAUUACUUGGAAAUUUUCAUUAACUAUUGCAAAGAACAGGUGAGUUUACACUUACGAGUGACAAGUAUUUCGACAAAUGGAGAUUAGUGUUAAUUAUUGGGUUAAUAUCAUAAAAAACCUCAAAUUAGUAUAUUUGUAAUAAAUUUAUCCCAAACUAAUUUCUUGAUUACCAAAAAUUACAUACCGCUACACCUAUGAGAAAUUUACCCAAAAUUAAUGUUUUGACCAUCAAAAAGCUUAAAUUGAUUCAUUUGUGAUAAAUUUAUCUUCUACUAGUUUCCGUUAAAUGAAAUUAAUACCAUGAAAAACCUUAAAUCGGUAUACAUGUGACAAAUGAAAGGUAAAACCCCAAACUAGUAUACCCAUAAACUGCCACAUGUCAUCCAACUCAAUAAUUUGAUGAUAAAAUUUAACGGAAACUAACGAAUGAUAAAUUUGUCAUAAAUAUACCAGUUUGAGGUUUUUACGAUGAAAAAAUAGUUUGAUGUAUAUUUAUCACACGUGUAUCAGUAUAGGAUUUUUUGUGAUUAAAAAAUUAGUUUGGGAUAAAUUUAUCACAAAUGUAUUAAUUUGAGAUUUUUCAUGAUAUUAAUUCUUAAUUAUUACCAUUGUCUUCCGGACAAAAAAAUAAUAAUAAUUUGUUGGCCUUAUCAUUACGCGGCUUAUUUUCCUAAAUUCCUAAGACUUUAAACUUUUAUCAAACCUAUAAAAUAGUUGACACGAAAAAGGGCCUAAUACCUGGAAAAAAUUUAAAUUUUAGCUUCAAUUCUAAUUUUACCUUAAGGUUUUCUUUAAAAAAAAAUCAUUAAAUUUGGUUCUAUCUAUUUCCUAGAAAAGGAAAUAAUUUGAAAAUAUUUUCUUAAAAAUGAUCACUUACAUCGUUUGAAAUAAUUAGUUAAUGGAAAAUAUUUUUAUUAUUGACAACAAUUUAUGUUUAAAUACUUUCAUGAACAAUGAAAUAUUUUUUAUUUAUUGAUAUAAAUAAUCUAAGCUAUCAUUUAUUUGAAAAAUAUUUUUCAAAUUAUGUAUUUUUCACAAAACAAACUCAUUCUUUUACUCAAGUCUCAAAUCCAUCACAAACCAAACAUGUACUAAUUUUUACUGAUAACGAGCAAAAUACUGAUGCUAAUAGCAAAAAUACUAAUAAUCUUGAUCAAGCCGACGUGAACCUUCUAUCCAACAUGUUGGACGUGGCAUUUAUGAUAGAUCUACCUCAACAAUAAACCUCCAUCUAGUGUUUACACUCACCGUUCUCUUAUACUUACUUCAUGGUCUUUAUCACGGCAGUGUUCAUAAAUAGUUAAGUACAAUUCAUCAUCUGCAACUCGCGGCUACUGUUGAAACUAAAGGACAGCAUGUAUUGGCUUAUUAUCCCAACAAGUAUACCUGCAAUGCAUGCUCCCAGAUCAGAAAACACAAAAUGGGGAAGCUAAUUUGCACCUACUAGAGGCCGAGACAACUCUAAGCUCGUGGCGGCCAUGGCCGCAUGAGCUUUGCACUUCAAGUUUGCAACCCGGCCAUGUCCAUAUCCAGUCAAGCUCGGGGCCACAUAGCUUGCGGUAGCGAUGGCCAUGACCGCCAUGAGCUUCAAACCUAUGUUAGGUUGUCUGUCUUCAAUAACCUCAAGGUCCCGAUUCAGUGACAAUGAGAAGAUUUAUGGAAAGAAUGAGAAGAAGAAGAGAGAUGAGUGUAGAUGAAGAAUUUGAGCUUUCAUGAUUUCUUCUCUCUGUGUUCUAAGAAAAUGUUCAUCUGAGAGCUUGCUCACUCGCUUGCUCUGUUUUCUAUUUAUAUUACAUACUCAGAUCCAAAAAAUAGCCAAUGAUAGUUUUACAGCUCAUCUAACAGAGAAACAGAAUAACAUAAAACAGAAUGAAAGAAGGAGGAUUGUGGAUCCCAGUCUAUUGCUCGACUUCUUGUUCUGUUAAGAGCACAAAAUAGAGAAACGGUUGUGCAGAGCACCACUCAUAGUUUGACACGUAGAGCUGGAGGAUUCACCACCGACUUCAUCUCUUUUCUUCCUUGUUGAAACAGCAACCCCAGGCAUACGCAUAGCAGAUGAUUUGCUCACUUCAUUUCUUCUCAGUCUUUGUUAAAACAGCAACAGCAGCAUCUUCAUUUCUUUUCUUCUUUGUUGAAAUAGCAGUACCAGACUGUGCGAGAUGGGUCUCAACAUCCCCCGCAAAUUAGGAAGGGGUUUGAACCCCAUACCCAAUUUGGUUUUGACAGUAGAGUGAUCUAAUCAUGAUAACGACUUGGUAAAAAUAUCAGCAAGCGGACAAGUGCUAGGGACAUAACGAACACUUAAUGAGCCUAAUGAAACUUUUUCUUGAACAAAGUGGAAGUCGACUUCGAUGUGCUUGGUUCGAGCAUGUAAGAUAGGAUUUGCAGUAAGAGAAAUGGUAGACUGAUUAUCACAAAACAGAAUUGUUGGUGAGGAUAGACAAAUGCCAAUGUCACGUAGAACAAAGCUAAUCCAUGUAAGAUUAGCAGUAGUAGAUGCAAGAGCUCUAUAUUCAGUUUCUGUGGAGGAAUGAGACACAGUAGGUUGCCUCUUGGCUAACCAUGAAAUCAAAUUAGAACCAAGAUAGGUGUAGAAGCCAGUGGUUGAGCGUCUAGUGUCAACGCAACCACCCCAAUCAGCAUCUGAAAACCCAUAUAAGGUCAUCAAAAUGUUAGAAUGGAUGAAAAAACCAAGAUGAACAAUUCCUUUAACAUAUCAAAGAACCCUUUUUAACUUAUGGAAAUCUCCAACCAUUGGCUGCUGCAUUUUCUAACAUAGUAGGUUUGUUGCAUAAGCAAGAUUAGGGCGAUUUAUUGUUAGAUAUUGAAGAUCGCCAACUAGACUUCUGUAUUCAAGUGGAUUGGCGAGCAGGAUGUCAUCAUUUGUCAUGGUGACUAGUCUCAAUGGCGGAGGAGUUGAGAUGGGUUUGCAUUCUGUCAUGUUGGCUCUCGUAAGAAGAUCAAUGGCAUAUUUGGUUUGAUAGAGGAAAAGAUCUUGAGAGGUACGUUUGGCUUCAAUACCUAAGAAAUAGUGGAGACACCCUAGAUCUUACAUGUGGAGGUGGAGACUUAGCGACUUGAUCAGUUUGCCAGUAUCUGAUUUGAGUUGCCAAUUAGCACAAUGUCAUUUACAUAAAGCAAUAGAAGGAUUGUAUCUUAUCCAUCACGAAGCACAGAGAUGAGGGAUUAGUCGUGCUACAGGAGAAGCCAGCUUCAAGAAGAAAAUUGCUACACUUUUCGAACCAAGCACAUGGAGCUUGACGAAGACCAUACAAAGAUUUCUUGAGAAGACAUACAUGUUGAGACAUUUGGGUAUGUGUAAAACCAGGAGGCUACUCCAUAUAUACUAUCUCAUUUAAUGUUCCAUGAAAGAAAGCAUUUUUAACAUCAAGUUGAUGUAUUGGCUAGUGCUUCAUCAUUUCUACAAAGAGUACUAUACGGAUUGUGGUAUGUUUGACAACAGGAUUGAAUGUUUUUGUAAAAUCAACUCCCUCUUCUUGGUGAAAUCCCUUAGCCACCAACCGGGCCUUCAACUUGUCAAGACUUCCAUCAAGUGCUAACUUAGUUUUAAACACCUAUUUACUUCCUAUGACAUUCAUUUGGUUAGUUCAAGGAACUAAUAUCCAUGUCUAAUUUUCAUGUAGAGCAUCCAUUUCAUCCUGCAUUGCUUUACGCCUUCAUUUGCCAAGGCUGAUUUAACUGAUCGUGGUUCAAGAGAAACUUUGUAUUUAGCCAAGCAUGCAUAUCUGGGAUUUGGCUUCACAAUACCAGAUUUUAGUCGAGUUUGCAUAGGGUGGAUGGAGAUUGUACCUUGUGGGUUAAGUGGAGGAUUUUGUUGUGUUUGGUCGAUGAUGAUCUCAGUUGGUGCUUCAGUGGUGUGAGUAAGAACUAUUGGUUCUUCAGGAGUUGAGUCAAACUACAAUUGUAAGGUAGAGGAAUUCUGUGGCUAUAUUGAACUGACCAAUUUCCAAGACUCCACUAUCUUGUAAAUGUCCUAUAUGUUGAUUUGAGAGAUGUCUCACUUGUUCUACAAUAGUCGAGUCCAGAAAAUUAACUUCUUCUGCCCAUUUUCGAUAUAGAGCAGUAUAUUAAGUGUACUAUGUUGUUAGUUUCUUGGCAAAAGGAAAGAAGCUUUCGCCAAACAUCACGUGUCGACUAAUAUAUAUGCGACCAUUAGUAGGCACAAGACAAUGAUAUCCUUUAUGUCGUUCACUAUAUCCCAGAAAUACACACGUGAGUGAUCGUGGAUUAAAUUUAUUGUGACAGCCUAAGCGGCAGUGCGCAGAGAGGAGGGAUGGCGGUGCGUCCGCCCCUCAGUCUCCGGACGUGCGCAGGGAAAGGGGUCCCUCUCUUGUCCCACAUCGCUUAGGGGGGAGUCCUGAGUUAAUUUAUAAGGCUUGGGUUCCUCUAAUCUGUGUAACGCAUUUUAAAGCCAUGAGAACUCAAUGUCCAAAGCAGACAAUAUUACAUAGUGGGACCCGGGUCCUUACAAGUGGUAUUAGAGCCAACUCCCGACCGCGUGUGGGGCCACAGUUAGGACGCUGUGCUCCUAAGGGGUGGAAAGUGUGACAACCCAAGCGGCGGUGUGCGGGGAGGAGGGAUGGCGAUGCGUCUAUGCCUCGGUUCCCGAACGUGCGCACUUUGCUCCUAAGGGGUGGAGAGUGUGACAACCCAAGCGGCAGUGUGUGGGGAGGAGGGAUGGUGAUGCGUCUAUGCCUCGGUUCCCGAACGUACGCACUGUGCUCCUAAGGGGUGGAGAGUGUGACAACCCAAGUGGCGGUGUGCGGGGAGGAGGGAUGGCAGUGCGUCUGCGCCUUGGUCCCCAGACGUGCGCAAGGAAGGGUCCCUCUCUUGUCCCACAUCGCUUGGGGGGAAAUCAUGGGCUAGUUUAUAAGGCUCGGGUUUCUCUAAUAUAUGUAACGCGUUUUAAAGUUGUGAGGACUCAGUGUCCAAAGCGGACAAUAUUACACAGUGGGGCCCGGGUCCUUACAUUUAUGUUGUGCAUAUGGUCUAAGACAGGGAUAACAGGCACACCCAAAGACUCUCAGAUGCUCAUAGCUUGGCUUCUGUUUCUAAAGUUUGCUGUAAGGAGAAUGCAUCUGUAACUUUGAUGUGGGAAGUACAUUGACAAUGUAGUUACUUGUCAUGAUUGACAAUGUAAACCUGUCAUGAAAGCAUCCACCUAGUAUUUUAAUGGAACUCUAGCGUGAUAAAGCAUGGCCAACCCCAAUUCAACCACGUGACGGUGUUUUUUUUCAGAAAUCCCAUUCUAUUCUAGUGUGUAAGGGCAAGAGACAUAUUGUUUAAUGCCACAAGUCUGUAAAUGGCUCUGAAACUUGUUGCUAGUGAAUUCUCCUCCACCAUCACAUUGAAAUAUUUUGAUUUUGCGAUCAAAUUGGUUCUCUACUUGUUUCUGAAACAUGACAAAGAUAUCAUAGAAAUUUGACUUCAACUUCAUUGGAUAAAUCCAACUAUAACGGGAAAAGUGGUCCAUAAAUAUGACAUAGAAUUUGAAGUUAUGAAAGGAGUUAAUUGGUGAAUGACUCCAAAUAUCACAGUGAAUCUUUUCUAAAGAAACAUCAAAUGUAGAUAUUAAUAAGGGAAAUGGUAAUGCAGUACUCGUGGCAACUUGAUAGCUUCUACACAUAGCUUGAGUUUUUGUAUUGCAGUGUAUCAGUUGCUGAUUCUGUAGAUACUUCAAUGUUUGGAAGUUGGUGUGAGCUAACUGCUGGUGCCACACAUCUUCCCCGACAACCUUAUGUCUUUGAGUGAAGAGGGCCUCUGUUGUUUAUGGAUCCACUCGGUAGAAUCCUCUAACUUUGUUUCCGAGUAUCACUGUUGUGUUGGUGCGAUUGUCCUUUAUAUAGACCCCAUUUUUAUCAAAAACAAAUGAGCAGGGAUAAUCAUCUGUCAGUUUUGAAAUCGAAAGAAGAUUCUUCUUGAUUUCAAGAACAACCAGCACAUCAUUUAGAGGCAAUGCAUCAAUUUUAGUAUGUAAUAAAGCAUCAUCAUUAUAAGCAAUAGAUAGGCAUGAACCAUUUCCUAUCAUAACUGUAUCAGCCCCAUUGUACUUAGAGAAGUUGUGAACAAUACCUGAAUUUGCAGUGAUGUGGGCUGUCGCACCAGUGUUUGGUACCAUUCACUGCCUUCCUCAAGAUGCAUUGUCACUAGAACUGUUGGAAUCUCUUCAGCCUGGUAUGAAUUGUCGAAUUGAUAAUAGCAACAAAGUGCAUCGUGACCUGGACACUUACAGAUUUGACACUCCAACCGAACAUUAUAUGUUGUUUUCUCAUGCUGCAAGUGUGUUAAAUGUUAAAUUUGGGGAGGGAUAUGAUUUGGUAUCUUGAUACAUUUGUGAAGAACCUGCAUAUGGUCGAAAUCCUUGACCAGAACCCAAAAGGUUAUUAAACUGCUUAAAACGUUGAUCCUCUUGUUCCUGGUUCAAGUUAUUUGGCCUGUAACUCUGAUUUCUUCCGGGAUAUCCAUAACCACGAUUCUGACUAUUAAACACACAUCCUCUACCAUAGCUAUGUCCCUCGCGGUUGCUUCCUCUUUGGCCUACAAAUGCAAAGUUAGGCUGAUCAAGAUCUCUAUCAAAUUCCACCUUCUACUGUACCUCGGAUUUUCUUUGUCCAUAGUAUGCUAGAUUAGGAUUAUACUAGCUUGAGGAUUAGCUUUGCAACCUUGUUUCAAAUCUCUCUAGCUGUGAUAUUACUUCAUCAUAUUCCGGUUGAGGCUUCAAGCAAUACAUGGUAGUUAUGAAAUUCUCAUAUUCAAUUCCUAAUCCCUCCAAAAUGCCAAACAUCUUAGUUAUCUCAUCUACAGGCUUCCCAAUCGCAUUUAAUUGAUCACAAAUUGAUUUGUAUUCCCUGAGGUAAACAAACAACAGCCGAUCCCGUUUCUGGCAGGCUUGGAGCUUCCCUCUUAAUUCAAACUCCAUAGCUACUGACCUCUGUGUGAAGCGAUUAAGUAAAGUUUCCCAUACCUCAUAUGACAUUUCCAAACCAAUGAUCAGACUCAGGAUAUUCUCAUAUACAACUCCACUGAUCCAUGAUGAUACCACUUGAUCAAUUCUUACCAAUCUGUAUAAUCAAGGUUCACAACUUCAACUUCAUGUCCUUCAACUUCAACCUGUAAUGUUUGAGCAGGUGGUGGAGUUUCACCAUUAAUGAAGCCAAAUAGCUCUUGGCUUCGCAAAAAUCUGUGGAAGUGUGCUUACCAAAGAAGAAAGUUGUCCUCAGCUAGCUUGAUUGUAACGAAGUUGGAAAUGUUAAAACGAAGUUGGAAAUGUUAACAUGGAUUGGAAAAGGAUAUUUCUGAGUUCUUGUUGCCAUUUUCGUGCUCUUAGAGAUGGCUCUGAUACCAUGAGAAGAUUUAUGGAAAGAAUGAGAAGAAGAAGAGAGAUGAGUGUAGUGAUAUUGCUAGUAUGAGUACCUAGAGGGGGGUGAAUAGGUAUAUAAAAGAUUUUUCUUCAACAAUCGCACAAUACUAGACAGUUGAUGGAUUUUAGACAAACGAUAAUCAAAGUAAGACUGAGAGAAGAGAAAAUUGAACACGCGGUUUAUAGUGGUUCGGCUUAUAUCAAGCCUACGUCCACUCUUCUUCACUGACAGCCUAUUGGCUGGAUUCCACUAUGAACAAAAGAGAAGUUACAGCACAGCUUUGCCUUGAUUCCACAGUAUAGAUGUUCUACCACACCUCCUCAAGAUUUCUCACAAAUAUAGACUCUUUUUUGUAUACAAGUAUUCGCUCAAAGGAAUUGUCUAAACAAAAAUGAGCUUCAGACUUUGGAAUUCUUCUAUCGCGCACACCUUGAACAACUAAGACCGUCUUCCUUAUAUACUCCUUUAUGCCAUCAUACCCGUUGGCACUUACCAAAGGAAUUCCUCCAAUCUACCCGUUGGACGGAAUCAAUUAGGAAGAUUGUUCAAGCUAUUAAAGGAACAUGUUGAUAGCCCAUCAAUCCUGUUCACCCAUACAAUCAGGAUCUUGGUUUCCAUAAGUAGAACAUUCCAAUAAUAUUUAGACAAUCACCGGAUCUUCAAUUAUCGAGUCAAUCUUCGAUCAAUCAAAGGACUCCGUUAUGUCUUUUCCAGCCACGAGAUCUUCUCCAGUUGAUAAGGUUAAAUCCUUAACGAAACAUCCAGUUCUGGAUAACCUUUCUUCAACGGAUUAGAGACUGUCAAUGAUGAUAGACUUUGAGUCUUGAGUCUGGCUGUCCGGAGGUCUUCAGACUUUAAAUAACAGAGUCUGCAAGCCUUCAGACUAGACUGAUAGAAACGUUUUGUCAACUUCAAAACACUUCAAGAAGAUUUCUCCAACAUGUAGAUGAAGAAUUUGAGCUUUCAUGAUUUCUUCUCUCUGUGUUCUAAGAAAAUGUUCAUCUGAGAGCUUGCUCACUCACUUGCUCUAUUUUCUAUUUAUAUUACAUACUCAGAUCCAAAAAACAACCAAUGAUAGUUUUACAGCUCAUCUAAUAGAGAGACAAAAUAACAGAAAACAGAAUGAAAGAAGAAGGAUUGUGGAUCCCAGUCUGUUGCUCGACUUCUUGUUCUAUUAAGAGCACAAAACAGAGAAACAAUUAUGCAGAGCACCACUCAUAGUUUGACACGUAGAGCUAUAGGAUUCACCACUGACUUCAUCUCUUUUCUUCCUUGUUGAAAUAGCAACCCCGGGCAUACACAUAGCAGAUGAUUCGCUCACUUCAUUUCUUCUCAUCUUUGUUAAAAGAGCAGUAGCAGCAUCUUCAUUUCUUUUCUUCUUUGUUGAAAUAGCAGCACCAGACUGUGCGAGAUGAGUCUGAACAAACGAUGCCAUGAAGUCCACAAGGGGAGCUCAAUCUAGAUCUAGGGUUGAUCCGAGGUCUAGCAAGGCAAGCGACCGCCUUAGCCGGUCUAUGGGAAGUCAAGGACCAUCGUUGGCCCUAUGCCGAACAUUGGCUAGGAGUCGGAACAAGGGAUAGUCAGCUUGAUCCGAGGUCAUCAGCGAUUUUCCUCAAGCUUGGAGGGGGGGCCAUAGGGGUCGUCAACGGCGUCGUAGUCAAAGAAUAAAAAAAGACGAUGAACAAUAGCGUGAUGCAAAGACGAUGAACAUUAGUGCUCUGUUUGUUUUGCGAAGAAUAAAUAAUUUAAAAAUAUUUUCCUAAAGAUGAUCGCUUGUAUCAAUUGAAAUAAUUAGUUAAUGGAAUAUAUUUUUAAUAUCGAUAAUAAUUUAUAACUGAACAUCUCCGUGAUAAUAAAAAUAUUUUCCAUCUAUUAAUUUUCAUAAGUGAUAUAAACGAUCAUUUUUUUUUUUGAAAAUAUUUUUCAUAUCAUUAGCCUAAGUAUAGCAGUGAAUAUGGACAGCAUUUAUGCAUAAAUGUUAAAUCCACAUGAGUUUGCUGAGGUGGAUUUAUUGCUGACGUGGAUUUAUCGCUGACGUGGAUUUAUCGCUGACGUGUAAAUGCCACUUCAGGCACGUUGGAAGAAGGAUUAGCAUCGGGGCAAAUUUAGGACUUGGACGACAGUUUGUGAUUUUUUUUUAAACCAAAAAAUUUGGGUUUUUUUAGGGUAUUGAACCCACUAAAAGUGACCAAAUUUUGGUUAUUACCGAUGAAAGCAAAGUUUGGUUAAAACAUAAGUUAUUAAUGAACUGAACCGUAAAUGAAUUGAAUAAACUGGAUAACUUACCGAUGAAGUUAUCGAUAGAAAAUAAUACAUAGAUUAUCGACAAGCCAUCAACAACAAAUAGUUACCACAAAUAAUUGCAAAUUUUCUGUGAAAUAUUGAGGCUGUGUAAUUCAUGAUCAAAACGGAGGUUUGCCAAUACAUUAGUAGGCAAAUACGAUGGAUUGACACCAAACACGGGAUUAUAAGGUGGUUAUGCCUAUAACGAUGGAAUUUAUGACUUCUUCUGGAUACUCGCUGUCAAAUGAUAGAGGAUAAUGUUUAUAAUCUCAUCAAGCAUAUUGCUCACCAAUAAUUGUCAAUAGUGCUAGGAAAUUAUUUGUGGAUUCAUAUCAAUAACUGCCUGUCAAAACUGCCCCAUGGUAAGAGAGAAAGCCCCACGCUAUAAUCAUUGUAAACAAAAUCAAUCGACACCUAAUUUUCUAUUCUUAUGCACAUUUACUCUCUUUUUUAAUUUUCCAGCAAAUGUACCGUUUUAGCACCUUCAUAAUUUCGUACUUUCAAUUAUUCUCGCAACUUUUAAUUUCAAAUAUGUGCACUUCAAUUUCUUUACCUCUAUAGCCAUUUACAUUCUUGUCUAGAAUCAACAAAGAAUCUAUUUUCCUGAAUUUCUAUCGAUCCUAUUCAUCUAUUGAUAUUUACACUUUUCUGUGAAAUAACAGCCUCAUUGUUUACACCAAUCAAUGUUUGGAGUUCAAGAGCGUCUUAAUUAUUCCACAAACAUGAGUUACUUCUUCUUUUUUUAUCACUAAUGAAUUUUGAUGUUAUAACUUCCAAACGAAGAGUGUGUGAAGAGUGGAAAUUAGAGAAUCAUAGUCUGCAUGCUCUGUAAUUUAUUUUCCAAAAAAAAUCCGAUCAGUUAUUGUAAGAAAAGAGUCAUUGUGCGACAAUAGAUUUUCAAUUAUUCGAUGGACAUUAAUUCUUGUACAUGUGUAAGGUGACAAUCGAUAAGGAAAGGUCUAAGACACGCUUGAUGGCGAUGGAUCUAUAUCUCUCCAAACAUGUCCUAUUUUCUGCAGUACAAUCCCACAUGUCCCGUCCCAUAAAGCUUAAUCCAUUAAAUUGUGAGCCAUAGAAUUCAUGAGCAACUAUAGAAAUUAUUCGUGGAUUCAGAUCAAUAAGUGCUUGUAAAAACUCCCCCAUGGUAAGAGAUAAAGCCCCACGUUAUAAUCAUUCUAAACAAAUUCAAUCGACAACUAAUUUUCCAUUCUUAUUCACAUUUACUCUCUUCUUUAAUUUUCCAGCAAGUGUACCGUUUUAGCAUCUUCAUAUUUUCCUACCUUCAAUGAUUCUCGCAGCUUUUAAUUUCCAAUACAUGCACUUCAAUUUCUUUACUUCCAUAGCCAUUUACAUUCAUGUCUAGAAUCAACAAAGAAUCUAUUUUCCUCAAUAUUCAUCGAUCCGAUCCGAUCCGAUCCGAUUCAUCUAUUAUUUACACUUUUUGGUGAAAAACUAGCCUCAUUAUUUGCACUAGUCAAUGUUUGGAGUUGAACUCGUGUCGAGCGUCCUAAUUAUUUCCUAAACAUGUGUUAAUUUUUUUUUUAUAUCACUAAUGUAUUUUGAUGUUAUAACUUCCAAAUGAAGAGUGUGUGAAGCAUGGAAAUUAGAGAAUCAUAAUCUGCAUGCUCUGUAAUUUAUUUUCCAAAAAAAAUCCGAUCAGUUAUUGCAAGAAAAGAGUUAUUGUGUGACAAUAGAUUUUCAAUUAUUCGAUGGACAUUAAUUCUCGUACAUGUGUAAGGUGACGAUCGAUAAGGAAAGGUCUAAGACACGCUAGAUGGUGAUGGAUCUAUAUCUCUCCCAACAUUUCCUAUUUUCUGCAGUACAUCCCACAUGUCCCGUCCCAUAAAGCUUAAUCCAUUAAAUUUUGAGCCAUAGAAUUCAUAAGCAACUAUAGAAAUUAUUCGUGGAUUCAAAUUCUUGUAAAAACUACCCCAUGGUAAGAGAUAAAGCCCCACGUUAUAAUCAUUCUAAACAAAAUCAAUCGACAACUAAUUUUCUAUUCUUAUGCACAUUUACUCUCUUCUUUAAUUUUCCAGCAAAUGUACCGUUUUAGCAUCUUCAUAUUUUCCUACCUUCAAUGAUUCUCGCAGCUUUUAAUUUCCAGUACGCGCACUUCAAUUUCUUUACUUCCAUAGCCAUUUACAUUCCUGUCUAGAAUCAACAGAGAAUCUAUUUUUCCUCAAUAUUCAUCGAUCCGAUUCAUCUAUUGAUACUUACACUUUUUGGUGAAACACUAACCUCAUUGUUUGUACUAGUCAAUGUUUGGAGUUGAAGUCGUGUCGAGCGUCCUAAUUAUUCCACAAACAUGUGUUACUUUUUCUUUUCUUUUUUCACUUAUGGAUUUUGAUGUUAUAACUUCCAAAUGAAGAGUGUGUGAAGAGUGGAAAUUAGAGAAUCAUAGUCUGCAUGCUCUGUAAUUUAUUUUCCAAAAAAAAAAUCCGAUCAGUUAUUGCAAGAAAAGAACUAUUGUGUGACAACAGAUUUUCAAUUAUUCGAUGGACAUUAAUUCUCAUACAUGUGUAAGGUGACCAUCGAUAAGGAAAGGUCUAAGACACACUUGAUAGUGAUGGAUUUGUAUCUCUCCAAACAUGUCCUAUUGUGUGCAGUACAAUCCCACAUGUCCUGUCCCAUAAAGCUUAAUCCAUUAAAUUGUGAGCCAUAGAAUUCAUGAGCAACUAUAGAAAUUAUUCGUGGAUUCAAAUCAAUAACUGCUUGUAAAAACUCCCCCAUGGUAAGAGAUAAAGCCCUACGUUAUAAUCAUUCUAAACAAAAUCAAUCGACAACUAAUUUUCUAUUCUUAUGCACAUUUAGGAGGCAUUUGGUAAUAAUUCUGUUCCCGGGAACAAUUUUUUAUUAGAAAUGUUUUUUUCAGAUUCUAUUCCCAGAAAUAAUUUCUAAGCAAAAGAACGCGCUUGACUGUCCAAAAUUUUUAUUCCCGAGAUCGAAAUGCGUUUGGUAGGAUUCUUAAAUUAUUUUGUUUCUUUUAACUUUUUUAUACUUUUAUUAUAUUUUUCUUAUUUUUAUCUUUUAUCUUUUUCUUUUUUUUUUCUUUUCUUCUUCCUCCUUCUUUGUAGCCGAUCGCCGGCCACGGCGAUAGCUAGUGACCAGCUAGGCGAGGUCCGGUAAGCUCGCUAGAGCCUCGCCAGGCCAGGGCAAGGUCCGGCCAGCUUGUCGGAGGCUCACCUAGCCAAGGCGAGCCUUGGCCUCACUAGAAAGCCUCGCCAUGGCUCGACAUCACCAGGGGUCGGUGACACUCUGACGAGGUCACCGGCAAAAGGAAGAAGAAGAAAGGGGAAGAGAAAAGAGAAGAAAAGAGGAUAAAAGGAAAAAAAAAAAAAAAAAGAAGUGAUUCUAGGAAUUGUUCUCGGGAACAGAAAACAACUUUUUUCUACUUCUAAUUUCUAUUCCAAAAUAUAUUCCCAAAAACAAAAAUUUUACCAAACGGAUUUCUGUUCUUUUUUCGUUCUGAAUAAUAAAAUAACAGAAAUAGUUGUUCCGGGAAUGGUUGCCAAAUAGGGCCUUACUCUCUUCUUUAAUUUUCUAGCAAAUGUACCAUUUAAGCAUCUUCAUAUUUUCCUACCUUCAAUGAUUCUCGCAGCUUUUAAUUUCCAAUACAUGCACUUCAAUUUCUUUACUUCUAUAGCCAUUUACAUUCCUGUCUAGAAUCAACAAAGAAUCUAUUUUCCUCAAUAUUCAUCGAUCCGAUUCAUCUAUUGAUAUUUACACUUUUUGGUGAAACACUAGACUCAUUGUUUGCACUAGUCAAUGUUUGGAGUUGAAGUCGUGUCGAGCGUUCUAAUUAUUCCACAAACAUGUGUUACUUUUUUUUUAAUCACUAAUGGAUUUUGAUGUUAUAAAUUCCAAAUGAAGAGUGUGUGAAGAGUGGAAAUUUGAGUGUCAAAGUCUGCAUGCUCCGUAAUUUAUUUUCCAAAAAAAAAAAAUCCGAUCAGUUAUUGCAAGAAAAGAGUUAUUAUGUGACAAUAGAUUCUCAAUUAUUUGAUGGACAUUUAUCCUCGUACAGGUGUAAGGUGACAAUCAAUAAGGAAAAGUUUAAGAUGCGCUUGAUGGUGAUGGAUUUGUAUCUCUCCAAACAUGUUCUGUUAUGGGCAGUACAAUCCUAGAUGCUUGUCCCAUAAUGCUUAAUCCUUGAAAUUGUGAGCCACAUGAUUCAUAAGCAUCUCCAGAUAAAUCUUCAUUGCUCUAAAAUAUCUCAAUUUGCCAAUUGGAGCACCUCUGGCCAAAAAUAACGAUGCUAAUGUGAAAUUGACACCCUAGAUAUCUAGAAGUGAGUGCACACAUAAACUCAAUUGGUCCUUUUCUAAUUUUUUCUAGUUAACAAUAGGAUAAGUUAAAAUUGAACAAUGCUAAGAAAGGUGGCGUGCAUUCACAUGUCAAAUGAAUGCACAUGUAAACUUAAUCUAGAUAUAUUUACUCUCCAUCGGCUUCGCCCACAGCUACACCAGUUGCACUAGUACUAGCCUCCAUAGCAUCGCCAUCAAUCCGGGCUUUCUCGCAAGCGUAACCAUCUCUCUCUCUCUCUCUCUCUCUCUCUCUCUCUCUCUCUCUCUCUCUCUCUCUCUGGGCACAAGCUUCGUCCAGUAAUCAAACCAAGAGGAGUAUAAGUGUAUUAAAAGUUUUAAAAUUUGUUGAAAAGUGCAAUCGAACCAUAAAAAUUUUUAAGGAAGUGUAAUAAGGUCUUAGAAUUUGUCAAAGUUGAGUAAUCAAAUCCCUUUGUCAACUCUAUGUAAUUUGGCUGCCAGAAAACGUGAUUAUUUUAAUUACCUUUGUUAUGAUCAAAGCGUAAACUACGAUGAAACUGAAACUAAGGAAAACAAAAAAGAACAUGCAAAUUGGAAACUCUCGUGGGAAAAAACUACGGAGAGCGAAGAAGCAAAAUCUACUAUGAAAAUUCAAGAAUUAUCAAAGGAGCUCGAAAAACCUAAAGACUCUUUUUAAACCUAAUAACUUGGGAAAAAUAAUAUUUAUAUUGCUCCAUAAGGCGAGGCACAAUCCUCGCACCUCUGCCGAGAAUUAGUUUUGGGCUACUGGUUUGCGCCUCAACCAACACUAAGCCUCCAUUUGUUUUUCUCAGAUCGGGUUGCCACAAAUUUCAUUUUGAGUAUCAAUACUCAAUUUGGACCGAAUACCCGAGAACAUAAUUCAAGACAUACUCAACAACUUUCUUGAGACACGUGGUGCCCACUAAGCACCACAUCAAAUAAUAAAACUUUUGGGAAAAAAAUUAAAGAAAGAAAGAGAGAGUAAAAGUAAAAUAAGAAGAAAAGGAUCAUGUUCGAACAAUAGCCUAAUAAUGAAAAGCAAAAAAAAAAAAAAAAAGCAAGACCUCCGCCUCUGGUCUCCCAAAGAAACAGUGGUUUCGGUUCUUGCGAGCGAAAUUUGAGAUUAAAGGGAAUGAAUCUCUUUUGAGGGGGGGUUUCAAACUUCGCAGAUCGCCUACGGAGACUUCUUGGAUCAGUUUCAAAUAUGAAAGGCUCCACUAUUCUGCCAUGGCUGUGGUAGGAUUGGCCAUGGCCGCCACAGCUGUAUCUUCAUCACAGAUGCUGCGUCGACGGAGAGGUGCUCUCGAAUUUGCGGGCUGAAUCCAACCUUUUCUACAUCGACCCAGUUCAGUCGGUUCCAAUUCGCAAUUUUGAUCAGGUGCACUAAAAAUUUGAAAAAGACCUCCUACUCACGCGAACAUAGCCAAAAAAAGAAAAAAAAAUGUUCAGGAGGAAAACGUAGAUGUCUACGCUAGGACAAAGACAUCAUCCCCCUUUUUUUUCUGGUCUGAAUCCGCCUUCUAUCAAGGAGGAGCUUUGCAGUAGUUCCAACAAAAACCCCAUAUGGGAGGAAAAGGGUAAAGGAGAAGGGGAGUCACAAAUCAUUUACAAGCAAUCGGUUCAAACUGAAGUUGAAGGAUGACUCCCCAUUUCAAACAAAUUAGGCGGCAGUAAAUGUUAAAUCCUGUUUUAUGCAAUAAAAAAUGCUGUGUCUUAACUCAUUACAUAAAUAAUCCAUAUCGUUUUCAAAAUAUAAAAACACAAAGAAGAAAUAGUAUCACUCACUUGAGAAAGCAAAAAAUCAAUCUACGAUGGUUACUCGAGUUGAUGCAUUUAUUCCUAUUUUCCAUAAUCAUCCAUGUGCAUAAUGUGUGGAUGGCUCCAAGGGCCUCUUUUGAACGAAACACCAUAAUAUUGAUUCCAACGGGAGUAGCCCCCGCCCACGACGCCAAAUACUUACUUGUAAUUAUAAAGGGAAAACCAUUUGCAAGUUGAACUAGAAACACAGUGGUUUUGUUCCUUUCGCUUUAUCUGUUUUGUCCUUAUCGAGUCUCUGGUCCUAUAAAUUUCUGCCUCAAUCGACCAAACCCUCCGACAAUCAUCAGCAGUUCCACUCCCUGAUUGAACAAUUACAUGCACAACAGUUUCAGCACGAUGGCUCUCACCUCCCUCCUCCUCCUCCUCCUCUCUUCUCUCCAUGUCAGUAAUUUGUCAAGCUUUCACUCUCCAUGCGUACCCAACUGCUCAUCUCUCUCUCUGUGUUUUCAUGGAAAGACAGGGCUAUAUAUUUAAUUUGAUAUCUCGUGCUUAAUUAGUAUAUACUUUUUACCUAAGAAUUGCUGAAAAAAUUUUGCGGCCAUAAUACUCCGUUAGCAAUUACUUCUUAUCCAUUAUUUUUUGACUCAAUCUCUCUAUACUAGUUUACAAUGCAUAGGUUAUCGGACCAAAUGGGGAGCCCAGGCUUCAUAAGAACUAUUCAAUAUAAUUUACGCAUGCAAGAAACUAAAUAUGUUAGUUUGCAUCAAAAUCCAACCUCAUAAUAUCAUAUAUAUCUUCAUAUCCAAAAAAAAUAUUAUAUAUAUAUUUCGUUUGCGUUAUCUUAACGUGUGUCAGUAGAUCAAUCGUGUUUAUGUGUUCUUUAAGCUAACAAAGAAAUGUGAAAGGAACGUAGAUAAUCAAGUGAACAUAUAAUGCUCUGGUAAUAUGAAGGCACGUAAGUUGCAAAAGUCAUUUUAAAUGAUUGAGCAUGACGUAACUACUUUUAGACACGAGCAUCAGAUAACAUACAUUAAUGAUUGUUAGGAAUAUAUGUUCAUUGUAAAGAUAAUUCCAAUCAUGCUAUUAUGCGGUUCUAAUUUCAUGUCACGUGACUUGUACUUUUUUGCAUGUUCAUUACAAUUUUCCGUAUGUCUAUUUUACUUCCAUAAUUAUGUCAUUGCACAGUUAUUUAAGUCCAUGACGUUCAUUCUAAUCGUGAUUAUAUAAACUUCUAGCUCACAGUCACUCUUUGAUUUUCUUUUGUGGAUUGUCCUGCGAUAGGUCCUCAGCAUUGUCGCUAGGGCCACUCCCGAGGCCGACUUCCUCGCCCGCGAGGCUAACUCGAUCUCUCCCAAAGCAUACCUUGUCCAUUACUGGAACAAGCAAAUCACCAACAACCUUCCCAAGCCACCAAUCCUCUUCUCCAAAGCGUCACCUCUGACGGCCGCGUCAGCGACCAUCUUCGCCGAACUCGUUGCCAAAGGCGCCAUCUCUGACCACCUCCUAUCGUUCUGCGAGGAGGCGCAAUUGCUCUGCUUCAUGAACUCAUCAUCUGAUACAAAUCCGCACAAAGCAUACGUAUACGGCCUCUCCCCCACCGAUACAAUUGUGGCAACUGAUGACAAGAAAGUAAAUGGGGGCGUGGAGCAGGGCUUGUUCUUUCGAGAGUCGAUGCUGAAGAGCGGGAAUGUGAUGCCAAUGCCCGACAUGCGGGAUAACUUGCCCAAAAGGUCAUUUUUGCCUCGCUGCAUUUCCUCCGAACUGCCGUUUUCAACCUCGAAGCUCGCUGAGCUGAAGCAAAUCUUCCGUGCCAUUGAAAAUUCCGCUAUGGGGAAGAUCAUGGCGCAAACGCUAGGCGAGUGCGAGGGUGCAGGAGUCCAAGACGAAAGCAAGAGGUGUGUGGCCUCCAUCGAGGAUAUGAUCGACUUCACCACCUCGGUUUUGGGUCAUGACGUCAUGGUCCGAUCCACGGAGAGUGCCAGAGGGUCGAAGCAGGAGGUCUUGAUCGGGGUGGUCAAGAGGAUCGAGGGCAGCGAAGUGAGCAAGCCCGUGGCCUGUCACCAGAGUCUAUUUCCUUACAUUGUCUAUUACUGUCAUACAUUUCCAAACGUCCGAGUUUACGAAGCAGACAUACUAGAUCCCAAAUCCAAGGCUAAGAUCAAUCACGGUGUCGCCAUUUGUCAUAUGAACACAUCAACUUGGAGCCCUACCCACGAGUCAUUUCUGUUGCUUGGAUCGGGUCCUGGCCAGAUCGAGGUCUGCCAUUGGAUAUAUGAGAAUAGCCUGAUAUGGACAAUUGCCAAGUCAUAAUGGAAGAACGAAGUGUGGUCAAGAUGGAAUAAACAUGGGUUCGGCCUGGUGAUCAAGAUAGAACUUGGUCUUUAGCUACCUCCAACCGAAAAUCNNNNNNNNNNNNNNNNNNNNNNNNNNNNNNNNNNNNNNNNNNNNNNNNNNNNNNNNNNNNNNNNNNNNNNNNNNNNNNNNNNNNNNNNNNNNNNNNNNNNUUUUUUUUUUUUUUUUUUUUUUUUUUUUUGUGAUUUGAGUACAUGUUCAAUUCUUUUGCAUUCUCCUGUCCUUUGUUACUAUCUUCGAGAAUUUUCUUCAAAUUUCGACGAGGACCAAUAACUAUUUUCACAGUACUAUUGUUAUAUAAACGAGAGACAGAUAAGAAUGCAGUUGUUUUUUGAUAAAAGAAAAAAACGAAAAGCUGCAAAAAUAGUUCAAGUGGCCCAGUGGUUGGGAGUCCCAACGUGAUCGUUUUUAUACGAGAAGAACAAGAGCUGCCCGGUUCAAUCUUGAAGUGGCACUUCCCACUUUUUCUCCCUCUGAAUUUUGCUUUUCAACUUUUCUGCAUUUAUCUUUUGUUUGCACUUUCUCGGUUACAUAAACUGCAUAUCAUCAGAUCAUUGCUUUCUUUUUUUUCUUUUCUUUAUUUUGCUUUUUUUAACCAUUUGUCAUUGGAAAAAGAUAAUUCAAUAAGAACCCACAAUACGCGAUUAGACUUCUAAAAUCCUAAAAACUUCACAUGAAUGAUUCUCAUAUGAUAAAAAUGUAAAAACUAAAUUUAUUUUUGUUUCGCUGGAAUUGCUCUCUUAAUUAAAUAUCUUUCACCGAAAGUUAUUCUUUGGUUUUAUUAAAGAGGACAAGGGUUAUGUGCCAACUCCAGACAAUGGAUAUCUUAUGCAAUAAGGAAUUGAACUUCUUUGGUCCUGUCGCGACCUACCCUCGGGGGGAGGGAACAGGUUUAGGGGUAUUGCCUAAAAGACGGGCCUAAGGCCCAUGAUUAGGCGCGAGCUCUCCCAAGCCUAUACCCCGCAUGACGUUGGGAUAUUCUUAAGAAAUUUUGCAUAAAAGGAGUCGCCACUAGCCUAUUGGGGUCGGCUAGAAACCAAGUGAGGCAUGGGAGUGUACCUCACUUCCUACGCAACCAGAGAAUUUAGGUUCGGGGACUUGAUUACACUAAUUAACCAAUUAGUGCCCUUUCGGUACCUAAUCUUGUUCAUUUUAACAAAAUGAUUUUUGGCAGGCAAUUUGGAUUGAUUUCAUAUUUAUCCACUAACAUGUGAGGUGAUCAUGCAGGCGCGCAAUCAUUAAAGUAAUAAUCAUAACUACCAAGAUCCUAAUUACAAUAAGAUUAAACACAUGCAAUCAAACAUAAUUAAAUAUGCAAAUUAAACAUACGACAUAAUCAAUAUGCAAGCAAAUAGAUGUCUAAUUACACUAAGAAAGCAAGAUAUAGCAAUUCCUAACCAAAUCACAUCAUUUUUGGAUUUUCGAAAUUUUUUAUUUUUGAUUUUUUUUUAAAAAAAAUUAUUUUUAAACAAAAUUAAUUUUUUUUUAAAAAAAAAUUGAAACUAUUUUCAAUAUUUAAUAUUUUUUUUGGAUUUUCGAAAUUUUUUAAUAUUUUUAAUUUCUUUUUAAAUAAUAAAAUAAACUUAAAAAUAAAAUUCGGGGCCGGACCGGGUCGGGUCCAGUCUGACCCGACUUGGGUUCAGCCCGUUCAAUGUGGGUCGGGUCCGGUCGUAGACCGGACCAGAUUUUGGCCUCGUCGGCGGCAACGGGCCCGAGUGGGCCCAAAAUUCUUUUUUUUUUUUUAAUACUUUAGUCAAGGCCCAAAGAAAAUUAAAAGACCCACCUAUUUCCUAAGCCCGCGAGAGCCCAACCCAAUUUACCUGAAUCUGAAGCCCGGCCCGAAGACAGACCCAAGGCUGACCCACUUCGAAGACCAAACCCUACCCAGUUUGGAGGGUCGCUUGACCCGGUUCUGACCCAAUUUGAGCCUCCUUCUCCAAGGCUUCUUGGCGGCACUGACACCGGGCAGCGAUGGCGGCGACGGCGGCGGCGCAGCGGGUGGCGGCGGCACAGGCAGCAACGGCGCGGUGCUGGUGCCGCAACGGGAUCGAAGGAGUGGCGUCAGCGGCAGUGGGCAGCGGCGGCGUCGUGGCUUCGGGCAGAGGAGCGGCUCGGACGACGUCGUAGGGGCAGCCAGAGGGCGGCAGGAGGAGGCUUUUGCAGAGGGUCGUGGAAGCUCGAGCUGCAGGCGAGUCGGGGCGCAGCGGUGGUGGCGCAGCGGCAGAUGAUGCGGCGGAGGGGAAAGACUCCCAGAUCUAAUCAAGCGUGAUCAGAUCUGGGCCUUUGGCGGAUCUCCAACGCGACGGGGCGGACUGGUGCUAGCUGCAGGAGCGGCCGAGACCGGCGAAGGGCGCGGAAACAACGACAGCGAGGCGGAGCUUCAAACGGUUGCAAGGCGGCAGCGGUGCGGCGACUAGUUCAGAUCUGCUAGCGUCGGGGGGCGCUAGCGCGGCGUCAAGUGGGCAGAGGCAGGGACGCUGGAGGUGAGCUACUGCAGGAGUCGCUCAGAGGUGCUGCAACGGCAGGUAGCGGAGCGGCGAGCACUGGACGAAGGUGGCGCGAGGUCGACGGGCGGCGCUCGGGCGGAGAGGGCAUCGAGCGCCUGGUGGAGGUGGCGCGAGCGUCAGGUCGUCGCAGCUGCAGCAGGGGGUCACGGACGCGCGGGCUGCAGGCGAGUCGAGGCGCGGCGGUGGUGGCACUGUGCUCGCGGACAAGCGGCUCCACCGCGCCGCGGCCGACGCAGCGAAGGCUUCCCGCGGCCGCGGGGCGGAGCCGCUGAGGCUCCUCUUUUCAUUGCUCCCUCUCUCUCUGUUUUGAACUCACUCUCCCUCUCUCCUCCUCCUGUCCCCCCUUUUUUUUGUUUCUCUCCCUCUGUCUUCACUUUCUCUCAUGUUUCUCUUCUGUUUUGCAGGUCCGCGUGCGAAGGAGGAAGACAGCCAGGCGUGGGCUGGAGGGGAAAGGAAGCAAGGCCGAGCCUAGGCCAGAUCAGGCCCAACUCGACCCCUUAAGCAUUUUUUGUUUUUUUUGGUUUUUUUAUGACAAUUUUUUUAUUUUUUUUAGCAAUUAAUUCCUAGUUUUGUAUGCGAUUAAGUUUUAAGUAAAAUAGUAAAAUUUAGGUGUCAACAGGUCCAAACAACAUUGAUUUUAGGUUGAGUCAGAAUUAAUCAACAACAAGGCAAAAAAAAAGUUACAAGGCCAAUCUCAAACUAUGUUGGAAUUUAAUCAACAACACAAAUUAAGGAUAGUAAGAUGUGGAGUUGGAAUUUAAUCAACAACACAAACUAAGGAUAGUAAGAUGUGGAAUUGGAAUUUAAUCAAUGACAAUAUACGAGGAUAGUAAGAUACAAUACUGGAAUUUAAUCAACGACGAUGUACCAAGAUACAGAAACACGUCGGAAUCUAAUUAACAAUGAGAAUCUAAAAGCUAUAGCUAGGAAAAAUAAAGUGUAGUACAGGAAAAGCAAAGAUAAAAAGAUAACAUUUUGAUUGAUUUAUCAUAUGACUUCUGGUUGGAUGACUGGUGGUAUGAUAAACGUUUGGUAGUUACGUCUUCUCUAGUGCCUACUACUGGCUUUGUCCAUGAUCCUUUAUUCUCAUAGAUCACUUUGCCCAUACUUCAUAUAACUGUCCUAGUCGUGUUUUGAGGAUUAUGCAACUGUCGAUGCCAUUCCAUGACUGGGGCUCCAAAUAGCAAUUGAUUUUUUACAACGUGCGCCUUUGAUGCUAACUACCUUAGUGCCUUGAGUAAUAUUCAAAGUGUCUCCAUUGAAAAAGUUGUUGCUAAAGUUCAUACGAGCGGCUAUUAAUCAUCCGUCAUCAUAUUUCAACAAUUGAGCACGUGGCAUUUCUUUAUCUCAUUGUCAAUCAUCGGAUAUCUACCCUAUGUCUAUUGAUAAUCUGGCAUACAUCAGACAUUACCCAUCCAUUAUGCACAUAACUGUAACUUAUUUCUGAAGAGCUACAGCCGAGGUAAAUCUCAACUUUAAUAUCAGCUAUAUAGUUCACAAUUUCACGAAAGAUCCUAUAUUUAUGAGAGGACAUGUAACAUUUCAAUUAAGAUAAAUAUUUGUCACAUGUAUUUCCUUGUUUAUAUAAGGGACCCAAUUUGUCAUGCGAUUGAUAAAUCUCUUCGUUUGUAGCUAUACUUUUAUCUUUUAACAAUCUUAGCCCAUGGAUCAUCUUUUAACAAUCUUAAGUAAGAGUUUUCCUAAUGUGGACAACAUUAAUUGAUAUUGUAAUUUACCGUUUUACGAUUACCGUUUUACGGGAUUGGUCUAAGGUGAGAUAGAAGGUUUCUUAAUUAGUCUAAUAUGGGGUUAGCUAGUGUGGGCCGAGUUGAGCCUGGCUCGUAAUAAAAGGGCCUGGUUAGAAACUCUAUAAAUAGUGCUCAAGCCUCUCCUCUAACCCUAAUUCUUACAAGUAUCCUCACAUAAGGAGCGUUUACCUAGCGCUAAAGGGUGAGGGGUUAUCUCAUUGAACCAGUGAUAUGGAGAGCAAUAGAGGAGAAUGACUUGCACGUUGAUCAUCGCUUUUCCGUUUCCGCAGCAAGAACAAUGGAUUCCAAUACAGGUGCGUUAAUCUUUCUACCUAUUCAUCUAUACUCUUGUUCUAAUUAUGGACAUCUUGGGGUAGCACGUUUUGCAUCUUACAUAUGGUAUCAGAGCCGCCAUAACCCUAGAACUCGAACGCAUAAAAUUUUUACCCUAACCGGUCAACUGUUGAUCGGACCGAACAGUCAAGCCAGGAACCGGUCGGACUGCUUCCGGUCGGAUAGGUUUUUGAUCAGUCUUUUCACCCGCACGUGAGCUCUACGCACCGCGCACUCAGGCGGCGCGUGUGGGAGCGUGGGAGCUUCGAUAGGCGCGUGGCUGGUGGCAUCAAAUUCGUAUCGCCAUUCUCUAUCUUGUGGUGUGUUUAUUUUACAUGUUUGAUGAUUUUAUGGAUGUGAAAAUACAUACGAAACCCUAAAUACAUAUAUUUUUAGUGCAUUUGUACGUAUUUUUCUUGUAUUUUUCUGUGAUUUUGGAAAUACAGGUGUUGGGUUACAGGUAUGUUAUCACAUAAACAUUAUAAAAGUGUGAUUCAUUAAUAAAAGUUAAACUUUAUUGUGAACUGAAACUGACUUAAUGAGAUACGACCAUUAUGAGAUAGUAAUUGAACUAUGUAUUGAGAUGAUGAGAAACAGUAAAAGGCUAUGAAAAUUUUGUCGCUCAAGUAUACUCUUUUACACGCAUCUUGAUGUAUUUUUGUUUCUUUUUUAUAACCUUUGAACGAUGGACGUCUUAAGAACUCGUGACCAAACUAAUUAUACUACUUAACACAUCUGAUAAAUGUGAGUAAUGCAUGUCAGUUAAAUUAUCGGAUACUGUACCUAAACUCAUCUGGUCACUUGUUGAUGUCUAUCAAGUUGAACAUUUUUUAUAAUUAAGAAGUAUGACAACAUUUACGUAAGAGCAAUAGUAUCUACUGUUAUAGUUUAGAUAUUUGAUUCUACGGUUUGACUCAAUUAAUAGGCCACUAAUUGAUACAAUGAUAAUUUGUUACUUAAAAGUGGCUAAUAAAUUAGCUGUCAGGCUUGUCAAUCUGGGAUACCCUGUAUUGUUAUUGAUAUUAACUUGUGAGAGAUCCCUUGGAUCAACAUUCUUCUUUAUGUUGUUCUGGUAAUCUAUAAUAUGGGUGCACAAGAGACGCUUUCUUCUAUGUUAUGAGAAGUUUCUUGCGUUGCUAUGAUCGGUGAUCUUAUUGGAAUCUAUCUUUUAGGUCCUUUAUAUAUAUAUAUAUAUAUAUGAUUGAUUUUCCUAGAUGAAUAAAGUAGUGUAAUCAGCAUGAUAUGUGAUUUUGGUGAUUUACUGCCCCUAUCAUUAAAGUUAAAAUCACAUGUAUAUGAUAUAUGUGAGAAGCAAAGUUUAUAUCCCUAGUAUGAGAAAGUUUCAAGAAUUCAAUUGAGUAGUGACCGCCAAAGUGGUACACUUGAUUGGGUUUGAGAAAUAUCGGUCUCAUAUAAUGAUGGGGAUGUCUCAAGUUAUAAUGCGUAGUCAUACUUUCAAAGGAGGUGAUUGUGUAUUAGUUCAUGGAGGGAUACAUGAUGAUGUGGUGGAUAAGUGACUGAUCCUAGUGGUUCAUAUGCCCAAAGGUGAUGAAUUCACGAAAGUUAAAAUAUAUUCUCAUAACCGCUAUCAUGUAGGGAGUGUACAACUACAUGUCAUAUAUUCUGCCCAAAAGUAAUUAUAUGAUUUUGCAUGUAAUUCUCUGGAUGUGUACUUAUACGUCAAGUUACAUAGUGCUCACAUGAUGGUAAAUAUAUACAUUACUUGUUUUUUCAGUCGCCUUUUCUGUAAUUAAUAACUCUAUUAUUAUUGAGGUUUUUACUUGUUCAAAUUUUAAGUAGUUGAAAUAGAAUUUUCUAUUUGGUGAAAGAGUAAUCGGAUUUGCUCGUUAUUUAUGAAGCGUUUCAUUUAGGAACAUUUGAAAAGUGAUUUACCAACUGACUGCACUUCUUAAAGAUGAUAGAAGCUUUAGUGGCUUGAAAUUAUGUCUUGUCUAAUAUCGAAAUUAGGACACAUCUGCAAGGAUUUUUUAACAUAAUGAUAUAUGUGUCUCGUAUACGGUUGAAAAUGUUGUUUCCAAAAGUUUUCUGUCUUAAAGAAUCAUCUCACACAUGUCUAAAGAAAAAGUAGAAAAGUUGACAAUGUUGAUAUUCUGUCUACUAUUAACGGUUUUUUAAAGACUUCUAAAGAUUAUUGUGGAAAUAAAAUGACCGAGAUAAAAAAUAAAACAGUUAGAAUUAGUCUUAAAAGUUGUCAGGCCUAAUAGUGGCGGUAAGUAUUUUGGCAAGUAUGGCAAUACUGAAUAGCUUAAACGGACAUUUGUCAAAUACUAGGUAAAUUCUAGGGUGGUAACUUAAUUUACUAUGCCUGAAAAUCCUGACAAAAUGAUUUGGCUGAAAGGCAUAACUACACCAUAAUCAACAUGGUGAUGAGUAUGAUGAGUAAGACUAAUUUUUCAGGUCUUCUGUGGGUUGAUAUUUUGAAAGCAACUCUUUUCAUAUACAAAAACGUGUUUCUUAUCAAAGUUAUUCCCUAAACUUCUUUUGAGUUAUGGAUUGGACGUAAAUUUACUUGAAUAAUAGUAAAAUUUAGAGGUGUCACGCAGAAGUGAGGUUAUAUAAUCCAAUAUUAAGUGCGUUGGAAUUCAGAUCCACUUGAAAUUAUUUUAUAUCUUACCCAAAUUGUUCAAAGGGGUAUCGAUUUUAUAACAGUAAUGAAGGUACAAGUAUUAUAAAAUCACAGACAGUAAAGUUUCUAGAGUUCGACGUGAUUGUAAAGGAUAGUUACUCUCAGACUAUUAAGGAUAAUAGUACGAUGGAGAUCACUGUGCCUUUGUCUUUACCUAUACAGACAAUUGUGGAAUCUCCUAUACCAUAGACUAAACUUGUUGAGGUUCAAGGUACCAUUAUUGAUAUAGUUUACGUUGAAAUUUCUCAAACCUCUAAAUUGCAUAAUGAAGUGGUUGUAGCUUUACUCAGGAGAUUUGUUAAGGAAAAAUGAUCAGUUAUACCAUCAAACUACAUAAUCUAUCUGUGAGAACAUGACUUCAAAAUCUAUUGCAUGGUUAAUUUAGCCACUUAUAUAAUUAUUGUUUCUUGGCCUCAAUCAAGUAUAUGAUUAGAUGUCGUAAAAGACAAUAUGCAAUCUAUGAAAUUUUAUAGUGUUUGGAAACUUACUGACUUGCCUAAAGAUCACAAGUUCAUUAGUUGCAAAUAGGCGUACAAAACUAAAAGAAUUUCAAGGAAAGAUUGUGGAGUUUAAAGCUAAAUUGGUAGCUAAAGUUUUCAUCUGAAAGAGGGAUGGAUAGUUAAUAGUGAAAAAAUAAUUAUUUCUUUCUAGUAUUUUUAAAUAUUCUUUUAGAGUGAACAUGGCAUUAAUAGUUUAUUUUUGAUAUGGAGUUACGCCAAAUAGAUACUAUCUUUUCAAACGAACACUUUGUAUAGACUGAAAAGUCUUAUUCAUGGUUUAAAGCAAAUUUCCGGACAAUAUUAUUAAAGUUUCAUAAUGUUGUUAUUUUGUUCAGUUGGGAACAAAGUAAUUCAGUAUAUAUAUACUGCGAGGUCAGUGAGAGGAAAUUUAUUUUUCUCAUACUCUUUAUACAUGAUUUUUUUCUUACAAGUAGUGACCUUGAGGCAUGGCAUCUUUUGCCCUUUGCACUGAGGUCUGUAAGGGUUGUUCUCGCCAUAUAUGUCAGAUUUAUCUCGGAGGACAUUUGCUGAUCGUAUUUUGGAAAUAUUCAAUAUACAUUAUUGCAAGUCAGAAAUUGCUCAUGUCAUUAAGGGUGAUGGACCGAAUCUAUUAUAUUGUUCUUAUUUAGAUAUUGAGAAAAUCAUGGUGUACUUUGUGUUAGCGCACUUAAAAGUAUAAUGUAUGCUCAAAUUUGCACUAGACUAAAUAUCGUCUUUGCAACGGAACUUCUAGACAGAAAUCAGUCAAAUCCAAGACGCGAUCACUGGGUUGCUGCCAAGAAGGUUUUAAGGUACUUAAAGAGGACAAAAGAUUAAAUGAUAAUUUAUAGACAUGUUCAAUUCUUGCAACUAAUAAGGUAUUUAGAUGUAAACUUUGUUGGCUGUUAUGAUGAUAUGAGAUUAAUAACGGAAUAUAUAUUUGUAUUAAUAGGAAGUGCAAUAAAUAAAGUUCUAUGCCAUCUUCUACUAUGUAAGCAAAGUUAGUAACAUUCUUUUAAGCUGUUAUUUGGGCUAUUAGGCUCUGGAACCUCAUUAAGGAAUUGACUAUUUUUAACUUUAUGAAUAAACCCAUAUAAUUGUAUUGAGACAAUAACUUUGUAGUAUUAUUUAUUAGUAACAAAGGUCUCAAGGGGUCUAAAUAUAUGACAGUUAAUUUUUUUACCAUAAAGAAACAGUACAAAAAUGUGAUGUUAUAAUAUAACAUAUUUCCACAGAUGACGUGGUUGCAGAUCCACUAACUAAAGGACUUUAUUCUUCUGUUCUUGAAUGACAUAUCAUUAAUAUGAGCUUAAGAGCAUCAUCAUAUGCUGUUAUUUAGUAGGAGUUAUUUUGGCUUUACUCUAAUAAAGUUUACUUCAGUAUUCGUUAUACUUAGUAACGGUUUGAUAUGUAUCAACUUUUGCAUUCAAUAAAAUAUUUUUGAAUAUGUUGUCAUUAUGUUGAAUACAUAUUGAUAAAAGCCUCAAGGUAUUGUAUAAACCUUAAGUGAAGGCUGGGGGCAUCCGGUUAUUAGCUUUGUACAUAUGUCUUGUUAUACAUAAAGAAAUAUUAACCGUAAAGACAAGGCAUAUGUGGGUUCAUUGGAACCAUAAAGAUAAUCUCUAGUGGCACAAGUUUUUUGUGACGUUUAAGAUAAGAGAAUGGCGACUGAAAAAUGGGAUCUCUUUAUGAGAGAUGUUAUCCAUUUGCCACAUUACCAUAUUGAAUCCAUAUCAAUAAAAUUGAAAGCACUCAUGAUCAUGAAAGGCUCUAUGUAUGUACAUGCAGUUACCACCAUAAUUCGAUGUUUGAGACUUUAUGGGAUGGGAUUGACUAUUAAGAAUUAUUUUUAGACCAAGGUGCGCACAUACGGUACAAUUUCAAUUAAUAUAGUCCAAGUGAGAGAAUGUAAGAGUUUUCCUAAUGUGGACUACAUUAAUUGAUAUCGUAAUUUGCCGUUUUACGGGGUUGGUCUAAGGUAAGAUAGAAUGUUUCUUAAUUAGUCUCAUAUGGGGCAGGCUAGUGUGGGCCGAGUUAAACCUGGCCCGUAAUGAGAAGGCCUAGUUGGAAACUCUAUAAAUAGUACUCAAGUCUCUCCUUUAACCCUAAUUCUCACAAGUAUCCUCACAUAAUGAGCGUUUACCUAGCGCUAAAGGGUGAGGGGCCGUCUAAUUGAGCCAGUGAUACGGAGGGUAAUAGAGAAGAAUGACUUGCACGUGGAUCAUCGCUUUUCUGCUUCCGCAUCAAGAACGAUGGAUUCCAAAACAAGUGCGUUAAUCUUUCUACCUAUUCAUCUAUGCUCUUAUUCUGGUUAUGGAGAUCUUGGGGUUGCACGUUUUGCAUCCUACAUCUUAGCCCAUGGACCUGCAUCACUGAAUGGACACUUCUAAUGUAUUCGAUUCUUGGAUGAGCAUUUUUCUGGCUCGGCAGUGAUCGACCCAUGUGGCCACGAUGAAUAGUGGAAGCAAAAUUGACAUUGGUGAACAAAGCUUAACAGAGAAGAUGUCGAGUCCAAUUGAAGAAAUCGCACAGGACAGGGGUGGGACCGUGCAUCGAUAAAUCCAGGUUCUUUCUACGUAUUCUGUCGUUGGAAUGCAAGAGAGAUUAUUGAGAAAGUGUAUAAAUGAAGUCUCUAUUAUCUUUUACGAGCUAAGGGCAUAAGCAUAGAGGCUCAGUUAUCUAAAGGUUCUUGAACACUCUACAAGCCUCAUAAAUAGUUUGAGCCCUAGUUUUAUAAUUGUUGGCAGGUUUGGAUAAAGGUUCUAAGGCUUUGAUUGAGAAGUCAUGGGAAAUCAGGUGGAUAGGUUAUUUGCAUAUGGACAGUUCUAGUAAAAUUGUUGACUCUGGAGAAAUCAGCUUAAGGUUCUUCAUGGGAUCCAAGUACCACAUAGAUAGAUAUAUGCUAUUAGAUGGUUAUUUUUUUUCCACCAAAAAACAUCAUAUGAUAGAAAGUACGGGUUAUACCUAUUCCCUAAUGUAGUUUCAUUUUGUAAAUGAACCAAUUAGUCCUUUCCUCUCCUAAUCCCUGGAAAGUACGCGCACAACCUAGGGAUUUCAUUUAUCUCUUGUGGAAGUGAUUAUGAUUAGGUUUACUCAUAAUGGCGUCUAAUGACUUUAACCCUAAUUCAGGAUUAGCUAGCCAAUUACAGAGUGUCUCUACUGGAGUACAUGCACAUAUAUGGAAAAUCAAAGUUUCACAUCUUAAAAAUUUAUCAGAUCACUGUACAACUUGAUUAAUUAACCGAUAGCUGUCCAAUAUGAGAUACAGAUCGAUGCCCUUUUGUUGUUUAAUCGCAUUAAUACAAAAGACUUGUCCUUUUGCGAAAUUGGCAUUUUGCAUUAAGCCAUUUGUUUUGCAUUACCAAGACUUACCAUGUCUGAAGCAUAGAUAACUGCUUUUCUUUAAAUGCGUUUUUAUCAGUUAGAUUAAUGUGACUUACUACCUAAAUAGUUUUUGUUUGUAGCUAAUUCCAAAGUGUUUGUUCUUAUAAUCUUCCAGCCUUUCAUCAGUCUCAUGGGCUUUUUUUCCCAUCACCCUACUUUGUUUUGUGCUAAAACGCAAGACUGACGGCAAGUGUAUCUCCAAUCGAUAGAAUCUUUUAGGAGGAAAUUCUAUCCAAAUCGAACUUUUAUUUACACUAUCCCUUCAAAAUUUUAAACAUAUGUGUUUCUUGUGGGAGAUAUCCAUAAUCGUAACUUACCCAUCAGAAGAUUGAGUAGGAGGAAAUCAUGACUUUUUUUUUUUUUAUAACAAAAGAAGGCAGAGAAUAUUCGAUAUGAUACUUAUUAAUUGCAAAUUAUAUUAAAAAAAACUAAUUAAGUUUUAUUUCUUCCGCUUGGUAGAGAACAUUUGAUAUGAAACUCUAAUUAACUGCAGAUUGCAAAACUAGUGAUUAAAGGCGCGAAUGAUAAACAUUCUAACUAGAAAUUGAUUUCUGGAAGAGAAAUAGAUUUUUUUAUUUCUAUUUCUAAAUGAGUUUCGAAGCAAAAAUACCCGUUUGAUAACGACACAAAAUUUCUACUCUAAAAAUAGAAAUUCGUUUGAUAACGACAUAAAAUUUCUUCCUUUCACCGACCAACGCUGCCGCCAUCUGCCGUCCGCCAGUCCGCAAUGAAGACCGGUUCAUAGUAAGGACGAAUGGUUCAUAGUAAGGAUGAACGAUGAGAAUAAUUUUUAUUUCUCAUUUCUGUUCCAGAAAUAGAAAAGUAAAAAAAAUUUACUUCUGAUUUCUAUUCCAAACCUAUUUCUAAAACAAAAAUCUAUUUCACAAAUAGAAAAAUAGAAUAAUUUUAUCAAACGGAUUUCUAUUAUAGAAACAAGUCUGGAAUAGAAAAAUUAUUCUGGAAUAGAAAUUGUAGUUUGUCAUGCACCCCUAAGAGUCCCAACUUGAUAGUUUGUGUUAUAACGUCUGACAAAAAUGUUAUGAAACUAAUAGGGGUGGACACACAUUGCAAUAGGAACACCCCCACCUCCGUCCUAGCCUAACUAGCCCUCAUUAUCGUCGAAUUUGUCAAUUGACGAAUGGAGCAGAUUGGAGCCCGUCGAUUGAUCCAAUUAUAUGAUUGAGAAAUCUCUAUGUUUAUAGCUAUACUUUUACCUUUUACCGAUUUUCUACAAAAAUUUUGUUACGUGUGGAAUAAUGAACGGUCCAUAAUUAUUUGAAAUUGCCGCGGAAACGGACGGCAACUUUUUAGCAUCACCUUACUGCGAAGACUUUGUUGUGGGCUACGACUAGCGCAGCCCUUGGGCCUGCAUCGCUUGUGAAUGGCACUCACGACGUACUCGUUUCUUGGAUAAGCAUUUAUCUGGCUCGGUAGUGAUCGACCCAUGUGUCCUGGAUGAAUAGUAGUAGCAAAAUUGACGUCGGCGAAGAGGGGUCAACAGAGAAGAUGUCCAGUCCAAUUAAAGAUAUCAAACACAUCCGGGGUGGACCCGCCUUUAUCCAUGCGUUCCCAAACUUUAUGGACUGUGCAUCGAUAAAUACAGUGUCUUUAGAUGUAUACUGUCGUUGGGAUGCAAGAGAGAUCAUCGAGAACGCAUGGGGACCAAGUUCCUAUAUUUACGAGCUGACGGCAUGAGAGCAGAGGCUUGGUUACCUGGAAGCCUAUAGAAAACCCUGCAAGCGUCAUGGAUAGUCCAAGUGGUCUGCGCAGGUGGUUCUGACUAGAGCAGCUUGUACACGGUUAUUGGAAUUCAAACAAAUGAACUCCAAUUUCUGACUUACCAAUCUCUAGAUUUGCAAUAGGCAAAUUGUUUCCCAUUUUAUCCAGUUCACUGGGUCAAGUUACAAAGAUAAUCUAAUUCGUUUGGAUAAAAUUUCUUAGGCUUUGAUUGAGAAGUCACGUUGAAUAAGGUGGAUAGGCUAUUUGCAUGGGAACCAAGAACCACAUAGAGAGAUAUAUCCUAUCAUAUGGUUAAUUAUUUCCACCAAAACAUCAUAUGAUACAUGAUAGAAAAUGUGGAUUAUGCAUAUUCUCUAAUGUAGUUUCAUUUUGCAAAUGAACCAAUUAGUCCUUUCCUUUCCUAAUCCCUGGAAAGUAAGCACUCUUCCUGGAGAUUUUCAUUUAUCUCUUGUAGAAGUGAUUAUAAUUAGGUUACUGAUAAUGGCAUCUUAUCACAAUGACUUUAACCCUAAUUCAUGACUAGUUAGCCAGUGACAGUUUAUCUAUUGGAGAGCAUGCACAGAUAUGGAGGCAGCGGGGAGAAUCUCAUCUGCACGUGAAAUCACAGCUUCCCAUCUUGAACAUUCAUCAGAUUACUGCACAUUUUGAUUAAUUAACCAGGGCCGGUCCAAUCUGAGAUAUAGAUGGAUGCUCUUUUCUUGCUUAAUCACAUUAUUAGGGAAGAGUUGUCCUUUACGAUAUCGGCAUAUUGCAUUAUUCCAUUUGUUUUUCAUAACCUAAGACAUGUCCUAUCGGAGGCAUAUAUGGAUGCUUGUCUUUAAUCAAGUCUUUUUCAAGUAGAUUGAUAUAAUUUACUACCUAAGUAGUUCUUGUUUCUAGCUAAUUCUCAAGUGUUCUUUUUUUUUUUUUUUUGCCUAUUCUAUUUCAUCCUUUCACCAAUUACGCGGGCUUUCCCAUCACCUUCUUUUAUUUUGUGCUCAAACGCCUUACAGAUUCCACGUGAUGAUAGAAUGAUUAGAGUCCAACAAAAAUCUAAUGCCUCGCUCUUUAUUAGUUAGAACUUAGGAGUUCCCCCACAGACCAACUUAUUUUUUGAGCUUAGGAGUCCCUAGAAACCAACUUAUUUUUUAUAUUUUCCUUUAUAUCAUGCUUUUGAUUAGUAGGUCAUAGCUUAUGGACAUCAUUCACAUGUAUACUCAAUUCAAUUUCAAUAAGGACAAUAUCUGUAUAUGUAACUAACCAAUCAUAAGACUGAGCAAGAGGAAAUCAUGACCCUUUUUUAACAACAAAUAGAGUCAAGGGAUUGCGAUGAUAUACCUCACUCAAGCCUUAGGUUCAAAUCACCCCGUUUGUGCAAGUACAAGCCUAUGUAUCAACAGUAAUUACUCGAUUGGUGUUAUAGAUUUGUCUGAGAAUCAAACGGAAUACAAUACUUGUUAAUUGCAAGUUGAACUAGAAUAACUAUUAAGUUUUAUUUCUUUCGCUUGGCAGAGAACAUUCGAUAUGAAACUCUAAUUAACUACAAAUUGAACUGACACAAGUUUUGUUUCUUUCGCUUCAUCCAUUUGUCCUAGAGAAUCUCUCUCUCUCUCUCUCUCUCUCUCUCUCUCUCUCUCUCUCUCUCUCUCUCUCUACCAUCAGUCCUAUAAAUUUCAUGCUCAAUCAAGCGAACCCUCCAACAACAUCAGCAUUCCCUCUCUCUAAAGAAAUGAGCGAGAUCGGUUUUAUCAAAAUGUCUCUCUUCUCCCUCUUCCUCGUCCUGCUGUUGCCACUCCAUGUUAGUUUUCUCAAGCUCUCUUCCCUCCCCUUCCACACACCAUAAUCACUGCUCAUCCUAUUUACGAACUUCGCAUGCAUUAACACUCAUAGUUUGUUGACCUUGUUUAUGUUCCUAUAUAUGUUAAAAGAGACAUGCGAAACAAAAAUCACGAAGUGAAAGACAUAUAUAAUGCCAUAAUAUAUAGGAGGUUUAUGUGUUCGCUUGUUUUUAUAACGUAGUGUAAGUCUCCAUUACUUAUGCUAAGCCAGAUAUGAUGUAUUGACAAAGAAAAAAAUGACUAUUAUCAUUCAGAUUGUGGACAUAAGUUGAAGGAUUUGUUAGGAAUAUUUAUCAUGCUAUCUAUUCUAUUCUUAAAAGUUGAUUUCAUUCUUGUUAUCUCACGGGCAUAACUUCUUGCUACUUUGCUUACGACCAUUUGCACGUUCAUUGCAGUUUCAUCCAUAUCCCAUGUAUAUGCUGCAUAAAUAUUUCACGAAGUCUGUUUGGCAUCGUAUUGCGAUUGUGGUGUAGCCUUGUUUGUCUUAUGACUGAGUUGUAAAUUGAAUUUUAGGGUUCGAUAUCUUUUAAACUAGGUGAACUAUCCUAGGUCGGUUGCAUCGUGCUAACUUUCUAGUCACUCAUUGAUUUUCUCUUUCGUCUCGCUAUAGGUUGUUUCCACCACCGCGAGAACCGCCGCCAAUGCCAACUCCCUUGCCGGCGAUGCCAACUCAAUCCCUCCCAAAGAAUAUUUUGUCCGUUACUGGACUGAACAAAUCACUAGCAACCCUGCCAUACCACCACUGCUCACAUCCAAAGUUUCACCCUUAACUGCUGCACAAACAACCCUUUUUGCCCAGCUCGUGGCUAAAGGUGCCAUCUCCGAUCACCUCUCAUCUUUCUGCAGGGCAGCACAACUGCUCUGCUUCCCAGCCUCACCACACUAUCCAGUUGGCUACACUGUCGAAAAUAGUGCCACGACGCGGGCAGGUGGCAUGAACGUGAACAGGGGCGUGGAGCCUAAUACUUCCGGGAAUCGAUGCUGAGGAGUGGGAAUGUGAUCCGGAUGCCGGAUCUUCGUGUCAAAUCUCCCAAAAGGUCGUUUUUGCCUCGCAGCAUUUCCUCCGGAUUACCGUUCUCCAUCUCGAAACUCGCCGAGCUGAAGCAAAUCUUCCAUGCUGGGGACGAUUCCAAUAUGGAGAAGAUCAUGAUGCGCACACUCAGCCAGUGCGAGCAAGCGCCAAUCCAAGGUGAGACCAAGCGAUGUGUAAGCUCUGUCGAGGGGAUGAUCGACUUCGCCACCACAAUACUAGGCCACGACAUCCAGCUUCACUCCACGGAGAGCGUCGAAGGGUCGAAGCGUG
rnacentral:lncRNA from 1 species